rnacentral:lncRNA from 1 species
UUGUGGUGGUGGAGAAGUGGAGAAGGAGAAAGGAUCAGUUGAGAAGAUUAUGAGUUUUAUUGGUCAGAAAUUUUCUGGGGUUUGGGGCUAAGAAAUUUCCAAUCAUUUUGCUUGAAAAUGGCGAGGAAAUUACAAGGACAUAAAAAGAAGAAAAUGCACUAGAUGACCAUGAUACUGUACUAUAUUUGCAAGAAUAUACAUCGCACUAUUUCGACACUGUUAGCAUUUUAAUAACCCGACUAUACCCCUAUGCUCCCUACUUAUUAGCAAGCAUCGCCGAUCUUGAUAAGAUUUUGGCGUCAGAGAGAAACAGUAAUAUAUUACACAAUAAUUUGAAAUUCAAAAAUCUUAUUAAUAUUACACAAUAAGCCUCAUCGAUCAAAGCAAAUGUCGAACACUGGUAAACAAUAUUUUUAUUAGGUUAUUUUAUUAAUUAGACUGAACCCAGAAGCUUCUUUCUCUUGUUUUCGCCGCCGUUCAUCCCUGGAAUCCAUUUUCAUCCAAUUUUACAGUUUGUAGUCGCCGAUUUCUGUAAGUAAGUUUUCGUUACACCGUUCUCAAUUUUGCACAUGAAUUUUUGCUUUGAUAUAUGACUAAUUGGUUUCGUCUGAAAUAUAUUAAAGGAUGCCUAACAUUCAAUUGCCUGAGAGAAUUUUUGCUGCCGGCCAAGAGCCCGUCGGAGAGAGGGUGAAUUCUUACCAAAAAUCAAAAUCGGUACAGGCUAUUAUGAAUUCUCUCGACGAAGAUGAAGCAAAGAGGCUUCGUGAUUCCCAACUUGGACGGCUCCUAGAGACGAUGGAGAAGCCUUCAUUUUCCGGGAGCUUUGGCUAUUACAUGCUCGCUCGUCUCUUGCGUGUGAAGAAGAAGCAUGAAUUAUGGUUUCUGUUUGCUGGUCGGCCAGUGAGAUUUUCUCUCAGAGAGUUUGCUCUAGUUACAGGGCUCGAGUGUGGGAAAUUUGCUCAGACGAGGAAGCUUAAAAAUCUUGUGGCCCAGAAACCGUACUGGCCUGAGCUCUUUGGGUUGCUUAAGACAUGCACUGUUGAUUCCGUCAUCCACAUGUUACAGAAAAGAAAAAUUACAGACAAAGAGAAGAGAUUCAAAUGCGCCUGCCUCGCUGUAACUGCCUCUGUUUUGGUUCCUACCUCGCAUGUUACCAAGAUUGUCCCCGAGCAUGUCGAGCUCAUAAGGGACAUUGAUUCAUUUCUUUCAUACCCUUGGGGUAGAGUUGGGUUUGAUUUGCUCGUAUCUAGCAUCAAAUCCAAAGAUGAAUUGGAACUCUCGCAGAAGACAAUCGCCGUAAAAGGAUUUUUUUAUGCCAUCCAGCUUGUAAUGAUGGCUGCAGUGCCGACGCUUACCGAGGUAGUUCAAGCUCCAUCCGGUGAGUCUGAUAGUGACUACGAAGAUGAAUGUGACACCGCCGCCGAUGUAUCCACCGGACAGGAGGCCAAUCUCGGCUGCGAUGCCGCGGAUCUGGCUGAAAGAGCCACAUCUUCCGGCGUUGUGAAAAUGAUGCUUAGUCCCAGCCAUGCACGAGAAAUCGAUGAGGAGGAGAAGGUAAAUUACCUCACUUAUUGAUACUGUUUACAAUCAUAGUUAACGGGUACAUAAUCUGAGCGUUGACAAAUUAAUAAGUAUCCUUGGGAAUAUCUGUCACUUAUUAUAAUAUCAGUUACAUUAUGUUGUUCAAUGAUACAAUUUCCUGUAACCUAUAACUUUCCCAUAUCAGGCAUUGGUUUAUUCCAUCAUCCCUACGGACGGUGUCUGUGCUAUCGAAGGGAUGGACUUACGUUGGGCUGNNNNNNNNNNNNNNNNNNNNNNNNNNNNNNNNNNNNNNNNNNNNNNNNNNNNNNNNNNNNNNNNNNNNNNNNNNNNNNNNNNNNNNNNNNNNNNNNNNNNNNNNNNNNNNNNNNNNNNNNNNNNNNNNNNNNNNNNNNNNNNNNNNNNNNNNNNNNNNNNNNNNNNNNNNNNNNNNNNNNNNNNNNNNNNNNNNNNNNNNNNNNNNNNNNNNNNNNNNNNNNNNNNNNNNNNNNNNNNNNNNNNNNNNNNNNNNNNNNNNNNNNNNNNNNNNNNNNNNNNNNNNNNNNNNNNNNNNNNNNNNNNNNNNNNNNNNNNNNNNNNNNNNNNNNNNNNNNNNNNNNNNNNNNNNNNNNNNNNNNNNNNNNNNNNNNNNNNNNNNNNNNNNNNNNNNNNNNNNNNNNNNNNNNNNNNNNNNNNNNNNNNNNNNNNNNNNNNNNNNNNNNNNNNNNNNNNNNNNNNNNNNNNNNNNNNNNNNNNNNNNNNNNNNNNNNNNNNNNNNNNNNNNNNNNNNNNNNNNNNNNNNNNNNNNNNNNNNNNNNNNNNNNNNNNNNNNNNNNNNNNNNNNNNNNNNNNNNNNNNNNNNNNNNNNNNNNNNNNNNNNNNNNNNNNNNNNNNNNNNNNNNNNNNNNNNNNNNNNNNNNNNNNNNNNNNNNNNNNNNNNNNNNNNNNNNNNNNNNNNNNNNNNNNNNNNNNNNNNNNNNNNNNNNNNNNNNNNNNNNNNNNNNNNNNNNNNNNNNNNNNNNNNNNNNNNNNNNNNNNNNNNNNNNNNNNNNNNNNNNNNNNNNNNNNNNNNNNNNNNNNNNNNNNNNNNNNNNNNNNNNNNNNNNNNNNNNNNNNNNNNNNNNNNNNNNNNNNNNNNNNNNNNNNNNNNNNNNNNNNNNNNNNNNNNNNNNNNNNNNNNNNNNNNNNNNNNNNNNNNNNNNNNNNNNNNNNNNNNNNNNNNNNNNNNNNNNNNNNNNNNNNNNNNNNNNNNNNNNNNNNNNNNNNNNNNNNNNNNNNNNNNNNNNNNNNNNNNNNNNNNNNNNNNNNNNNNNNNNNNNNNNNNNNNNNNNNNNNNNNNNNNNNNNNNNNNNNNNNNNNNNNNNNNNNNNNNNNNNNNNNNNNNNNNNNNNNNNNNNNNNNNNNNNNNNNNNNNNNNNNNNNNNNNNNNNNNNNNNNNNNNNNNNNNNNNNNNNNNNNNNNNNNNNNNNNNNNNNNNNNNNNNNNNNNNNNNNNNNNNNNNNNNNNNNNNNNNNNNNNNNNNNNNNNNNNNNNNNNNNNNNNNNNNNNNNNNNNNNNNNNNNNNNNNNNNNNNNNNNNNNNNNNNNNNNNNNNNNNNNNNNNNNNNNNNNNNNNNNNNNNNNNNNNNNNNNNNNNNNNNNNNNNNNNNNNNNNNNNNNNNNNNNNNNNNNNNNNNNNNNNNNNNNNNNNNNNNNNNNNNNNNNNNNNNNNNNNNNNNNNNNNNNNNNNNNNNNNNNNNNNNNNNNNNNNNNNNNNNNNNNNNNNNNNNNNNNNNNNNNNNNNNNNNNNNNNNNNNNNNNNNNNNNNNNNNNNNNNNNNNNNNNNNNNNNNNNNNNNNNNNNNNNNNNNNNNNNNNNNNNNNNNNNNNNNNNNNNNNNNNNNNNNNNNNNNNNNNNNNNNNNNNNNNNNNNNNNNNNNNNNNNNNNNNNNNNNNNNNNNNNNNNNNNNNNNNNNNNNNNNNNNNNNNNNNNNNNNNNNNNNNNNNNNNNNNNNNNNNNNNNNNNNNNNNNNNNNNNNNNNNNNNNNNNNNNNNNNNNNNNNNNNNNNNNNNNNNNNNNNNNNNNNNNNNNNNNNNNNNNNNNNNNNNNNNNNNNNNNNNNNNNNNNNNNNNNNNNNNNNNNNNNNNNNNNNNNNNNNNNNNNNNNNNNNNNNNNNNNNNNNNNNNNNNNNNNNNNNNNNNNNNNNNNNNNNNNNNNNNNNNNNNNNNNNNNNNNNNNNNNNNNNNNNNNNNNNNNNNNNNNNNNNNNNNNNNNNNNNNNNNNNNNNNNNNNNNNNNNNNNNNNNNNNNNNNNNNNNNNNNNNNNNNNNNNNNNNNNNNNNNNNNNNNNNNNNNNNNNNNNNNNNNNNNNNNNNNNNNNNNNNNNNNNNNNNNNNNNNNNNNNNNNNNNNNNNNNNNNNNNNNNNNNNNNNNNNNNNNNNNNNNNNNNNNNNNNNNNNNNNNNNNNNNNNNNNNNNNNNNNNNNNNNNNNNNNNNNNNNNNNNNNNNNNNNNNNNNNNNNNNNNNNNNNNNNNNNNNNNNNNNNNNNNNNNNNNNNNNNNNNNNNNNNNNNNNNNNNNNNNNNNNNNNNNNNNNNNNNNNNNNNNNNNNNNNNNNNNNNNNNNNNNNNNNNNNNNNNNNNNNNNNNNNNNNNNNNNNNNNNNNNNNNNNNNNNNNNNNNNNNNNNNNNNNNNNNNNNNNNNNNNNNNNNNNNNNNNNNNNNNNNNNNNNNNNNNNNNNNNNNNNNNNNNNNNNNNNNNNNNNNNNNNNNNNNNNNNNNNNNNNNNNNNNNNNNNNNNNNNNNNNNNNNNNNNNNNNNNNNNNNNNNNNNNNNNNNNNNNNNNNNNNNNNNNNNNNNNNNNNNNNNNNNNNNNNNNNNNNNNNNNNNNNNNNNNNNNNNNNNNNNNNNNNNNNNNNNNNNNNNNNNNNNNNNNNNNNNNNNNNNNNNNNNNNNNNNNNNNNNNNNNNNNNNNNNNNNNNNNNNNNNNNNNNNNNNNNNNNNNNNNNNNNNNNNNNNNNNNNNNNNNNNNNNNNNNNNNNNNNNNNNNNNNNNNNNNNNNNNNNNNNNNNNNNNNNNNNNNNNNNNNNNNNNNNNNNNNNNNNNNNNNNNNNNNNNNNNNNNNNNNNNNNNNNNNNNNNNNNNNNNNNNNNNNNNNNNNNNNNNNNNNNNNNNNNNNNNNNNNNNNNNNNNNNNNNNNNNNNNNNNNNNNNNNNNNNNNNNNNNNNNNNNNNNNNNNNNNNNNNNNNNNNNNNNNNNNNNNNNNNNNNNNNNNNNNNNNNNNNNNNNNNNNNNNNNNNNNNNNNNNNNNNNNNNNNNNNNNNNNNNNNNNNNNNNNNNNNNNNNNNNNNNNNNNNNNNNNNNNNNNNNNNNNNNNNNNNNNNNNNNNNNNNNNNNNNNNNNNNNNNNNNNNNNNNNNNNNNNNNNNNNNNNNNNNNNNNNNNNNNNNNNNNNNNNNNNNNNNNNNNNNNNNNNNNNNNNNNNNNNNNNNNNNNNNNNNNNNNNNNNNNNNNNNNNNNNNNNNNNNNNNNNNNNNNNNNNNNNNNNNNNNNNNNNNNNNNNNNNNNNNNNNNNNNNNNNNNNNNNNNNNNNNNNNNNNNNNNNNNNNNNNNNNNNNNNNNNNNNNNNNNNNNNNNNNNNNNNNNNNNNNNNNNNNNNNNNNNNNNCAAAUCGCCCCUGCAAACUUAAGGGAUAAAUACAUUCGUUAUAAACUUACUUUUAAUGCUAACGCUUAUCUCCCGUCCACACUUAUAAAAUCCUUGUUAAAUGAUAAACUUACCCUGAAUUCACCACGUGAGUAUAUACGCUGCUUACGUGGGCGUCCAGGAGGGCGCCUGGUGGCGGGUGGCAGUAGGGCAAAGUUUUGAAAUGAGGUCACCUUCUUCGCUGGGCGAUUGAUAAUCUGGCACUGGGUAAAUACUCACCGCGUAAGCCAUUCGCCAAAACUUAGUCGUUAAUUCCUCCCCGACCAGCUGUUCAACAUUAGCAUUUGACCUUACGGCAGCUGUUACCGCAUGCGAACAAGGGAUAGAUAAGAGUUGAAACUCGCAGCAACUGCAACUCUUCUUGCAUAGAUCCACACGGAAAGUGAACCCUGCUUUGUCUAUCACUUCGAACUCACUAUCGUUGAUGCGCUUUAACACAUACCCGGUCCCUUUCUCGAAGUUAGAAGCCACGAUUGCCUGAACUCUUUUCGUUAGGACACCAGAGUCGUUUGUAGCCUUCUCCCGCCGUUCAUUAAACCAACCCAUCAGGGUGGUGCGAAUGUGUUCCAAUAGAGCCAGAAUUGGAAAGCCUCGAGCUUCAGCCAUUAUAGCGUUUAAUGACUCAGCUAUGUUGCUGGUCAUGACGUUGUACCUCACUCCACUAAAAUGUGCACGGGUCCAUUGCUCAAAUCCUAUGGCGGCGAGGUAUUCUGCACAAGAACGAUCGAUUUCCACUAUCUGGUUAAAGUGUGUGUUAAAAUCCGAGAUGUGAUAUGCUCUGGCUGCCUUGGAUAUCAGGUAUGCUAGUUGCCGUUUUUUGAAGAUGGCUUGGACGUUCCUUUGCAAGUGAACAACGCAGAUCCCAUGUUUAGCUUGCGGGUACACCUAUAGGUAAACAAUAUUUAUUACUAUAGAGGUCUAACUUAACAAGUUACACACAACCUAAAAUUUCCCCAUAAUCAUCGAUUGUAGUUCAUACCUUGCUUAAGGCAGCGUAUAUUGAGUUGUGCCGGUCGGAGACAAAGACCACGUCGUUUGCGUCGGGAAUUACAUUCAGCAGAUUUUGAAAAAACCAGGUCCAGGAUUUGUCAUUUUCCCCAUCCACAAUGGCGAAUGCCACUGGAAAGAUAUGAAAAUUUCCAUCCUGCGCGCUCGCAGUUAGCAUACAGCCUGCAUAAUUACCCUUCAGAUGCGUCCCGUCCACUACAACCACCUUUUGCAUAUACUUCCAUCCUUGCACACAUGCGCCAAAUGCGACGAAAAGGUAUUUGAAACGCUGCCCCUGGCCUUCUUGAAUGUCGGUCUCUAGAUUAACAAUCGUUCCAGGAUUUGUUAUCACCAGUUGUUGGAGAUAAGACGGUAACAACUUGUACGACCCGCCGUUACUCCCCUUCGCAUAAUCCAUUGCCACCUGUCGGGAUCGCCAAGCCUAAAUUUAAAUAAUCAAUGUCUAUCUACAUUAAUACCAUCUAAUAACUUAAAUAGACAAUUCAAGAUAUCUUGCCUUCCAGUAUGAGAUAGGUACAUCGUGGUCAGCUCUCAUCAUCUCCCGCACCUCAUUUGGUUUUGGUCCCGCCCCGCGUCCUGCGUACCGUGCUCGCAUCAUGUCUCCUAUUACCGUUGAUGUGGCAUGUCUUUGGAAAUUCCCUCUCUCGUCAACCGUGCAUAAAUGAUCAGGUUUCACCCUCCUCACUUGGUACCACUCCGACCCACUCAUCUUCACCGCAUAAACCCUCCAUGUACAGCUUUUGCCAACACACUCCAACACCAUAACAGUUGGUGUAGACUUCUUGUGGGUGAACCGAAACUUGUGGUGCAAUGCGUACAUAGCCAUGUGGAGCUUGAAAGCUUCCCUGUUUUUAAACAUCAUACCCACAUACACCUCGUCGUUCCUGCUUAAUCCGUCCCCUGCUUGUUAACACCAAAUGUUACCAUGCGAUUUACAUAUUCAACAUUCGAUUACGACGUUAUUAUUAUAAAUACCCGUUAUCAAAUUUCUUACCGACAAAAACAUCGCCUAUCAUAUCUUCCUCGUCGGUGUCUUCAGCUAUGGGGUCAUUGUUCUCCGAUCCUGAUGGACAGGCUAACGUCAAAGCCAGAUGAGACCCACUCUCUGAGGUGUUCUCUUUUGCCUUCCUUUUCCCUUUAUCUUCACUAAACGUCAGAGUGUGUGGCGUCACGGCACCAACUUCUCCUCUUCCAACAACUGCAUUGCAUGAGUCACCGGUAAAUGUUAUAGCUUUAACUAAAUUUCCUAGCCUAUUCUCUUAACCGUACCUUUCACUGGGGUCAUUAAGGCUAGAUUGGCCAGUGCAUUGUCAAAACUCGCUGGACCCAUGUUGGUGUCCUCUUCAUCAGUAAGCCUUACGAUUUCUUCGUGUUGUCCAUCUCCAUUGCCGGGAUUGUUGCUGGAUCCCGCCGAAGACUGGUUGUCACUCAGCUGGACAACUUGGUUCGUUGUGGAUUGCUGAUGGGCAGCCAUGAGCUGUGCUUCCAGUUCCGUCGACUUCUUUAGUAAGAGUUCUAGCUCAUCUGACGUGCAUACCUCUUCCAACACACUCUGGCUGCACCGAAUCACAUCUCGUGAAAAGAACCCUACAUACACAAUUUUAAGUUACCUAUUUUGUUAUACACUAUGAAAAAAUCUUUAUUAGCAUUUACCAGUGAAUCUUACCACGGUAGUCGAAACUCCCAAACUGGAUUGGUAACGGUUGCACAGAUACCGGAUUAGAUGUUCCUCCAACGUCGUACGUAGCACGUUUCUGAAACUUGUAACGGUUAACGGCAUCAUUUCCUACGGUCACACACAUCGGUAGUUCGGGAACCUCCAUGCGCACAGCCAUGAAAACCCCCACGUCUGCGUUGUUCAGCACAUCUAUCGGCGGAGUUGGAGGUCCGGUGGGUACCAACAUCCAGUCAGGGAAUUGGUAGCUCAAAGCAACCUCUGUGGCGGCGUCAACAUUGCAUCGCACCCUAAUACUGUUCAUAAGCCCGUCGAAGCUCGCGUUCUCCGAGACCAUCAUGCAGAAGCUUUCACCUUCGCUGUCGACCUUAAAACUCCAAGCACCGACUUCCGAUCUUUCCCACGACCCACGGACAAGCAUAACCAAACUUCCAACCAUCUAGCAAAUAAACCAAAAAAAAAUAUUACAUCUACUCAUCAAUAUAUAAUUUCUCGGUAACUUUACAGCGAAAUCAACAUUUAUGGAAGUAUUUAAUGUUGUAAAACGACAGAUUUCAGACUUUAUUGCUCCGGAGUGGUAUUUACUAGGUUACAAAAGGAAUAUAUUGAAGACAUCUGAGUUUAUUGUCGGCUUACCUUUAACGGAAGAAACGGUAGUAUCUUUCUUGACUUAUUCAACUAGAAGACAACUUUAACUUGAGGAUAUCUGUGUGUUCUUUUUCGGAGGUGGCUGAUAAAAGGGAAAUUGGGGACGAUACCUAUUUAUAUAGAGGGUAAAAAACCCUAAUAACAUACACAUACAUACAUACAUCCCAUGACAUGCCACAUAAACAUACGAAAUCUCUUAGAUUUGGCAUUAAAUGCGUAGCUUCGAGAGAGAAGAUUUUCUGUGGACACCAGGAACCUAUUCGCAGACCUAUGAACCGCUAUAGACGUCUAAGUUUGUAGAUAAUAUCUGUACAAUAUCUUAAUUAAAUAAUUUUUUAAUUACUGCCUAAAUUACAGAGAUUGUCGCUAAGGGUUUUUCGGUCAUACACCACCAUUUCGAAAUCCGAAUUCUCCCUCGCUUCACUGUUUUUCCUAUGGACCAAAUUUUGACAAAAAUGACGAAUUUCUAGCAAAUUCACCCUUGAUUAUAAUAUGUAUCUCUAUAAUAUUAUUUGAGAAGUCAUUUUCCUACGUGUCGCGCUCACGUUAAUUCUCACGAGGUUGAUUACAGAGAUACCCUUAAUGAAUUCCAAUUAUUAUAUUUGUUUGCCAUUUUUGAAAUAUUUUAAUAUAAUUUUUGUUUAAUGAUUUUUAAACAUAUUAAUAAAAGGAAAUAAUUUUAAAACAGAAAAUAAUUUUUUGUAUAGAUAUAAAAAACGAAAAAUUACAAAAAAAAGAAAAGUUUUUGAAAAAAUCAUAUUAAAAAGGAAAUAACUUUUGAAUAUAGAUAUAUUUUUAUUAGAUAUAAAAACAUUAAUUCGAAAAAAGGAAAGUCUUUUUUUAAAUCAUACUAAAAAGGAAAGUCAGUUUCCUACGUGUCGCGCUCACGUUAAUUCUCACGAGGUUGAAUACAGAGAUACCCUUAAUGAAUUCCAAUUGUUAUAUUUGUUUACCAUUACUGAAACAUUUUAAUAUAUUUUUGUUUAAUGAUUUUCAAACAUAUUAAUAAAAGGAAAUAAUUUUUCAAACAUAAAAUAAUUUUGGUAUAGAUGUAGAAAACGAAAAUUACAAAAAGGAAAAGUUUUUGAAAAAAUAUAUGAAAAAGGAAAUAACUUUGAAAUAUAGAAAUAUUUUUAUUAGAUAUAAAAAAUUAAUUCUAAAAAAGGAAAGCCUUUUUUAAAUCAUAUUAAAAAGGAAAUAACUUUAAGACAAUUGCCAUUUUAAAAUAUUUUUAAUUUAAUUUUUUUUGUUUAAUGAUUUUUUUUAAAAAUCGCAUUAAUAAAUAAAUUUAAAAUAUAAAAUAAUUUUUUGUAUAUAUACAAAAACGAAAAUUAUAAAAAAUGAAAUUCAUUUUAAAAUCAUAUUAAAAAUGAAAUAACUUUGAAAUAUAAAAAUAUUUUUAUUAGAUAUAAAAACGUUAAUUCAAAAAAAAAGGAAAGUCUCUUUUAAUUCAUAUUAAAAAAUGAUUUAACUUAAAAAUAAUUUUAAAUAUUGUGAUUCCAAAUUAAAACGUUUAAAUGAUCAAGAUUUUAAAUAAAUCAAGACUGAGAUGAUAACUACUAAACCGGAGGUAUUUGGAAACAAUUAAAACAUUUUAAAAAUCUAAAAUAAAAAAAUAAAAAUAUUACAUAAGAAACGUUAAAAACAUUAAAGUUAUUCCAAAUAAAUUUUAUAUAUAAAAACAUUAAAAUUUAAACAAAUUAUCAGUUUUGUUCGUUUAUGCAAAGAGCCAAUCAACAUUUUAGUAUUUGUUUUUUAACUUUUUUUCCAAAAACAUAUAUAAUAUUAUAUAGUAUUUUACGAAAAUAAAUUUAUAAAUCUAUUUAAAUAAAUAAUAAAGAAGAACCGGACUAAUCAAAUUUUAUGGAUGAAAUCACAUGUCUAAUUUAAAUAAUAACAUAAAUUUAAAAUAAUAUUUCAUUUCCUUUUCAUACAUAUAAAUUACAUAAAUGUUUGAAAAUAUAAACAAAUAAUAGUGAAUAUUAACCAAUUAUGAUAUCUUUAUUUUUGUAAAUAUCCAUAUACAUUCAUGAGUUUUCAAAAUAUUACUAGUGGUUCAUUUAUGUAAUUUUAAACCGAUCUAUACUUAUCUUUACAAAUCUAAGACUAAAACCGACCGAACUUUAGCCUAAAUAGAACCAAAAACUAAUUGUAUUUCAAUUUGAAGGAAUAUAUGCCACAUAAUAAAUCUAAAAAUGAAUAACGUUACAUAUCUAAAUUCUUAUACUAAAAACAUGUUUAAUAAGAUAUAUAACAUCAUAAAAAUUAGUUAAAACAAUCUUCUAUUUACAUACAUAUAGUUAACAAAACAAAUAGAGACUUAUAAAUAAAUAAAAGCUAACAUUAACCAAUAAUUUUAAUUUAGUUAUUUUGUAAAUAUUUAUAUCCGUGCAUGAGCACCGGAGAAUCACCUAGUUACAAUAAUUUGGAGUAACAAAAAAAUUCCAAAUUCAUCAAUAUUUUGGACAUAUAUUUAAAAAUGAUACAUACAAACAAAAAUCUCCAUAACCAAAAUCUGUAUAGUUUAAAACCUAAAAUCACAGCCUAAACCCAACAGGCCACGACCAUAAUUUUUAGACAAAAAAAAAAAAAAAAAAAAGACCCAACAGGCGACGACCAUAAUUUGUUCUUAAUAAAACGAGUUAGCCUGUAUAUAAAUAAAGUCUUCUUACACAAAGUCGAAAUCCAACAGAGAGAUUAACAAAAAGUUAGAAAAGGGGAGAAAUUAAGAAGCAAAAGAGAAAAAUCAGAUCAUCUUUUGGGGUUUUGGAAAACGAUGGAUAGACUUGAUGGUCCACCACGUCUUAUACUAGUUACUGAUCUUGAUUGCACAUUGGUACUUCCUAUUUCCUCUCACACACUUCUGAUUUCAAUACUCUUUUUUUUUUUUACCUCUUUCACGGAAAAAAAACAUAUCAUUCAUAUUCUCUCCCUAAAUCCGUAGGUUGAUCACGAUGAUCCUGAAAACACCGACCUCCUUAGAUUCAACGCGCUAUGGGAAGCUCACUACCGCCAUGAUUCAUUGCUUGUUUACUCCACCGGAAGGUCCAUGCGUUCUUACUUGAGUCUUAGGAAGAAGAAGCCGUUGUUGACUCCGGACAUCGCCAUUACUUCUGUCGGCUCCGAGAUUGCUUACGGCGGCGGCGAAUCGAUGGUCUCUGAUCAUGUUUGGGAGGCUCGUUUGGAUGAAAUGUGGAACAGAGACAUUGUCGUUGAGGAAUCUUCUAAGUUCCCUCAACUUGAGCCGCAGGUUUUUAUUAUUUAUUUGUUUGAGAGAGGAUUUGAUAUUUUGGCUCUUUCCUGCGUUGACUUUGACUUUCUGUUUCAUUUGAUUAUUACAAUGGGUUUGGUUUUGUUGGCAUAAAUAAAGCUGAUUGUGGUUUUGUUUUACUGUUUGGACACUUGUCUGAUUUGAAUAAAAUGUUAUUUUUUUACUGUUAUAGGCAGAGAAGAGCCAAGAGGAGCACAAAGUGAGUUUUAAUGUUGAAAGAGUACAUGCUUUGGAAAUAAUGAAGGUUCUUCCAGGGAGAUUAUUGGAGCGUGGGGUGAGACUAUUUUUUGUGUACCACUCACGUGACAUUUGAUGGCUAUUCUUAUCAUGUAUUGUACCUUUUGGUGCUGAUGACUGUUAAAUACCCGUAUAGGUGGAUGUGAAGCUGGUUUAUAGCAACGACUUUGCUUUUGAUGUUUUACCAAGAGCAUCUGGCAAAGGAGGAGCUCUGACUUAUCUACUUGAAAAGUUGGAGAUUGAAGGGAAGCAGCCUUGUAACAUACUUGCUUGUGGUGACUCUGGAAACGAUGCUGAGCUUUUCAACAUUCCUCAAGCAUAUGGUGUAAUGGUUAGUUUCCUACUGUUUAUUUUUAUCAUUCUUGAUUGCACUCUGGUAGUUGUGAUGCUGUUUUACUGUUUAAGGUUAGCAAUUCGCACAACGAACUAUUGCAAUGGCACGAAGAAAAUGCAAAGGACAACCCAAAAAUAAUUCUUGCGUCCGAGAGAUGUGGAGCUGGCAUGAUCGAGGCCUUACAAAGGUUUAAUCUGGGACCAAGCGCCUCUCCGAGAGAUGUUUUGGAUACUGAAAAUUUCCACGUGGAAAUUUUGGAUCCUGCUCAUGAGGUGGUUCAGUUUUAUUUGCUUUACGAGAAAUGGCGCUGUGCAGAGGUGGAGAAGUCUGACAAGUAUUUGCAGAACUUGAAAUCGCUCUCUGUAAGUGUGUUUUCUUCGUUUGACUGCCUAGAAAAUACUUCUUUCUUGAGAAUUAUUGAAGAUGAGGGAGCAUCUGAGUAAUGUUUCAAGUGCCCAGAUCAAUAAUUUUGAAGAUGAUCUUGAUUCACUGUAUCGUGUAUACGGAUUAAUUGGCUUAAUUGUUUUGCUUUUGCAAUGUUUCAGAGUCCACUUGGUAUUUUUGUUCAUCCGUCUGGAGUGGAGAAACCGAUACAUGAAUGGAUAGACGAUUUGGAAAAUUUACAUGGGGACGGGAAGGAGAAGCAGUUUCGCAUUUGGUUGGAUAGAGUUUCGUCUUCUCUUAUCAGCUCUGAGACAUGGAUUGUAAAAUUUGACAAGCAUGAGUUAUCUGGUAAGAAAUCUAGUCUUUUACUUAUCUCUUUUAGUAUAUAAGAUCAAUCCUUUCAGGCAAGUAAAUUGCAAAACAGUUAUCUUAAUGUUUUAGUCUUAUUUGUUUUGUGUUGUAUUCAGAGGGAAAAGUAGGGUCUUGUUCGACAAGAGUCUUACUAAGUUGCCAGGUAAACCUAUGUACUUUUUAAGUUUUUUUAACGACUUGAUUGAUUAAACAAUAUUGAAAAUCUGAAAAUGGGGUUUGAAAUGAAAGGAGGAAAAGCAAAAGCUGACGUGGAUGCACAUCCACCAAUCAUGGUUAGCUGAUUCCUGUUCAGAUGAUCAAGACAAAUGGAUUUUCUGAAACUGGACUGACAUAUUAAGAUGAUGAUACCUGUUUGGGACAGGAGCUAACCAAAAAAGAGCAUAGUGUUUGUUUUGUGUUAUGUGUUGGUUUCGUUAAUACUCUUUUACAGAAUUUGAAAAGUAUAAACAAGGAAUAUUGUGCCUGAAUUGAUCUGUCUUGGAUCAUAAUUUAGGACCUUUUGGGGCAGGGAGAGUUUUGGGUCUCUACAAUAAAACCCUACAUUUCUUUUGUUCAUGUUUUGGGUAACUCUUGGUUUUUUCCUUUGUUCAUUCGUUAUGUACUUGUUGAUUGUUGUCUUCGACACUGAUUAAGAAAGAAAUCGUGUUUGAUUCUUUUUUGGUUUACAGGGAUUGUUAUGUACUAUAUUUCGCUUUGGUUCGGUCUAGGGUACUGGUUCGGUUUUUUCAAAUAUUUUUCAUCGGUUUGAUUCAAAUUUAAUUCGGAUCUUGAAAGAAAAAGAAAAAACUGUUUUUUUAACCAUAACAAAUUACCAAAGUUUUGUUCAAUUCUACGAUUACUCGCGAAUCCCGCCUCGGAUACUGUAAUCUAAGGAUAAAGAAAAAGGAUAUGAUGGAGCUAAGAGGAGACGCAAGUUACGGAACAUGAUUUAAUGCAUAAGUCUAAUUACUAAUUACCCACCACUUUCCGUAAUUAACGCCCUUUUUCACUUUAUCCACUUUUUGGCUUAUUUUCUUUAUAUUACUAUUUCUUUCUCCAAGCUCACUCACACUGCUCAGUGCUCAGUCAGUUUCCUCCAAAUGGCUACCUUAAACACUCGAGUCAUCUUCUUUUCUCUGUGUCUCAUCCUUAGCAAAAAAGCAUCGUCGCAGCUUGAUGAGCUAUGGCUAGUCGGUGACGACGACGACGAUCCACUCAACGCCUUGCAGACAAGGCGUGCAAAAAGAGAGGAGAAGUGCGACUACUCGGUGGGGAAAUGGAGCUACGACGAAACGUAUCCGCUCUAUGACUCAAACUGUCCAUACCUGAGCUCUGCGCUAAGUUGCCAGAGAAAUGGAAGGCCCGACUCUUACUACCAAAAAUGGAGAUGGAUCCCUAAGUCUUGUUCACUUUCAAGGCACACAUCCACUCUUCUAAUAUCUAUCUAUUCUUACUUCUUUUUAACAAGUUUUUCUUGUUAAAUUUCGUUCCAUAAGAGAAUUCGGUUAGAAUAUUAUGGCGAGCCAAAUGGUAAUUGCAUGCGGACUUAGUGGUAUGAAAGACGAGUUGAAAAAGUGGUAUUAAAGAUGAAUCGGAUAAAGAUACAAGUUAGAUAAAUGUUUUCAUUUCCAUUCAUUCCUCUGCAAUGUAGUAGACUAGUGGAAUAUUUUGUUAUGGAACUAGUUAAUUUUCAGUUUCUUUUCUAUAGGACUAUAGGAGCGUGUGGAAUUUGUUUCAUGACUUUCACUUUAGAUACGCAGCCAAUUUUGGUUUUUGUAUUUUAAAACGCAACUAAUUGAAAAUAUUUUUGCAUGAGUUUAAAAUUUGGAAGAUUAGCUGAAGAAAUAUUGGAUAAUAUAAAAUAAAUUAUCUUAAAUCACAAAUUAUUUAUUUUGAUUAAUGUACUUUCUAUGUUCAUAUUUAUCUGAAAAAUAAGAUACUAUGAUCUAGUGAUUUUAAAAUUUUAAACAGCGUUUUAAAUCCACAAUUUGCAAGUUUUAUUCCUACCAACAUAAGCUCUUUUUAAUUGAUUGGGGUUUAGGUUUGACGCAUUGAAAUUUCUGGGGAAAAUGAGGCAAAAAAGAAUAAUGUUGGUCGGAGAUUCAAUUAUGAGAAACCAGUGGGAAUCUCUUGUCUGCUUAGUACAGUCUGUGCUUCCCACGCAUCGUAAGAAGGUCACUUACAAUGGUCCUACAAUGUCUUUCCAUUCUCUGGUAACAAUCAUGACUCUUUUUAACAUAGAUCUCCUUUUGGAUCACAUACUCAUAAUUGGUCAGUAAAAAGCAACUAUAAUAAGUUUGGUUACUUGCAGGAUUUUGAGACAUCAAUUGAGUUCUGUUGGGCUCCUCUGCUUGUGGAACUCAAGAAAGGAAAUGACCGUAAAAGAUUGUUACAUUUGGACUUAAUCGAAGGCAACGCUAGAUACUGGCGAGGUGUCGAUGUUCUUGUAUUUGAUUCUGCUCACUGGUGGACUCACUCUCAGAAACGGAGUUCGUAAGCCAUCAACAAAACCUUUAUCAGCUUUGGUUUAAUUAGAAGCAAAUGAUUAGUAUAGAACUGUUUAAGCUCUAACAAUGACUAGAUUAAUCCAUGUUUCUUAUCUAUUACUUUAGGUGUGUCUUAUGUCAGAUGUGAACGAUAACACAAGUUAUUGAUGCUUUAGGUGGGACUAUUACAAAGAUGGGAACAAGCUUUUCAAAGCUAUGGAUCCAAUGGUUGCUUAUGAGAGAGGACUUACAACAUGGUCUAAAUGGGUAGAGAUUAAUCUUGAUCCAUCCAAAACCAAAGUCAUUUUCCGCACAAGCUCACCGAGGUCUAUACUUUUCCUAAUAUCAUAACAUCAAUUACAUGAAAGCAAAGGUGAUCAUGUCAUAUUUUCGUUGGCAGAGAGAGUGGUCAAAAGUGCUACAACCAGAGACAUCCGUUGCCUUCUCCUAGCGAAUCACACGUUCCUCAACAAUCAAGAGUGUUAAAAAAAGUCCUUACGAGAAUGAAAUAUCGAGUGUAUUUGCAUGAUAUCACAACAAUGUCGGCUUAUAGGAGAGAUGGGCAUCCUUCUGUGUUCAAGAGAGCAAUGCGAGAGGAAGAGAAGCACCAUCAUAUCGCUGGAUCUUUAUCAGACUGUAGUCACUGGUGCUUGCCUGGUGUCCCGGAUAUUUGGAAUGAGAUGCUUUCUUCAAUAAUCUUAACCAAAGUUGCAUGAGUUACGUGUCUGUUUUACUUAGUCCUGGGCUUUCGGGUGUUACUUGUAUGAGUUAUGAGUCUGUUUUGGAAAGUGAAGUCAGUGGUUUACUAUAUGUAUACCUUUUCCCCGAAACUAACAACCCAAUAAUCAAAGACAAGACAGCUCAAGGCCUUUAAGCAUAUAGCAUCAAUAGAUCAUGAAAAUAGUAUUCUCUUUGCAUUUCGCUUCAGCUUUUCGGAUUGUAUAUAUGCAUCAUUAUUACUAUGUUUACUGAAUGUGAAAACCAGCAUAUGGUUAAUGGGAAAACAAUAUUCUCUGUAUCCAUUUGUUUGUCACUUUAUGCAUUAAGUUCCGUUUAGCAUAAUGUUUUGUAGAGAGACUUUUUUUACUUUGGAUGAUUCAGUUCGUUUAAUUUGUCUUAAAAAGGACACCAAGAUUCCCAAACAAACGCUACAAAGUAAAUAAUGUAUAAGCAAAAAGACUAGGCCUGGGUUUGUUUAAACGUUUUUUACAUCUUCAGUUACAUGAGAAAAUAUUUAUGUAUCCAAAAUCUUUUUUUCUUUGUUAAAGAUGUAUCCAAAGAUUCUAAUUGUUUAAAAAAAAGAAAACAAUUUUUUUCUUCUGAUUCUCAAAAUACCCUUUAUCUGUGGCCACUGCUACCUAACUCCUUUUAUAUUCCUCAAACUUUGUAGGUUAUGUUUUGGUGUUGUCACCAUAAUAAAACUAUAUAGUAUAUACCAGUUUCAUAUUUUUGGGCGAAAACUAUAUACUAUUUGAUACGAGAGUAAAGUAAUGACCCCCAAUAUAAUAUUUGAAUAAAAUAAUAUAUAUGAUAUUUUGUCCGAAUUCCGUUAUGAGUCACUUUUGUUUCUCCGUCUCUUUUAAUUUACUUUCGAUUUAAUCACUUGAAAGCUCCUCCAGAUCUCUCUCUGGGGGCAACGAAGAUCAUCACCUCCUCUAUAGGCCUUUGGAGUAACCUUCGGAAGUUUCAUAUGGCGGCGGAGAAUUGGGUGUACAUGGUGACGGCGCAAACGCCGACGAACAUCGCGGUGAUUAAGUAUUGGGGAAAGAGAGAUGAGGUUCGGAUUCUCCCCGUCAACGACAGCAUUAGUGUAACUCUUGAUCCUGAUCACCUCUGCACCGUCACCACUGUCGCCGUUAGUCCUUCUUUCGAUCGGGAUCGAAUGUGGCUCAAUGGCAAGGUACUUUCACGAUCUCCUAUGUUCGUCUCUUUGCUGAGAUUUCGUAUCCAGUGAUCAAACCUUAAAGAUGGGUUUUUAGUUCAUUAAUGGGAUAAGUCAUGAUGUUAAAUAAAGUUAGUAUUUUUGCUUCAUUAGUUAGAUGAUUGGGAAUUAAAUGUUUAAAGGCAGAGUCUUUAAUGAUUUAAAUGAGUCAUUUUGUUUGUUUGUUUCAUGUUAGUAUAGGAGAUCUCUCUUUCUGGGAGUAGGUACCAAAACUGUUUGAGGGAGAUUCGAAGUCGUGCUGGUGAUGUUGAAGACAAGGAGAAAGGUGUCAAGAUAGGGAAGAAAGAUUGGGAGAAACUACAUCUUCAUAUUGCUUCUCAUAACAACUUCCCUACUGCUGCUGGCUUAGCAUCUUCAGCAGCUGGAUUCGCUUGUCUAGGUAUUCUGCCGUUUUUUUUCUCUCUGUUAACCUCGUGGGGUUGAUUUAAACCUUCAUGCUAAAUUGAAAUUUUGUCAGAUUUUAGCUCUUCGUCUUUCCACUGAUGAGAUGAACAUGGCUCGUAGUUUAUGUCAAACUGCUUUUUUCCUGCAGUUUUUUCUCUUGCAAAGUUGAUGAAUGUAGAUGAGGAUCCAAGCCAACUUUCUGCGAUAGCCAGGUACGUAUGCAGUCGACUUCCUUGCACUAUCAUUCCUUACAUCUUAUGUUCCUCAUGCAUUGAUUAUAUACAUGCUAUCAUUUUCCACAAUGAUCCAUAUUGGUUUUUAGUUGAGUUACCUUGAAACGUGGCAUUCCUCUAGAUUAUAAGUGAUACUGGUAUGCACAGUUUAACUUUCAAUCUCAUGUAGGCAAGGUUCAGGAAGUGCUUGCCGUAGUUUAUUUGGUGGAUUUGUCGAGUGGAAAAUGGGAAGCAAAGACGAUGGAAGUGACAGCGUUGCAGUUCAAUUGACAGAUGAGAAGCAUUGGGAUGAUCUUGUUAUCAUCAUUGCUGUGGUAUGGAUCUUUUCAAUCUUUCAUUAAGUGUGACUUUAGACUUGUUCGUAGAGUUAUUCCCAUUCUCCCAUCUCCCAGAUCACGCCGUUUACAAAUUUUACCGUAUGCUACAAUCUCAAUCGUCAUACGAUUUGAAUGAAUAGCUCUAUAAAUGACUAUAUACCAGGACUUGAUUUUGAAUUGCUUUAUAUAAACUGAUGAACAUUAGCAGAUAAUCGAUUCAUACAGCCACACUCUUCUGCAUUAUGGCAUGAUUAAGACAAGCUCAAAUAAUAUGAUCUAAAAUUUGUGAUAGUCCAGUGCCUACUUAUCAUAUUUCUUACAUAGCCUGUAUGAGCUUCUGUGUUAAUGUGUAUUUGUAACUGGUUUAAGCUUAUGCUACACCCAGGUGAGUUCAAGGCAGAAGGAAACCAGCAGCACCUCUGGAAUGCGUGAAAGUGUUGAGACGAGUUUGCUUUUACAGCACAGAGCAAAAGUAUGUUCUCUUCUUGAUGUUUGAUGGAAGUCUGUAAUCUGUAUUAACUGUUAAAAGUUCAUGUUCUGUUCUUUUCUUUCUCUGUAGGAUGUUGUGCCGAAAAGGAUUCUGCAAAUGGAGGAAGCUAUUAAAAACCGAGAUUUUGCAUCUUUUACCCAAUUGAGCUGCGCAGACAGUAAUCAAUUUCAUGCUGUUUGUCUAGAUACAUCUCCACCCAUAUUUUACAUGAAUGACACCUCCCACAGGUAUAUUUCUAUUUUGACAAUUAUAUGCUUCUUCUUCUUAUUUAGGUAUAUCAAACUCCUUUUCUCCUUUUAAUAUCAAGCUGUCGUUAACUGCUUCCCCAGGAUAAUUAGCUUAGUUGAAAAGUGGAACCGUUCUGAAGGUACUCCUCAGGUAAACUCCUACCAAGCUGUUUCUUGCUCAAGCUUUUGACCAUUUGUUAGUUCCUAGUACUUGUACUGGCGUAGAUUUAUCUCAAAUCUCACUGCAGAAACUACUCUGUGUUACUCUAUAAACAACAAAUAACUCGAAUAACUUAAAUCUGAACAGGUUGCUUACACAUUUGAUGCUGGCCCAAAUGCUGUACUGAUUGCAGGCAACAGAAAGGUAGCAGUUCAAUUGCUCCAGGGACUUCUAUACUAUUUCCCUCCUAAGUCUGACACUGAUAUGAAGAGGUGAGAGAUAGAAACUUCGUGAUUCUUUUACUGCGGCUUUCGAUGAGUUUAACCCAUGACUAAAAAGGGCUGUUUGGAAUGAUUUUGGUUUCUUUGUUUACCAGUUACGUAGUGGGAGAUAAUUCGAUUCUAAAGGAGGCAGGACUAGAUGGAGCAAACAGUGUAGAGAAUCUACAACCUCCACCUGAAAUUAAAGACAACAUUGGAUCUCAGGAUCAAAAAGGAGAAGUCAGUUAUUUUAUCUGCACUAGACCUGGAAGAGGUCCCGUCGUGCUUCCCGACCAAACUCAGGCUCUUCUUGAUAAAAAAACCGGCCUUCCCAAGUGAGCAUGUCUGCUUCAAUCUAAUGUUAUGUGAUUAGCAGCAUCCUUUAACUGCGAGUUUUAAAAAGAUAUUUGUGGCAGAAUAAUAAUUGCAAGCUCCGUUGUUAUCUACUACUAGCUUUCGUAUUUCCAAUAAAAAGAUAAAUUCAUUGUUUUUGUUUUACCAGAGUACAUUUGUUUUAACUACACCGCAACAUAUACCAAAAAUUUACAAAGAACGAAAAGAAAUACAUACAUGAUACAGAAGAAAUCCAUACAUAAUACUAUAUUUUGUACAAUAUUUUUUUCUUUUCCUGAUUCUAAACAAUGUCAAAUUGAAUGAAUUAAAUUUAAGAUGCUUGGGGAAUAGGCAAUAGUUCCUUCAAGACAGUUUCUGCCACCCCAUCAGCAUUUGGAAACAAAUGACCAGCGCCUGGAACCUCAUGAUACUUGAUCCAAGUUAGCUUCUGAGCAAUGAUCCUUUGUAGUUGUACCGGGACAAGUCUAUCAUCAUCACCUUGCCACAAGUGAACCGAUCCUUCACCUUUCGGGAAUGGAUUCUCGAUCUUCAUCGGGUCAAAACCCCAUUUCCCAAAUCCGACAAUCAUGUCGCGGUCUAAUGAUUCGUGUGUCCCUUGUUGCGUUGUUUGGUUCUUGUAAGCGACCCUUCCGGCAAGUUUGGGCAGUAAAGCCAUAUCUUGAGGAGAGAAUAUUGUAGGUCUUGAUUGCAUCACAGCUGAUGUUUGGAAAAGCUUUUGAUUGUUCCACCAAUAGAGCAGCCAUGGAGUGUUGUGAGUGAGGAGCAUCGCAAACCUUUCGGUUCUAGAUUGCUUGUUCCAUAGUUCCCAUGUCAAACUAUCCGGGAAACUAGGCCACCAUGAGUUGGUUACAGGACAAAGCAAUGUGGCUCCAGCGAGCCUGUGAGGGAUGUAUUUGAGAACACCCCAAACGGCUUGGCCUCCCAUUGAGUAUCCAACCACGUAAAAUUUGGAACCAAGUUGUAAUUGGUCAGCGAGUUGUUCAACGUCAUGAGCUAAAGUCUUUUCAUUGCGACUCGAGUCAGGAUCGCUCUCUCCAUACCCAGGUCGAUCAUAUGAUACCACGUAGAUGCCGUUUUUCUCAAGAAACCCCUGACCAAAACAAACAACGCAAUUACUCUAGGUAGGGCUCAAUUGUAUUCAAAUGCAUAUUUUUGCAUUAGCGUUUACAUGUAAAAUAUAAACAUUUUUUUUUUUUUUUUGCUUAACCAGGUGGUGGUUUGGGCCUUGGGCCUUAAUCCACCCCCUAGGCCCGGAUCCAGCCUGUGUCUGUACCUUCUUAAGGGCCCUGGACAAUCCUCCCCGACCGAGACUCGAACCGGUGACCUCUCAAACAAUUGCCUGAGGUGAAACCAGCUGAGCUAGCUCGUCCGGGUAAAAAAUAAAAUAUAAACAUUUCAAACAAGAUACUUUACAUUUGAAAAUAUUUUUAGCAAAGUGUAAACGUAAGCUUCAAACGCAAAGAAGCUUUGUUUAAGACGAUAGUGGUUGUUGGUUUAUCUAGAAGAAAAAAAUCAUAGUACAUAUAUAAACAAAAAGCUAAUGUAAAAAAGCAAACGCAUGCAUGCAGAUUAACAAUCUGAGUCAUAGAGUUGUGGGUUCAUCUGAAAAAACAAUGCACAUUAAACGAAAGAAGCAAAUGCAAAUGCAAACAAUCGAGGCGUUAAAAAAGAACACAAAGAAGAGAGAAAAGAUCGAAUCAUUACAGGACGAACACGGUUGGCGAUAACAGCAUCGCGCCUAAAGGUGGCGAAUGCAUGGAUAAAGAUGAUCUUGAAUGUGGCGUUUUGUCUACUAACUCCAUGUUCUUGGUAGGCUAAAUAGCGUCCAUCGCUGAGCCGGACCCUCGGGGCGGUAAUAGGCGGCCCACCGGGGGUACCACAUCUCUUAGAAGGUGGAGGUGUAAAGGAAACAAUAGCCCAUGCCCCUAAUGCAAUCAAUACUAUUACAACGGCUCCUCCAACUAACCCUGUCAAAAUUCUCGAUAAAAACAAUCAGUUAUCACAUUUUCUUCGUCGCUUAGCAAAUUUACUUCAUUUGAACUAAUCAAAAACUCACAUUUCUUCAUGCUGAAAAACCUUGGCAGAAGUUGGCCGAAUUCUUAAAGGCAAUACCAACUUAUAAUCAAAUAAAUUGGCAUGUAUAGGUUUAAAAGUGUUGAUCUUGGAUAUGUAUAAAUAGAGAGAGAGGUGGUAAAACUUAAAUCGACAGAAGAAAACCCUACAAUUCUUCCAUCUCACAUAUCGAGCAUAUAUGACAACGUAAAUCACGGUGGAUUCGCUGAAAGACUAUUUUUCUUUUGAGGAGUUGAUCCAGAAAUAGGAGGUAGCUGCAAAACCCAACUAUUGGAGCAAUCGUUCCCACAAACGUAUUAACUACUUUUGUUUUAGGAGGAGCCAAUGACAGACGCAAGUUUAAUUAGUUUCACCCGUUUUCUCUAAUCGUCGGAACCCCUAUGUAGAACAACUUUUGCAAAGUGUCAUCAGAGGGAUUACAGUUGUAUGUGGACAAUUGGACGGAUCAACUCAAGAAGUAUAAAGUGCCAUGUGUUCAACAAUUCAAUAGUGACUACUAGAGAGCAAAAUCAAAAUCAAUUUUCAGAGUUAAAAUACAACCAACACAUUAAAAUUCCAACACCACUUUACACACACAAAACCUCUCAACAGUCAAUUAUUGUCAGACAUAUCACGAAACCUCGCAAGUGCUUUCUUAUGGAGAACAGUUCUGUAGGUAUCGCCAGGCUGAGCCUCAAACUCAGCAUCAAGUUUCUUCUGGUGACUCCCAAGUCCUGCUCUCCUAUCAACGCCUUGCGCUUGCACCGGUUCUUUCAUUCCACUCCCGUCUCUCCCUAAACCCUGCACUUACCAACCAACCAUCACCACUCUCUUCUUCUCUGCCAUAACAAUAUAACCUUAAGGAUAAAAACCAGAUUAAUGGUUUAUAAAAGUUUACCGAUCCUUCGUGCCAACCCAUGUUUCUCAACAUUCUGUUUCCCACGUUACUUUCGUCUAUUGCUUUAUCUUCUGUAAUUACAUCGAAACUACUGACUUCGGUCGUGGUAAUCCCACGUCCACCCACACCAGGAGGAAAAGGUGUUGGAUCCGAUGAACCUUUUCUCAACCCCAUAAUAUCUUCACCUUCAUUCAAAACACGCACCAUUUUCCCAGUUAUGUUAUUAUCAUAUAACUCCUCAAUACCAGUUUUUAUUUCUGUAUAAAAAUCUACUCCAGAGUGAGAGAAGUCAAGGACGCUUACUUGAAUCAAUAACAUCAUUGCCGCCGGGAGCUGAAGAACCGUAUAAGUUUCUUCUUUCUGCAGCACGGUCCCGGUAUGAUGUCAGAGGCUGUUCACUGUGAGUGGGCACUGCAGUCGGCGUUUCAGAGAACCUUCUUCUCCCACUCCCAGAAACCGAAACCGGAACCGAAGGGGAAGGAGCAGAAGGCAAAACUGGAGGCACUUGUACAUUAGCUGAAGAAGAAGUUCCUCCAAAAGAACCUCUCAUCACCCCCAUCAAAGGUCUUCCUCCUGUACUGCUACUCGAGCUUUCUGUAGUGGGAGUUGUUGCAAGUGCGGCAACUCCAUGAUUGGAGGUAGUUCUCUCCUUUGCAAUCAUUGUGUCAGAUUUCAGCUUGCCCUUGGAUGGUACAGCGGAGAAAGACGACCUUGCUUCAGACAGAACUGUAGGUGGAUUGUCAACACCAAGUGAGGGACGUUGUGUUUGUGGUUCAUGGCUCCGCUGCUUCCACAUUGUUAAAACAUUACUCAUUUUUUUCUUGCUAGCCAGUAUGCUACUCUUUGAUGCAAGUUUUAUUUCCUUCACUCUUUCUUUUUCUCUCUUCUCCGAAGCAAUUGCUGCUGCUGCAGCCGCCUGUACCGCAUCUGGUAAGGAGAUAGCCUUGUCUACAGUGGGGGUAGCAGCCGCAGAGAUAAUAACUUUUUGUUGACUGGAUUUCUCCGUCUUGGCAAUCUCUGGUUGCGUUUCAGUUGAUUUACUCUGAUUGUUUUGAUCAGGACAAGCUACAUAUUGUUGCGUUUGAGGGUCAUACGAGUACCAAAGCCCACUACUGCUGUCAUAGUAUAGACCUGCAAAUUUAGAAGCUAUGUUUAUUUUUCUUUCCUAAAAACUACGCUUCCCAGUAGCUUGAAGAGCUUCCAUGGAAGUACCAAGUCCCGUGAGACGCACGUGAGGAGGUCCUCCGGGUCUAGAAGCUAGGAUGUGGAAUAAACCAGGCCAUUGAAGUCCCUGCAUGAUAUCCAAAUCGAUGAUGUGCACACUAUCUUCUUUCUCAAAAGCUUCUUGUAUCGCUUGAUUAGCUGUAAAGUGUGAGAAUUUCACCAAAGGGCUUAUCCCAUUAAACACUUGAAACGCAGAGACCAUCUUCAAGCUGUGCGUUUGUGGCAUCCACCGUGAAGGCAACGCCGCGUAAAUCCCGAGGCAAGAGUUGAGUAAUCUCGCAGACAUUGCUUCCGAGAAAUACGCAGCGACUCUCUGCGCAGAUGUUCCGUAUGGAGUAGAGAGCUGAGAGAUCUCGAGGAGAAGCUUGUUUGCUUCUUCGAGAUUGUCCGCAGAGACUGCUUCAGCACACUGUAGCAGCAACGUGAGAAGAUGCAAGCCUUCUUCGUCUUGCUUCUGUCUCUUAAUCUCUUCUUUUCUCUCUCUUAACGCCUCCGCCGUGUUUGCUACGGUGGUCUCCGUGCUGGUCACUGUCUCAGGCGGCGGUGCAUCGGUGGAAGAAUUCUCCCUUUCUUGCUGCUGAAUUGGAGGAGGUGUUGGCUUAGGCUGUUGUUGCUGUUGUUGCUGUUGUUGUUGUUGCUGUUGUUGUUGUUGCGUUACAGGAGGAGAAGGAUUGUUAGAGAUCUGAUGAUAUAGAGGUUGAGUGAUGGAGUCGAAAGGUUGAGGAGGAGAAGGGUCGGAGGACGAAGAAGGGUCAAGAAGCAUGAGAGAUCGGAGUCUGUACUCGAGAAGAGCGCCGAGAUUUGGGUUACAAGGGAAAAUGAUGUCUCUGACGUUUUGGAUAAGCUGUGGGAUAGAGACUGAAGUUGAGGAGUGGAUUAAGUCUCUGAUAAUGGCGUCGACCCACACAGUAGGUGAAGAAGAAGAAGACGAAGAGUCUUGUUCCAUUGGCUGUACGGACAUCGCUGUCCGGCGGUCGGAAGGAAACACCGGAAGACCGGAGAAGCCACAUACAGAGAGCGGUGGGGUCGGCUGAGUGGUAUAGUCGGCCGCCGCCGUUAUAGGUGGUGGUGGUGGAGGAGAAGUGAUGGUGUAGUUGGAGUCAAGUUGGUGAGAGACACGGCGAGGAGGAGGACGAUGGUUGUUGUAGUCAGGGUUGUUUAAGGAAGAAGAUGAAGACAUCUCGGAAGCUAAUCGCUUUCUCACCAUAACUGAUGGUGGAGGAGGAGGAGGUGGAGCAGUACGGUUGCUGCUGCUACUGCCAGAAGAAGUUGUUCUAAUGGGACUAUGAGGCUGACCGCCGUUGAACUCGCCGGAUUCCGCCAUGGAGAUUGGAGGGUUCGUCGUGAGAUUGCAUGGUUAUAAAUAGAGGAUAACAACAGCAACAAAAAAAAAAAAAGAACCAAACUUUGAAAAUCCAAAAUCGAUAAUCCAAACAGAAAAGGGUGUUUUGCAGGUAAGUAGCCUCUCUCUCUCUCUCUAUGGGGAUUCUUAAUUUAACUUUGAUAUUCUUCUUUCUUCACGAUCUCCGAUGAUGAUAAAUGAGGAAAAAUGAAAGCAAAAUUUAACAAAUGAAGGAUCGGAGUGUAUUUGGAAGGGAGUGUGUUGGAGAAGGAUGAUUCCCGUAGAAAGGGGGGAGCUUUGUGGUGGACGAGGACACUGAGCCUGGCCGUAUCUAACUCGUCUUCCUCCUUUCGAAUUAUUGUGAAUGUCGCUUCGUACAUUUAAUGGCUCUUUCCACCUCUAUUCAUAUUAACUCUUUCUCUCUCUCUCUCUUUCUCUGAGGUUUUAUUAAAUUAAUUUGGUUUUAAAAAUAAUAUAAAUGGGAAGAGAUUAGGUGGGAGAUCGGAGAUGUUCGUCGUUGCGUGUUUGACAUCUUCCUUUUGCCGAUCCAUCUUGUUUCUUCCUCCACCUCUCCCUGUCUUAAAAUAACAACAAGAAGAUAACAUUUUCAUUGGUAUAAUUAUGAGUUUAGCUCAUUUUUCGUGGAACCGUUGCAGUAUAUAUUAUUCUUUAUAAUAAUCGACAAAAAUGACUAUUAGAUUGAUUUUUAGUGUUCGACCCCUUCGUUGGGUCAGACAAUGGGACCGAUAAUUAGAUUCUACACCACAAAACCAAAUUUUCCAAGGCCAUAGAUCAUCAUUAUAUACGCCAAGACAAAAAAAAUGGUUAGUUCUAAACCGGAUUCUACCGUAGUUGAUUGUUCACCAUUCAAUAUGUUACUAUUUGUGAGCUAAACGGAAUGUAGAAAACGGAAAGGAUAUUUAAGGUUUCAAGAUUGUAAAGUGAUAACCCCUUUUUUACAAUUUCUCGGAGGAAUUAAAAAAAAAAAGUGAUUAAAGUUGACAGUUUUAGUGUUGAACAAAUGUUCUUAGGAUGAAGCUGAAGUGCCAUUGCCAAGUAGUUCAAAAUUAGGUAACAACUCAUUUAUAUAGAUUUAUAAACGUUUUUGAAGGUGUUAAAGAAAAGUGAUAUUAAUUUGGUCCCCAUACUGAGAUUGUAUUUGGAUAGCAAACUUGCUGCUAGUUUGUAGUGAAAAUUAGCCUAAAGAAGGGAAAAUAGAAGGGAAGUUAAGUCUUAGUUCAAAAAAAAAAAAAAAAAAAAGAAGGGAAGUUAAGUCUCGUUUUAUUAAAAAGGUAAAAAUAAAAGGAGCCAAGCAGCAAUUUCUAAAAUAUCCACGGACCACAGCAUUUACAUGUGAGAGGAAUUGGACAAGACGUAGUAAGCUAAAACAGUAAAUACAAAGGCGAACAAGUAAAGAGAUGCACAUGUUUUGUAGAGUCCAUUACACCAACUGUCAAACUCCAGUUCCCGAUAAAAUCUGAAACUAGUGUUUGACAUUUUGCUUUCAUCUGCAUCCUCAUCUUUUCCCUUUUUUCCCUUUUUUAACAAUUUCAUUUUUAAACUAUUAUUAUAUUAUUAUAUAUUAAUUUAAUUACGAAGUUUUGGACCUGUUUGACUGACAGUUUUUAGACUUUUGUACGUCAAACACUAGCCCCCAUGGCCUUAUAAUAAUAGCAUGGCUUGGGAAAUGGCCGUGUUGUCCAAAAAAAAAAAAAAGGGAAAUGGCAGUGAACCCUAGAGAAACCAUCCACGCUUUUUACGAUCAUUUUUUUCCCCUUUUUCACUUAAAUUUUAUUUUAUUAACUUCAUCACAACACAAACACAAACACAAACACACGGCUCAAUAUGAAAGAUCUCAGCGUAAAAAGCUGAGUGUCUUUCUCUAAGUUCAUACUCAAAAGUCGUUAUUGCCCUUUCAGAUUAAUUGGCAUGUAGGCUGUAGCUCUUUACACAGCCGUGCAUAUUUUUUCAAUAGUGGUUGUUGAGAAAUCUUUAGCAAAUUUAAUAUUUAAAAUACAUAUUAAUUUUAUUAAAAAAAAUAUUUUCACUGGUUAACUUUUUGCUAUAAUACAAAUUAAUUUUACAAAACAAAUUCUUUUCACUAGUUAAUAUUUUGUUUUACACAAUAUGAUUUUAACGGGAGACAUAUCCAUCCGCGUAGAUGUUGGUGUUGGGUUUCGUGCCCAAUUUGAUUUAGAAAAACUAAAAAGCCCAUUACAGUAUAUAGGUCAGGUCGAAGAAUUAGCCCAACAACGGUUCAUACAAAGUUCUAACAUCACACAAUAUACAUAUAUAUAUACAUUUUGAUUCAAUCCGGAUAAAGUAUCUAACACAAACUUAAAUUUCUUAUUUCCAACAACUUAAAAUCAAACUGAUCAAUCGAAAUUUUGAUUUUUUUUGGAUUUUGUUUCCAAAUCAAAUAAGUAGGUUGAUUUUUUUUUUUGGACAAACUAAACUUUCAGUAAUUUAACAGAGUUCAACUCCACUAAGAGUGGAUACAAAGCGGCCAAAAGAAGCCGAACAAGACAAAGGAUUGAUAAAACGAGAGAUAGAUGGAUAUAAAUCAUACCAAAACACAACAAUCAAUCGAACAACGAUCUUGUAAUCUUCUUGAACAGUUACAUCCAAUGUAACCUGAAAGGCUACAAACACUGCAACAAAGGCAGAGAAGACCAUCAGCCGGGAGGAAGAUCCUUGCAAUACCGACGAUGCUUGAAAAUCCAAACCACUCCCGAUAGGAGGGACAAUUGGGAAGAGAGACUGCUCCAUAAAGGAGGCAACAGGGUAUUCCAUCACCAUUUUCACCAGGGAAAACAUGAGUUUUCUUUUAUAUGGCCAUGAAGAAAGAAGAACCAAAAACACAUUACCAAGAUUCGGAUAGAAAACAUUAAAGAUCAUGGAUAGUGCAGUAAAGGAUCGCACCAAGGCGAUAUGAAAUCUAGUAAAACGCAUAGGCACACCCGAUGAAACAAAGGUAAUUAAGUCUGUUGGGUCAUCAUAAACUAGCACCAUACCCAACCAAUCCAGUAUUAUCCACUCAACAAGCCUUUCAUACCAUUUCACACAAGAGGAAAUGGAGAGUGAAGAGCAAAAGCGAACCUGGAAAACCAAGAUAGGGGAGGUGGUGAUGAUGGUAAAAGUUCGUAGAGGAAGCCAGACUACGCGCCUGUGGAGUAACAGUCUGCAUACUGCAGAAAACAAGCGUCCAAAGAUGAAGUUGGUGUCGCGGAAGAUGGUGUCGCCGCAGCUAUCAAUGAGGUAAUGGCUUGACACAUGAAUCACGAAAUUCGAUAGAAACCUUCCUCGAGAAUCAGAAAUCGAAGUGAGAUCCAAACCAAACUAUUGGACAAUAGAAAAUAAGCUGCUACAGAACACCGUUACCAAGAGUCCAAGAGUUGCGAUAGACUGGAAGCACAUUGCAGCUAGCUCUAGCCAUGAAACUCGGGAGUUGGACCAAACGCGAAGCAAGAAGAUGAUUCUUGUGCAUAGAGCAGUAAAGUGUGGCGCGAAGGACACCAAGUUGAAAUCUAGAAGGACCAUUGGACGCCAAACACCAGAGCUUGCACCAUGUCCGGAAGGAGAACCGGGAUCUAACCAUAAGAGUAGACCACAGGGAUUCACCAGCGGAGGAGGAAGCAAAGGCCAGGAGAGGAAACGAGAGAGCGAUGACCACAUUAGUAGAUCCGAUGGUUUCGGUGGAGGGAUUGGCCGCCACAGAAGUCGAACAAACCAGAGGGGAGAACGAGAUGUUGACAGAAUGGUCAGAUCCGGAUGAAAGGCAGAGAAGGUUGAGACCUCCGUCCUCGAGAGAGCCAUGGAAACUUUCUGAGAAAUCAACCGGAGAAAGAGAGUUCAGCCAGAUGGAGGAGGAGGAAGCUGUGAAAUCUCUCCGACGACGGCCACUAAACAGCGAAAGGAAACUACAGCUUAAGAUGUCAGCAACAAGCUAAAUGAGAAGAUGACCACGAGGAGCCUCCAAUUUCAGAUGAAGAGUCUCCAGCGGAGGAGAUCUUCUCCAAAAUCGGAGCAAGACGGCGGCGGCAAGGUUGGCUUUUCUAGGACAAACUCGUUUCUAGAGAGAGAGGCGUCUUAUUUUUUUAUGUAUCCAAAUUUCAAGUUCGUUUGCAAUAAAGAAGUAGGUUGACUAAAAUUGAAACUCAACCACACUAAACUUAGCAUUAAAUUGAUUACGAUACUAUCUAAACCCCAAUCGAAAAGAUUAACCAAAACCAAAAUUUAACUUUCCUACUUAAUAUAUAUGCAAAAUUAAAUAAGAGAAAGAGAGGAAGGGAGAAAUUAUACAAUAGGGAAAGGAGCAUCUUCUUGCUUGGACAUAACCCAUGGGACACCUGUGGACAACCGGCCAAUGCCAUUGCAGCUGUCCACUUUUUGUACGCCUUUCCUGCUGAUCCUAGCUCCCAUUCCAUUGGUCCAUACUCAUUCUCUAUCUGCCCAUUUUGUUUAGCAUUGACAUUUCUAUUAUAGUGUGUGUGUAUAUAUAUAUAUAUAUAAGCAUCGUACUAUAUGAUAAGGUAAAUUCAGUUUGAACAACAAAGAAAACACAAUUGAACCUGUGAGAGAAUAAUGGGUCCUCCUUGAGUCUCAAACAACUUUUCUUCUUUCAUCAUAUCCACAGUCUUCUUAGUAAAUUUUUGCAUUGCGAACUUUUCAGUGAUCACAUCAAAUUACGGUUUUUAAUUGUCAAAUGAAAGAACCAGAAACUGAAAUUUACUAGGUGUCGAAUGUUAUACCUUAAAAGGUCCAUUAUCGAUUCUGAAAACUAUACCCGGGACAUAUUUGAGCCAAACAGGAAACCCCCUAACAAUUCAGAAAACAUAUAUAAGUAAAUGUAUAUAUAUUCAUAAGAAACAAAAAAUCUUUUUACUAAUAGAAUAAACACAAAAAUUGAUUAUAUUUACCCGAAAUUCCACUCUGCACAAACAUAUGGACCAGUUCUUAAACUAACAUAGAGACCAGCUUGUGCACCAGCUUGAUAAAUUUAACCAGAUCAUACCUAUCCCCAAAAUAAAAAUGGGGAAACAAAAUUAUAGAGCAUUAAGAAUUUAUAUGACUUAUAUAUGAGUCAAUUGUAAGAAAAUUGCAGUAGAAUUCUUUAAAUUACUUCUCCAGGGGUAGGUUCAUGUCCAUUCCAGAAAACAUAAGUUUGUAUGACAUCUAAACCACCUUCUUUGGCCUUCUUUAUAAGAUCAGGCCACAUCUGCAUAUAACAAAGCAUCCACAAUUCUAUAUAAACAAAUAUAAUUAAUUUGCAAUGAAAUAGCCUAGGCUAUGAGAAAAAGAGCUCAGAAAAACAACAAAACAAUAUAUGUAGAAAAAUCAAAGCAAUCAUUCAGUAAAUUUAAUCAGAACCCAAUAAAUUUUUCAUUGAUUAGAGAGAGGUUAAUGUGCUUAAUUAAUUGAAUCCAAAAGAUUACCUCAGGAGUGCUUCUUGGGUAGUGAAUAGAACCAGAGAGAAGGAUCCUUCUCUGCCCAUUGAUGAUUAAAGCUUUAUGAUCAUAAGAUACCAAUGCUUUGGUUGAGCAAAUCAACAGUGAAAAACACAAAAUUGCCAGAAAAAUCCAAGAUUUAUCCCUAAAACUGAUACUCAUUUUCCCACUUUCGUUGAAAAACCAAACCUCACUAUAUUUUCAGUUUAUUUUAGAAGCUGGUAAAGAAGAUUCAGUGAAAUAAUUAGCUACUGGAGUUGGAAUGAAUGAUGGUCCUAAAAGUUUAUAUAUGUAGAGUUUGACACUUAUCCUACUGUACGUAUAGAUUAAUGAAUGCAUACGAAAAUGAGAAAAAUUGUGGGAGCCAAUCUCUCUGCUUAUUGAGCGGAUAACGACUUUAAGACCUUGUGCCCUACCAGUUGAGAAUUUUUCAUUUUUUUGGCAUUACUUUCGAUAUAUUUUGUCAAAUUAUAUACAGUAGUAUUAAACUUUCUAUGAAUUUUUUUUGUUUUCAAAUUUUUUUUUUCCACUUCUUCAAUCUUUUUUUUUUGUGACACUACUUCUUCAAUCACAUACCAUUUUUCUAUAUAACUUUUCUUUUUGGUCACGGGAAAUUUUAUGUAACGUAAAAGUGGUCAACUCCACUAUUAAUGUCAUUAUGGACUCCAAUAUGUCAAUAUCAUAUACAAUGGAGAUGCGAUUUACGAAUAUGGUUUGACCACAUCAGAUUGUUACUAGUCGCUUAUUCGAGAUUGAAGAAAAAUACGAGACCUUAGAAAGAAAAUGCAAUACCUAUUGAUACGACGAAAAGUACAAAAUAAAAAGAUAUGACGAAACGCACGUUUUAAUUAAGGGAGAGUUUGGUGUAUAACCAUAUUAGCCAAAAAAUAUGCUCCUAUAACCAUGUAAUAAAUUUAUUAGUUUGUUAGGUUUUUUGGUCCAAAAUUGGACUAGUUUCUCCCUCUUGCGCGUGGGCAUAGGUAAGAGAGAGUGAAUUUUUUUUUCUUUUUCUUUUCUAUUAUAAAUAUAUAGCUUCACCCCAUUGAUUUUAUUUAGGUUAUUAAUUUUAUAUUAAUAAGUAGUUAAAUAUUUCAAUACUAAAAACAAAACACAGAUUUUUUUCUGAAUUCGCCAAAGUUUGAAUUUUUAAAAACAAACAAUUUCUUAAUUAGAUGAAUAGUAUCAUUAUUUAAAAAUAGUAUAGCAUAAAUAAAUCUAUAUAAAUAAUACUAAUAUACUAUACUAUUCAAGAAACUCAACACAUUCACAUAUAAUAUAUAUAGUAAUACUCUUACUAUACUAUAUUUGUUAGUAUAAAUAUNNNNNNNNNNNNNNNNNNNNNNNNNNNNNNNNNNNNNNNNNNNNNNNNNNNNNNNNNNNNNNNNNNNNNNNNNNNNNNNNNNNNNNNNNNNNNNNNNNNNAACUUGAUACAUAUUGCAAGUUGUGUGGUCCUUGACUCUAUGUAGGAAGGUCCUUGACUACAAAGUUAUUGCACAACAAGCUUGUUGAUGUUGCCCAACUAAUGAUCCAAUGCAUUGCAACAUAUACAUACUGGUUAAACUGGAUUGAAGCUUCCUAGCUACCUAGUUAUCAUUUGUUCAUCUGUCACUUUUAGAUGAACCUAAUAUUUGGCGAUAACAAAAGAACUGCAUGCUUAAUAGAUUGUUUGUUUUUCCUUAUAAAAGCCAGAUAGGAGUGUUGUAAUGGAUUAGUCAAGCAUGAAUAUGAUAAAAUAAGUUUUAACUGGGUAUGAUGAAAUAAGUUUGGAGUUAGCUAGGCAUGCCGACUCGGUUCCAGCAGAACCCUGUCCCACCAUGUUUGCAGUCUCCACUUGAUUUCACAAUUUCAGUCACAGGACCUAAUCCCAGACCUAACAUCUCGUGUUCUCCUUUUUACUCCGUUUCUUCGUUUCUCAUCUUACUCCGUUUUUCAUUUCUCUCGUGUCGGAAAUUCUAAGUCUUGCUAACCAUUUCAGUCUCUGCAAUUGAGCUUCGUAUUUCAAACACCACAACCAUCGUUCGCGAAGAAAAACGGAUUCAAUCUCAGUCUUCGUUUUAAUUUAUCUUGUAUCCGCAAAUCUGCAAUUCAGCUUCCCAUUUCAGUCGAUUUAAACUCAUUGACAUUGUUCGCAAAGAAAUCUGACGCAGCAAAGGUAAUAUCGAAUUUUCACUUUCGAAAUUGUAGUCAUUUUCUGGGUUCUUACAUGUUAAAGUGAAUUGGUUCAAUUCUGUUAAAUUGCAAGAUUUAUUCGCUUCAGAUUUAGUUUUCCUGUGAAAGGUACUAUGCCGUUAAGAGUUAAGUGUUUCUUUUGACUUAAUUGUUUCUUUGAUGUAGUCGAUUUAUAUUUUUGCUUUCUUUUGUAGAUCUGUUUAACUAAAAGAGAAGACAAUCUAUAAGGUAGCUUACUCAGACUCGAUUCUUAUCAUACACCUCGUUCUCUAUUGUUGAUGUGCCUUAACUUUAGUCCACUUGAUAUCAACUUGUAUGCACAUUUGGUCGGAGCUACUGCAACAUGGAUAAAGCUUGGAUCUGGUUACCAAGGUAUUAAUUUGAAUGUUAUUACACUGCUUCAAUUAUUUCAUUCAUGAUGUAUUAUGGAAAAAGAUUGGAUCCUCAGAUUUAUUUUACACUUAAUAUUAUUUACAGGAAUUGUGUUGAGUGUGAGGAAGGAGCAACCAAGUUUGUGGUUGAUUCAGCACGAAGUUUGGGCAAUGUAUCAGAUAUGUUUUUCCUUGCAUUGAUUGCCGCAAUGUGGUUCAUCAGCCAAAUGAGACAGUGUUAGAGCAUCUGGUGAUAAGAGGGAUGGAUCUGAAGUACAAGAGAAGCAAAUUUUGGAGUAAUUAAACACGGGGAUGUAAGGACUGACAAGCCAACUGAUGUUCAAACUUCUGAAUAUGAGGCUUAUGAAUUGAUUAUGACAGCUUUUAUGGCGAGUGAAGGCAAUCGAUCAUCUCAGGAUCAGAUUUUAGAAGAGGCUGAGGAUAUUGACAUUGAAGAAGAAGCUGAGUUUAGGAAGAAGUUAGAGGAUGCAAAAACUCCAUUGUACCCGAGUUGUCUGAAAUACACAAAGGUAUCCGCAAUAAUGGGACUGUAUCGGAUGAAGGUCAAGAGUGGUAUGUCAGAGAAUUUUUUUGAUCAGCUUUUGACACUUGUUCAUGACAUUUUACCUGGAUUCAACGUCCUGCCUAAGUCUACAGAUGAGAUGAAGAGAUUCUUUAAGCUUUUUGGAUUUGGUUAUGAUGCUAUUCACGCCUGUAGAAAUGAUUGCAUCCUUUUUCGGAAUGAUAUGAGGAUUUGGUGAGCUGCCCAAGAUGUAGUGAAUGUAGAUGGGAAAAGGAUAAGCACACCGGUGAUGAGAAGGUAGGGAUUCCAGCAAAGGUGCUAAUGUAUUUUCCUAUAAAAGAUAGAUUUAGGAGGAUGUUUAUAUCAAAACGGUUGGCUGAGAAUUUGCGUUGGCACUACACAAAUGCUAGUGCAUAUGGUAAAAUACGGCAUCUAGUUGACUCCUUGACAUGGGUUCAGGUCAACGAGAAAUGGCCAGAGUUUGCUGCUGAUCUGAGAAAUCUUAGACUAGGUCUGUCCACUGAAGGGACGAGUCCGUUUUCUAUCCAAACCACCAAGUACACCACAAGGCCAGUGCUGUUAGUGAAUUACAAUAUGGCUCCAACUGAGUGUAUGAAAGCAGAGAACAUCAUGCUGACAAUGUUAAUUCCAGGACCAACCGCACCAAGCAACAACAUUGAUGUAUAUCUACAGCCGUUGAUAGAUGAUCUAAGGGACUUGUGGAAUGAAGGUAUUGAAGUGUUUGACUCGUUUAAGAAGGAGAGCUUCACUCUAAGAGCUAUGCUUCUAUGGACCGUCACUGACUAUCCGGCUUUAGGAUCAUUAGGUGGAUGUAAAGUGAAGGGUAAGCAAGCUUGUAAUGUCUAUGGGAAGGAUACACCUCAUAGGUGGUUAAAGUAUAGUCGCAAGCAUGUCUAUAUGGGCAAUAGGAAGCGCUUGAGACCUGGUCAUCCUUACAGGCGUAAGAAAGGGUGUUUGACAACACAGUUGAGGUUGGUACUGCAAAAAGAAUUCAGACUGGAGCAGAAAUCUAUGAGAGCCUUAAAGACUUUAGGAAUGAAUUUGGUAAACCUUUAGUCAAGAAUGGGAAGAGAAAAAAGAUUGAAAUAGAAGAAGAUGAUGUCUCUUCAGCCGAUGAGUAUGAAGAAGACGAUAACCAAUGGCGAUGGAAAAAAGAUCAAUCUUUUUUUAAUUACCGUACUGGAAGGUUAGUCUUUUUAACUGUAAAAAGUUAUUAUGUGUUUUACUUUAAACUAAUACAAUCUCUUUCUCAUAUCUACUUGUGUUUUACGUUACAGGACAUGCCUGUUAGGCAUAAUAUAGAUGUAAUGCACGUUAAAAGAAUGUGUCUGAUGCUCUAUUAUCAAUCUUGAUGCAUAAUGCGAAAUCAAAAAAUGGCUUGAAAGCAAGAAGAGACUUAGAAGACAUUGGGAUUCGAAGAAACUUACAUUCACAUAUACGUGGGAAGAGAACUUUCUUACCUCCGGCGACAUAUUGGCUUUCAAAAGAAGAAAAACGUAUAUUCUGCAGAAGGUUAUUUAAAUUCAGAGGCCCUGAUGGAUAUUGUGCCAACAUCUCAAAUUGCGUGUCAGUAGAUCCUCCCACCAUUGGUAGUAUGAAGUCACAUGACCAUCAUGUUCUAGUACAGAAUCUGUUACCUGUGGCAUUGAGAGGUUUGCUGCCUAAAGGACCUCGGAUUGCAUUGAACCGUAUCUACAAUUACUUCAAUAGGUUGUGCCAACGUGUAGUUGAUCCGGAGAAGCUAUUAAACUUAGAAUCAGAAAUUGUAGAAACGAUGUGCCAGUUAGAGCGAUACUUUCCACCUUCACUGUGUGAUAUUAUGUUUCAUCUGCCAAUACAUCUAGCAAGAGAAACACGCUUGGGUGGUCCGGUACACUUCAUAUGGAUGUACCCUUUCGAGAGGUAAUGUUUCCUUUUUGUUUAUAGUUACAUUAUAAACUGAUAGUAUAUGUUGCUAUUACUCAUAAUAAGUGUUUGUGUUCACAUGUAGGUAUAUGAAUACACUAAAAGCAUAUGUGAAGAACUUUGUAAGGCCAGAGGCUUGUAUGGCUGAGGGCUACUUGGCUGGUGAAUGCAUUGCAUUCUGUUUGGAGUUCCUUCAGAAUUCUGUUCCAGUUGAAGAAACAGUUAAUCGCAAUGAAGAUGUAGAGGCAGAGCAACAUACUCGAAGGUCGACCAUUACAGAAAGCAACAGAAAAGAUCCUUACAGAUAAAGAGCGAGACAUAGCUCACAAGUAUAUUCUCAUGAAUACAGCAGUCAUGGAUCCAUAUGUUGAAUAAGUUAGACGCUAUAUAGUUUAUAUUAUAAACUUACUUUUACUGCGUACGAGACUAACUUUAUUGAAAUUAGGAUGUAUUUGGAAGAACUGCAAGCUACAGAUGCAAGAUGCGCAAGAAAUGAAACUCUACUAUGGAAAUAUCAUACAGAAAGGUUCCCACAGUGGAUAAAAAAAAGGUUUGAAGAAUUUCAUAUCGGAAUUGCUUUUUUCUCAAUUUUAUAUUUAUAUUAAGUUUCAUGAUAAUAAAUUUUUCCCCUGUUUCAUGGUAGAUACCAACAAACUCAAAGGACCAUUCUAGUACGCUCAGAUGGCUUGCUUUUGGACCAAGAAACAUUGCUCAAACCUACAAGGGAUAUAUAGUGAACGGCCAUAGGUUCCAGAUAGACGAUGUGAAGAGGAAGACUCAGAAUAGUGGAGUCACUUACGAAGCUGUUUCUAUGUGUCGAGCUAGUGCUAAAGAUACUAGACAAUUGGCAGGCAUAGUAUCAUUCUAUGGAGUAAUAAAGGAGAUCCUGUUAGUGGACUACCACAUGUUCCAGGUUCCACUAUUUCAUUGUAGUUGGGCUAACAAAGGGAAUGGGGUGAAAGAGGAAGAUGGUUUCACACUAGUCAAUCUUCAUAUGAACCAGUCAUCAUAUGUAAAUGAUCCUUUCAUUCUGGCAUCGCAAGCUAAACAAGUGUUUUACUCUAGAGAUGAUGAGUGCUCACUUUGGUAUGUUGUCAUGAGGGCGCCACCUAGAGGAUACCAUGAACUCGAGACAGAAGAGGCGUCUGUUUAUACAACAAUACCAGUCCAGACAAUUGAUGAUUUUGUAGAUCAAUUGUCUGAUGACGAGAGUUUUUGUGUGAGGAAUGAUUGUGAAGGUGUUAUAGUAGACAAUUAACACUAAAUCAGUUUUAUUUUGCUGCAGGUAAUCAAAAACGAUGAAAACUGUAGGUGUUACCGACAUCUGUCGCAGUAAGCGUCAAGCAGGCCUUGAUGUGAGCCCUGUAGUGUCACUGAAUCAGAAGAAAAAAAAAAGGAUGUUCCACCCGAGAAUGUAGAGGAAGAUAGAAAAAGAUCAAGUGGAUGACGAAUCAGUAGAAGAACAAUCCCCUGGUCUACAAGACGAACCCAUUCCCCCUACUACUAGAAGCGUGGUCCAAUGCGUCUGAAUCACCGACGCAACAAUCAGAUAACAAAAAGAGGAAGUCAAGAGGUCCAACGAGAAUGCGAAAAGUGGGGAAGAGUGUGGACGAUAAGGUUCAAGUAGAAUUCAAUUCACUAGGUGAGCAUGUUGGUUCGGGAUCAGUGACACUCGCAUCCUUCCUUGGUCCUCUUGUGAGAGAGCAUGUUCCAGUACUGCUAGAUAACUGGAGACAUCUUGAUGACAAUAUAAAAGACAUAAUGUGGGAAGAAAUUCAGAUAAUGUUGGCCUUUUGUUGUACUAAACGUUUAAUUAUCAAAGUAAUUUUUUCUUGUAGUUUUAACUUGGCAAUGUUUGACAGAGGAGGUUCAAUUUGAAAGAAGAUUGGUAAAAGGACGUUGUCUUCAGGCAGAUGGGUGAUUUGUGGAGGGCUUCUAAGUCUCGGCUUGCUUCCAAAGUUUGAUCCACUAAAAGUAAGGUUGCACUACAGCAACUAAAGCCUAGCAACAUCCAAUGUGCAUCAGCUUGGAACAGUUGGGUGAAAAAUAGGAAUAGCACAGCUGCUGAGGUUAGUUUUAGUGUCGAUUGAUUAUUGAUAAGAUACAUUUAUGACAGUAGUUAUACAUGUAAUCUAACCGUUUGUGUCAAUAGGAACAAAGUGAAAAAUUCAAGCAAUUGAGGAAGGGUCAAAUUCCUCAUACUACCAGCCGUAAAGGAAUGACUCGUUUAGCUCAUGAUAUGGUAUGUAUGUCUGUGCGUGUCUUAAAUUAGUUAGUUGUAUUGGUAGUGGAUUUAUUUGACAAGGAUUUACAUGCACUUGUAGAAAAAAAUUAGUUCUGACCCUAGGAAAGUUACUAGAAGCAAGGUGUGGCUAGCAGGACAUACUCAUUCUGAUGGGAGACCUGUGAGGGAAGAAUUUUCGGAAACUAUUGUAAGUUAAACUUAAAUUCUUAUUACGGUUUGUGUUUAAGUCAGUACUUGCGACACAUUAUGUAUUAACUUUUAUUUUAGGAAAGGAUUAAGAUAAUUGAUAGUGAAAUGGACUCAUCAUCCACGGAUAAUGUUAAGGAAGAUGCUGUGAGUCAGGUACUAGGAAAAGAUAGACCAGGAAGAAUUAGGGGGAUGGGUAGAGGCGCUACUGUUACCAAGUUGGCCUACUUGCAGGCUAGAGACUCACAUGUUCAGAAGCUUGAAGCUACUCAAGCAGAAUUAGUUAGCAAGGUUGAGUAUUUGCAGAAUGUGGUUAGUGAAAUAACAAGUAAAAAGGUACAUUUUUUUAUAUAAAAAAACUUGUUAAUUGACAAUCUAAACUUUUAUGUUUAACGAUGCCAACUUAUAUUUUAUGGUUUUAUUGUCCUCUUUAUCAACAGACUGAUAAUGUCUCCAAGUCUGAUAUAAGAGAUGUUAGCAAAGGAGGCAUUAGGUGCCAGCUACUGGAUUGGUAUUCAGAUGAGGAGGUGGUUGUUGCUGAAGGAGAAUUUUGCUCCAAUGAACCAACAUAUAAGAUUAGUCAAAUUCCAUUAGGCCCAAAUGCAGCUGUUGUAAUGGUGACUUCCACAUCAGUCGUAGAUGCAUCUGUCUGGCGACCUACUCCAACCAUUGUUACGCUUAAACAGGCGGUAGGAGUUAAAAUAGCAUGGCCCUGUGAUAAGAUAAUAUUGGACGAGGAUGAUGACUUAACCCAACCUCCAGAUACUGUCGGAUCAGAGGUAAAUUACUCCUGCGUUUGUGUUCAUCUAAAUUCAUACAGAUCACUUUAACUAAUACAAAUAUUUAUGCAAAAUAAAUCAUUAGCAAACGGAUGGAUCAGUGGGAAGAGUUCAAAUAUAUAAGUAUUGGACUGGAGGUGAUGAAUUAAUUGCUCAGGGUAGGUUGUUGUCAACUGACCCUUAAGAAUUGGUGAACGAAACUCCGCUAGGACCAAAUGCUGCAGUUGUUAAGGUCGAUAUGGUGGUUAAACCUGGAGCUUAUUUAUGGAGACCAAGCCAUGCAAUCUCAUUGAUGGGUGAUGCACUAAAUCAGACUAUCGCAUGGCCUAUUGGUAGGUUACACCUACCAGAUCCAUCUACAACGGAUGAAUCAAACAAAAAAUCACCAGAGGUCAGUUUUUCCAACUAUUUGUUGAUUUGGUUGUGUUGAUAGUAAUUAUGUUACUUAGCGAAUAGAAAUUAUGGUACUUAGCGAAUGGAAUGAGUUUGAGAAUAUCUAUUUGUUGACUUGGUUGUGUUGAUGUUGCCGUGAUGUUAGACUGAAAGCUUUUGUAAUUUUGGUUUUAGAGUGGUAGUCCCAGCACUGGUAAUAGCGGAAAAGGUGUUAAACAGAAGUGCGUUCUGUUAGAUAUUGACAAUUCUGGGGCAAGAGUUGCAUUAGGUCGUGGGUUUUCAACAGAUCCAACCGAGAUGGUCCAUUUUGUCCCUUUAGGUCCCAAUGCUACGAAGGUCUGGGUAGAGAUUUCGAAAUUUAUUGAAGCACCAGUGUUGAGAGCAAAUUCUGAAGUCCAAUGCAUCGCUGAUGCAGUAGGAACUACAUUGGCAUGUCCUAAUGACAAGAUAAUAUUCAUGUGAGAGAGACAAGUGUGAAACAUUUGGGUUUAUGUACUUUAGACUUCUUAUUGUAGUGACUCUAAUAAUAUGUCGAAUUAAAGCUUGUGUUGACUUUGUUGUGACAGUUAUAUUAUGUUUAGUAUUAAUAAAGUAUUUUGAUAUUAUCAAUAUAACAGGAUAUAACAGAAUUGAAUAUAUAUCGAAUUAUAUUCAAUUACAAAUAUAAUGCAUAUUAAUCAUUACGUUUUUCUAAAUGCUAUAGUAUUAAUUAACAUAACAAUUACGAAACGCUGUUAAUAAUAUCAAUGAUAACAAAACACAUACACUAUUAUAAAAUAUUUAAUUGCAUUCAGAAAAAUGCUAUUGUAUAUGAAACUACGAUAGCGUAUCAAAAAACGCUAUCUAAAGUGUCUGACCUAUUAUGACGGGCGCAAAUAAAAUGUUUAUUAAAACGCUAUGAUAUCGUUAGAUAGCGUUAUUCAGGUGCUAUUAAAGGCCUUUUUCUUGUAUGAGAGGUAAAAUGUCUUUGUCUGGUAGGAUGAGUCUCUUGUUACCUCCUAAUGAGCAUGUUAUGCUCUAUCGUAAACCUCUUUUACCUCUCUGUGAGGCCUCAUAUCUAGUAGUUACUGAUUCGUCGAGAUUGUUUCCUGCUUCCUCUUGGUUAGGAAUAAAUAAUCUUCAGUUUAGCACUAUCCUUGAGUAUCGAAUUCUUUUAGACUAUUCCACCUAUGCGUUCUGCUUUAUGGAGCCAGUAUUUCUCUCUAAACUUUCACUUGUUCUGUGUGGUUCUGUGAUUGGGAGCUUUAUGGUGAAGAUGUUUCUGCUUGUCGUGGAAUCUCAAAGCCAGCCCUUCUCUUAUUCAGCUAUCUUUGAAGCUGAUUUGUUGGUCUUUGCGACCGUUGAGAAAUGUAUAUUUCAUGGUGAAUUUGUCUGGAGCUGUCAAUUGGUUAAGGAAGCUUUCCUUUUCGAAGGUGGUCUUUCGAAGUUUUGUUGGUAAUGUUUCUAUUUUCGUCGUUAUCUCUUCUCUUCAGCUUUGUUAUUUUUACUUUCCCUAAUGGCUUGAUCAACCUGUUGAUUAAGGCUUGUGUUGUUUGGGCUUCUAAUAGCCAUGUUGUAAUCUCCAUUAUCCUGCUUCAGUUUUUCCGAAACUAUUUGGAAGUUUAAUUUCUCUUUUUUAGUUUGUAAUAAUUUUUGAAAAUUUACUCAUAAUGUUUAUCUCGAAAAUGACUAAUACAGAGUAUUAAUUUUCUUUAGAUUUGAUAUUUGUUUCUUGCAUUAGCACGAAGUCUCGCUGUCCGAUAGCGAGUCAGUGAGUCCAGAGACAAUGCGCCUCCCCACCUGAUGGUAUAGAAAGUUUUUAUAUGAAAUUUCAAAUUUAGCUUAAGUUAUAUUUUUCUGCUUUUAUUUGCGAGUUCAUUUAAAUUAAGGUUACUAAAAAAAAUUCUAUAAAUUAUCUUGUUUUCUUGAAUCUCCGUUGUGUCAUGAAAUUUCGAUCUUUAUCAAUAAGUAGGUUUUUGAUCUGUUGAUAUAGGAUAGCCAACAUAAACAUAAAUUUGGUUUUUGGUUUUACAUUUAGAAAUCACAUAAAAGUAGGUCAUUGGUUCCGCGUUUGUUUUUCUCACAUCUAUUAAAAUUUAAUGAAACUUGUAUCGGUAUUCAGGUAACUAAAAUAUAAAAUUCAGCUUUGUUUCUUUGUUAUAUGGAAACAAAUCGGACAGCUAAUAUUGCUUAUUGCUAAUUAAUGUGAUCGACAAGAUUUUUUUUUUCUUUUUGAUAGAUCAAAUGUGAUGCAAAACAAUUACCUUCUAAGCUUCGCCAAAAAAAAAAAAAAAAAAAAUGUGAUGCAAAAAAAGGUGACUUCAUAAGUCGUCUGUUUCUAGCGGAAUUAAUCCAUCCACGUCAGUAUUUAUCUAUAUCGUUUUACCUCAAGGAAAUUUAAGAACAAAUCAGACAUAUCUUUUUCAUUUCUUAAUCAUGACAGACAUGAUUUCACUAUUAAAAGAAAACCGUCACGUCCUUUUUUUUUUUUUGGGAAAUGGAUGGAUAACGAUUCACUAUAGUGUCAAAUAAUUAGUCAAUCUUGUGAAUUGGAGUACACACAUACUCUACUUCUAUUUCUCACUACAUACUUGCGUAGAGACAUGGGUGCACAGGGCAGUGUGCACACAUAUAUAUUCGAUACAUGCGUUGUAUACAUAACAUAUGUUAUACUAAUCAAAGCACUGCGGUAUUCAUUUUGCGAAAAAUUUUGGACCUUAAAAGAGUUUUAUCAAAGAAAUUAAAGUGUUUUGUGCUUCUCAACACAUGCGACUCUUCUAUAGAACCGACCUUACUUAGCGUUGCUGGCUUGCUGCUUAGGUUGCUAUUUUUUUUUUUUUUUACUUCAGCUUUAAAUAUUUUAUUUUUCAUUUUUAAAAAUUUGUUUGAAAUCUAUAUAUAUAAAGUUAGCUUUUCUUUAUUCUGGUGCUGCCACCUCAUCAAUAUUUCUUUCAUUUUUAUUCAAAUCAGUCUCUAUUUAUGGUUCUAUUUAUAUUUGUCCACUAAAAACCAAAAUCUCAUUUUAACACCCAUCACAUUUUAAAUCAAUCUUCUUAAUCUCAUUAUCCAAACUUAUAUAUAUACUUAAAUCCAAACAAUUAACAAUAUAUUUCAUAAAGAUUUUAUUGUACUAACGAAGUGAAUUUAUAUAAAAAACAUUUGCAAACGAUAAAAACAAAAAAAAUACAGAAAAAGCAAAAAAUAUAAAAAGUACACAUAUAUAAAAUAUCAAAAACGAUAUCAAAUAAGCACAUCAAACGUAGGAAAGAAAAACAGGAAAUCAUGAUAGGAUUAAAUGAGAAUGAGAUAAAAACAAAAAUUCCCAAAUUUUCCAAGCAUAAACAGAUAAAUCGGAAUGGAAUGAGAUGGAAGGAAGAAUUUUCAUUUUAUAGAUAUGUCUGAAAUAGAUAAUAAGAACAAUACAUGAAAAAUUCGGAAAAUUAAAAAUAUCAAUUUAAAAAAUGGUCUUAUGUGAAAAUGCCGAAAACACAUUAAACAAAAAAAAAUAAAACAUUUUCAAACGAUAAAAAACAAAAAAAGACAGAAAAAGCAAAAAAUAUAAAAAAAUACACAUACAUAAAAUAUCAAAAACGAUAUCAAAUAAGAAAAUCAAAAAGUAGGAAAGACAAACGAGAAAUCAUGAGAUAGGAUUAAAUGGGAAUGAGAUAAGAACAAAAAUUCCCAAAUUUUUCAAGCAUAAACAGAUAAAUCGGGAUGAAAUGAGAUGGGAAGAAGAAUUUUCAUUUAAUAGAUAUGUCUGAAAAAGAUAAUAAGAACAAUACAUGAAAAAUUCGAAAAAUUAAAAAUAUCAAUUUAAAAAAUGGUCUUAUGUGAAAAUGCGGAAAACACAUUAAACAAAAAAAAAACAAAUAUAUAUAUAUAUAUAUAUAUAAUACGAUAAAAUAAUCAAGAAUUAUGUCAAACCCUAUAAAAACUAAAACAUAACUAUAAUAUUAACACACAAAAUAACAACAACAUAUAAAAAGAUAAAUUAACAGGAAAAUGAAAUAAUAACUCGCACAAAAAAUGAAAUAAUAGUCCGCACUGUAUUUAAUAUAGAAUCGUUAAACAAAAAAAUACAGUAAUCCACCCGAAAGAUGAGCACCCCCUAGUUAUUAUUAUAUAUUUAAGUUUCUAACGGAAGUUAUGUCACUUAAUCAGAUGCCUAAAUGGCGAGUUAUACGGACCAGUUAAGUUGACAUUUCAUUGACUUGAAUAUUUUGAUGAUUCAACAUUUAAACAACCGACUUUUAAAGCUUGAUGAUACGUAUAACAAAUUAACAAUGCUUCGAUUUAAUUAGGCUUAGAAUUUCACAUAAACAGUAUUGGUCUUGUAACAUAUCUUUUUCGGAUUGAUAUCUAAUAGUCUGGGUUACAGAAUUUGAUGGGCCUAAAGACUCUCAGAUAGCUCAACCCAGACGAACCAUUGCAUAACUGGACACCAAUACCUACAUAUGUCUAGAAAAAUAUGGCAUUUUACAGCGUAGUAGUACGUAGUUUAAAAUUUACUAAAGCGUUUAACAAUUAGUAGUUUUCGUACGAAGGACAAAAUGAACUUUUUUGGAUAAAAAUGAAAAAUAGUGGAUUUUGAUUAUCACGCUAUUUUAUGCUCCGCUUUGAAGUUCUAAAAUCAAUAGUAUGUGUCAAAAGUUUUAAAAAUGGAUGUGGAGUGAAACAAUGGUGUAUAUGCUAUUUUGAUUUCAGUACCUGAAAAAGAAUAGAACAAGUCCAACUCCGUACACGGCUUAUCUCAAAUACGUAACACAUGAAUCAUUUAAUAGUAUUUUUGAUUUGGAUUUACGAAUGAUCCAUAAAGCAUAUCCGUUUAUACCAUAUUAACUAAGCAACGUGGCCACAUGACAUGAUUCAUAUUCUACAUCUUCUUACGUUCCAUAGGAUUACUUGUUUUACUCUUUCUCCACUUCCUCACUUGUCAAUUGUCUGACACGUGGUCGUCACUUUGUGAAUAAAUAUUCUCGUCUGAGUCGUCUCGUUAAUUACGACUCACAUCAAAAUAUUUAGAUGUUUUUUUUUUCUUUGCAUUCCAGAAUUAGAGUAAUAACGUGAAAAUAAUCAACAUAUGAAGCACUUUAAUUUAUAUUAUUUCUUGAUCACCGUUACUACCAUCGAUGUGAUUAUUAGCAUAACCGAGACAGUACAAGUACUCCUACAUAACAAAGUAAUUAACUAAGUCACAUAACCAACAAAGGUUAACUAAAUGAUCAUAUGGAGUUAUGAACUGACGAAAUUCGGAAUUCAGAUUUUUGGUAGGUAAAACCAGUUUUCGAGACAGAUAAAAAUAUCCUAGUAAGAUUAAUAAGAAAAAUAACAAUAACCUUUUAAAAAAAAAUAAUAAUAACAAUAACGUUUUUCUCGAUCACAUGAAUUGUAAAAUAGAAGAUCGAAGAAAAACAAAUUUAGAGUACGUAAUAUAACACCACAUCCCAAAAAAAGUUAAAAGUAAUACUCAGACAAUUUCUAUUACCGUAAAAUAUUUAAAAAAAAUUCUUGAUUUUUCUUAUAAAGCUAAAUAAUUUUAGAUAUAGUCGUCGUGGAUGAAAAUUUGAUGUGCCGUGUUCAGACACGGAUAUCCACCACUCUAAGGUUUCAAGUCGGCCAAAUUUAAAAACAAAACAAAAUACAUUAUAGUAAAGUCUAGUAGUACAACGAUUUAUGUUGAAUGGGUACCAUAUCACUCGCAUUAUAUGUGUGGCCUUGAGGCUUCUUGCUCUAUCACUCACCAGUCGACGUUGGAACGUAAAAAUGGUCCCCUUUCUUCUUUUUCUCUCUUGUAUAUAUUAUUAUUCUAUUAUUUCUUAUAUAUCCUAAUCUUUUUCUUGUAAAGUAUAAAAAAAGUCCAUCAUCUAAACGCCCUUGCAAGAUAUUGCUAGAUAGCUUUGUUUCAUUAUAUAUAUCUGUUCUUAAAGGUAAUCAUCACUUUAAACUUGAUCACAUCUUAAUUGAUACCUUUUCUAUUCAAUGGUAUAGAGUUAAACGGAAAACAUUGUUCACAAUAACAUGGUUUAGUUAAUUACGGCCUUCGCGGUAUUGUUACAGAAAAAAUUGCCACUAUUGAUACGUUUUUCAUAAAGAUGUAUACGAGUAUAGGGACGACGCUAUAUUUAAAUGGAGUAUUUAAUUCUUCAUGUUAAACAUCUCAUGCUUUAUUAUUUCUUGGGUCUAGUUCUUUAAGGUUACGAAAACCUCAUAACUAAACAAUUCGAGCAUUGACUUUCUAACUAUUUUUAGUUAAAUGAUCGAAAGAUAAAGGAAGCUGCAAGCAAAGCUAACAAAACGUAUGUAUGAUUUUUUAAAAUAUAUUUUUUUUUUAUAAAAGGAAAUGAAGUACCUUGACGCGAUGGCUAAAGAGAUGUUGUAUAAAGUAUAAACACACCUGAAUUCAUCCACCGAUCUCUUCGAUAACAAUCCAUUCUUAUUCACCAAACUUCAACUGUUUAGACAGUAAGAUGAAAGUUUUUGGUCUCUUUCUUAGUUUUACUCUUUUGCUCCUUUGUCCGUUCUUGUCUCAAGCCGAUGUGCCGGAACUCAGCCGCGAGCCGCCUCGUCCCAUUGUCUUUGUCCCACAUGACCGUUCCAAAACCGAUCCACAACAGGUUCUUUAAUUUGACUCUCUUUCUCAACAGCUUCAUAUCAUGUUUAAUUAGUUCAAAACAUUUUCUGUUUUUCAAUUCCAAACAUUUUCAUCCUCAAUUCCCAAGGUCAAUAUAUUUGUAUUCAGGUAGAUUGAUUCCCUUCCUAACAUAUGUGCCUAUGUUAUGUUCUUCAAUCUAUCACAUAUACAUUUUAGUGACUAUCAAGAUACAAACCCCAUUAUCUUGUUGAUUUUGUCAUUGCAUAUUUAAUUUUACUAAUCUAUAUUAUCUAUUCACUUUUUUGGAUCUCAACUUUGUGCCAAACAAGAUGGUACUUAUUUUCAGUUUUAUGUCCUGUUGUCGUGUUAAUUAAUUAGUGAAUAUUUUAAUUAACUUCUCGCAUAUUCUUUCCUUUUUUUGCAACAUUCCACAUGUUCGUCCUCGAUAUUCUACUAAUGUUUACGACAUAGAACUGUUUGACGACAUAUUUACUGGUUGAACUAUCGUUGUUCAAUGUCUCCAAUUCCAAAAUAUAACUGACAGAAACAGAUAAAAUGAGUUUAGGAAAUCUACCAACUAUGGCGAACUCGACCGGAAAAGUUGACGGAGGAGUCUUGAAAGAAAAUUCUGGACCGUUGCAGCCGCACAUGUAAUAGUAAUGGGUGUUGGGUUCUAGAGGUCCGAACUUGACGUGGUGGAUCUUGCCGGAACUGUAGAGGAAGUAUUUGUAAGAAGUAGAUUCUCCGGUGGUUUUUUUAUCGUACUUUCCCAGUUGUUUACCGUAUUCCACCACCGACUCCACCUUCUUGUCUUCCGUUAUGUAUGUUACUCUCAUGUGGUCCUGACCCGCCAGUGAUACGUGCACCUCUAAUUUAUCAAAUAUUCAACAAUCAACACCAACACAAACCUUUAGAAACAACAUUUUAAAGGGAAAUUUUUAUGUCAUCACUGAAAGCAGGAAAUAUAGAAAAUGUGUAAUUCUUUCACGUAUGAAUAGUAUCCACUAAUAAGUAUGAUCCUGUGUCAAACAAAGAUGAAACCCUUUGAGACGACGCAGAAACAGAGACGACGCAGUUCAAAAUUUUAAUAGAAAAAAAAUAACGGUAUUUCGCUUCACUAAUCAACAUAUUGUAUUUUAUAAUUACACUAAUUUUAGUUUAGCCAAUUACCAAUGAACUGUAUAGUUUAAUAUCUCUACACGUAAUGCAAUAUUCCACGAUCAAAUCUUAUACUAGUGAUUAAAUGCCGUCAUGGUGGUGUCACAUUUAUUUGAUUUUCAUAUAGUAUUUUCAUUUAAUUUUAUGGUGAUUUAACCCUUUUUUCCUACAAAAAUAAAGUCUUUUUCACUACCAGGAAUAAAACUCAUUAGAUGGGUGGGUCAAACUUUACACUGUGUGGGAGUUAUUAAAAACAAAAAUAAAAAAUCGUACCGUGUUGAUACCUUGGAAGAACCACUUGGGAUCUUUCUUCUUUAUGUCGACUUGGGAUCAAAUCUACUACUCGUUUCAACUUAUCAGAUUUUUUUUUUCUUUAAAAAAAUUGGACGGUCCAAUUAACAUAGAAAUACAUUUGAGGGUUUCUAAAACACUCUAAUAAUUGAUCAAUUUGAUGCUUGAAGGGGGGGCGAAAAUGAUGCACGCAAACUUUUGAUUGGGUUGGUUUAGAAUUAAAUAUCCUGAGAUAUUGUUAGGAAUGUUUAUUAGUGAGGGAACAAUAAUUCGUCUUCACGCUUUUAUUUUUAAUCAUUUUUCACCUUGGUGAAAGCGUACAUGAUGCAAGCCAGCAUGGUGAGGAUAAUUUGUGUUUUUUUUUUUCGGUACAAAUGUUUAAAAAAAUAGAUAAGAUGAAAUGAGGAUAAUUUCUGCAUUAACUAUUUAUGAAUUAUUUGUGAUUUCUUUUAUUGAAAACCGAUUUCAUUUUCGUUUCUGCGUUUUUAUAUAGACUUUGAAACCUUUGAUCUAAAUUGUAUAAGAAAACUAAAGGGGUUAUCGAGAUAUUGAUUUGUAUAGAGUUUGUUAAUUUUAAAAGUGUGUAGAUUUAAAAAAUUCGUGGAAUCUACCUGAAUUCUAUAUGAAUUUUACAUUCACAUUUUAAGGAUUAAUAUAAGGAUAAGUUAGUUAGGGGGAUCCAAUACUUGUUUAAUUAAGAGGGGAUAAAUAAAAAAAAAUAUGGAUUUAGGUAAGUAAAAAAGAGAGAAAAAAUUUAUACCAUAAUUAUCUGUCUUUUUUAAAUAAUUACAAAAUGCCACCGUUGAUAACACUAUUCAUAGGUAAUUGAUUAAUAUAAUUUAUGUUGUGUUAACAAUAUAUAUAACAUUUAUAACGCGUUAACAAUAAUAUAUUUGAUAUUGUUAGCACGUUAAUACUAUAUAUAUGCAUGUUAUCAUAAUUUUUGAUUAGUGUGCUAAUACUUAUAACACGUUAACAAUAAUAUCAGAUACUUUUGAUGUGUUAACAAGAAUACAUUUGAUAUUGUUAGCACGUUAAAUAUAUAUAUAUAUAUAUAUAUAUAUAUUCAUGUUAUCGUAAAUUUUGAUUAGCAUGCUAAUAAUAAUCGAUCUAAUAAUUGCAAUGUGUUAUCAUUUAUCUGAUGCAUGUAAUGUGUUAACAUUAAUAUCGUCUGCAUGUUAUCGUUUUAAUAAAAUUAUUUGAUAAUUUUGAUGUGUUAUUAAUAUAAUAUAUGAAUAUUUGACAUUAUAACUACCAUGUUAACACGCUAACUUUGUUAUUGCUAUCAUCCCCUUAUUCUAUUACACCUUCUUUUCUUACUCCUUCUUUUUUCACUUCUCUUUCCCGACGUGAGACAAUUGCAAAAGAGAGAAGAGACAAAUGUAAUUAAAAAGAAUUAUAAGAGUAUAAUAGAUUUUUGAUGAUGAAUAGUAAACUAUGAAUAGUAGAUGAUGAGAGAGAACUAAUUUCAGUGUUAUUAGGGUCCAUACAUUGGUAUUAUUCUUAAUAUAAACUCUAAUAGAUUUAUAUUAACUUUAUCAGGAUUUGUUUUCCGGCAAUUCAGUCCAUAACAAAAUAAGUUGCUCAUGAGAUCUUUAACGAUAGACAUUCAGAGAUAUUCACGAGUCAAUAAUCAAGAAAAAUAAAGAUUAUCACGAAAAAUUAGAUCUUCAAAAUUUAAUGUGUAUCGUACGUACUCCUUGAGCAUGUUUUCCAUAAUGUUCAUAUUAACGUAUCAUGUCUGCAGCUAACUAUGAUUAUCUCAAGUUUGAUUAUUAAUAAAAGAGAUUUUUUUUUGCCACGUAAGUUAAUCUCUAAAAAUACUUUAAAAGAAGAACUUUAGUAACAAGAAUAAAAGAGAUUUUACUAUAGAAGAAAAUGUAAAUCUUAAAUAACUAACAUGAAAAUAAUGAACAUAUAAUUAAAAAUUGCAUGGUGCUUAGCUUUAGUAACAAGAAUAAAAAAAAUGGGAACUAAUGAAAUAUAAUUACAAGGAAAAAAAUCAAAAGAUUUUGAAAUACAAAUGACAUUGAAGUAACAAAUUUUGUUUGAAAACCUUGAUUAGGGAAUUUCAUUAAACUCCUCUCGUAUCCAACAUUUUAUCAAACAUGACACGUUCUUAAACUGAUACUGAUGCUAAUUAUAUUAGAAUUUUAAUGAAAUUAGAGAAGUACAAACAAAUGUGCGUAAAAUGAAAAAAUAUGAGAAGCAAGACAGGCUGGAAGAGGAGUCAAAAUGGAAGUCCAGCCUUCACCUUUAUCCUUAAGAUUACUACUCUCUUCUCUCUCUCUUAUCCUUCUAUAUUUGUUUAUCUUUAUUCACGCUAGUCCUGGGAAUAUUAUCCGGAACCGAAUAUCCGAACCGGAACCGAUCCGAAAAAACCGGUUCGGAUCGGUUCCGGAUCCACCAAAUAUACCCAUUGGAUCUCAAAUUUAGUAUCCAUGGAUAUCGGUUCCUAUCCGGAACCGAACCGGAACCGAAAUGAGGAACCGAAUACCCGAAAAUAUAUAUGUUUAUCUAUUAAAAUUUUAUGAUUCAGAUAUUUUUGAUGUUAUUUCGGGUGCAAAUACCCGAAUUUUUUUAAAAAUAUCCAAAAUAUUUAGGUACAUUUUAAAAAUUCGGAUAAAAUAUUGGUAUUUCGGGUAUAAAUAUCUAUAUUUUUUUUAAGAACCGAAAUUUUUCGGGUAUUUCGGGUAGAAAUUUGUUAUUUCGAGUAUAAUUUUACUAUUUUUGAUACAAAUAUCCGGAACCAUUUAAGAACUAAAAUUUUUCGGGUAUGUUACGGUUCCUCACCUUUGUAUCCGAACUUAUCCGGAACCGAACCGGAACCGAACCGAAAAUUUUAAAAUAUUCAGUGGAUCUAAAUUUCUAGAACCGAUCGGUUCCUAUCCGGAACCGAACCGAAUACCCGAAACCCCAUGGCUAAUUCACGCAGUUAAUUGGCCUAUUAGACCAUCUCCAAUAGUUUAGAUCAUCUCCAAUGAUUUACUCUAUUUUUAACUCUAAAAAUAGAGAAGAGUUUUCUCCAAUAGGCAACUCUAACUUUUUACUUUAAAAAAACAAUAUUCUUUUAUCAACUAAUUCUAAUUAAUUAUUAUUUUCUUAUGAGACCUUAUACUUUAAAACUAUAUCAAUUUUGUCUAUUCAUUUUUUUGGACAAAAACUAGAUAAACUUUUGAUUUUAUUAAAAUUAAAAAAUGCAUUACAUCAAAUAAAUAGAAUUAUGUAAUUAUUUUUUAUGCGGUUUACCAGAUUAUUAGUUAUUGUCAUUAUAUUUUUUUAAUUAUGUAAUUUUAUUUUAUAAUUUGUUAUAUCAAUAUAAUUUUAUAUAUCAUCAUUGUUGGUUUGUUUUUAACAUCAUUGUUAUUUAUUAGAAAAUUAAUAAAAUAUUUUGAAGUAUAAACCUAAUUGUUAUCUUCUUAUGUAUAAAACUAAAAUAUAUAAUUUUGUUUGAGUAUAAAAUAAAAGUAUAUCAAAAUCAAAGGAUGUUUUAUAAAUAAAAAAGUGUAACUCUAAAAAUAGAGAACUCUAAAAGUUACUCCAAAUUUAAAAUAACUUUUAGAGUUCUCUAUUUUUAGAGUUGAAUAUAGAGUGCUAUUGGAGAUGGUUUUACUCUAAAAAUAGAGUUUGAAGGCAAAAAUAGAGUCCCAUUGGAGAUGCUCUUACUCUAUUUUUCACUUUAAAAAUAGAGUUCUCUAAAAAUAAAGAAGAGUUUUGCUCCAAUAGUCAACUCUAUUUUUUACAUUAAAAAGGAAUAUUUUUAGUAUCUUAUAUUCUAAUUAAUUAUUAUUUUCUUAUGAAACCUUAUACUUUAAAAAUAUAUCAAUUUUGUCCAUUUUUUUUAGUGUUAUUGGAGAUGGUUUUUUGGUGCAUCUAUCAUUUGCUAUAUCAAUAUCUUAUUUAAUUUUAGAUAUCAUCAUUGUUGUUUUUUUUUCAACAUCAUUGUUGUUUAUUAGAAAAUUAAUAUAAUUUUUUAAUUAUAAAUCUAAUUGUUGUAUUCUUAUGUAUAAAACUAAAAUCUAUAAUUUUGUUUGAAUAUAAAAUAGAAGUAUAUCAAAAUCAAAUGACUAUUUUAUAAAUAAAAUAGUGUAACUCUAAAAAUAGGACAAAAUUGAUACCGAGCACCUGCUCCCGACGACCGAGCAUGCACUUCGGACUUUUUCCUUUUCCGUGCAUUCGCCACGUGACAAAGCAAGGGCGGUUGGCACCGACUUUGCCCUAGCCGUUUUUCCUAUUUUUGGCCGAGUUUUUGUUAUAAAGGAUUAGCCACCCUUUUAUUUUAGGAUAUCUUUCUCUUUCCUUUUUCUAAGAGAGAGACUUUUGACCUAGGGUUUUUCUAAGCAUUACAAGCUUGAGAGGGAGACGAAUUUCUGCUAUAUUUUUUAGAAGAAUUCCGAACCCUUGGGAUUUAUUAUUUUAUUCUAUGAGUUUCUUUUCAUCUAUGUUUUCUGAUUUAUUUUCUAUGUCUGAGUAGUUCUCUUAACUAGAUUAGGGUUUCAAAGGAAUUGAUGAUUUAGAAAAUGAAUGCAAAUAGGGCUUUUUAUUAUUAGAUUGUCUUCACCAUUGUUAGACUUAAUCCUUAGGUUGAAUUGAUCACUCAAUCUGCGGUUUUAGGUUUAUCUAUUCAUCAAAAGUGUAAUAGGUUGCUAGAAAGAACUUUGGUGAGCAAAUUAACUAGGCCUGCGAAAGUUGAGUGCUAGGUAAUUUGUGAACUUAUCAAACCUGAUCUUUAAUGCUUAUCUGCGAUUGCUAGGACCAAACGACAGUUUAGGAUUCUAGGUUGUUAGAUAAAGUUAUUGAUGCUACGACAGUAGAUCAAUUUAUUAUUAUGUUUGAGUUCUAGACUUGCUUCAAAAUUGUGCCCUAGAUAGUUGUUUGGUUGCUAUCUCUGACAUUCCUGCGAAUUGCCCUGGUCUAGUGCUUCGUUUAAUUGAUUUAAAAACCGCAAUUUACUUUACUUCCUGUUACAAAACCAACUCACUUUGUCUUAACUUGAAGUUGAACCAAUAAAAUCAUAGUGUAAUACUUGGUCUUCGUGGGAAUCGAUCCCUAAAUACUACUCCGCUUUGCUGUGCACUUGCAGUAGGAAAUAGGGUUAAAACUCUGUGUAUCAAGUUUUUGGCGCCGUUGCCGGGGACCAAAUCUUUACCUUUGGUUUUCGGCGAAAUUUCUAGUCUAAAACCUUACUGAUUUGUUCUUCUACUUCUCUUCUGCGUGUGUUUCAGGGUGCAUGUCCAAGAAGUCUACAAGGAGAAAUCACACAGAGGAACUCGUCUCAUACUCAAACGCAGAACUCGCAAAAACAGAAAGAACAAACCGCAAAAACACAAGGCUUCAAUCCUUCAACAUGGGUGACCAGAGAAGCAACGAGGAGAUGGCUACUGAAAUACAACAACUCCGACAACAGAUGGAGCAGCUGCUCAAGGCUCAGCAAGACAGAGCCGCGGAGCCAGUUGAGACCCCCAUCGGUGGAAAGGACAAUCCGCAUGUGUUCUACACUAACCGUACUGCGAUUGUUCCUCCUAGAAUACAGAGGUAAGACUUCGAUAUUAAACCGCAGAUGAUCUCUCUCGUGAAGCAACACCUCUUUCAUGGUCUCCCAGCUGAGAUUCCGAUGGACCACAUCGAGAAUUUCAAGGAGAUAUGCAGCACCACCAGCUAUAAUGGGAUACCGCCGGAUUUUCUGAAGUGCAAGCUCUUUCCAUUCUCUCUUGCGGAUAGAGCUUCACGCUGGCUAAAGUCAUUGCCACCUGGGUCUUUGACAUCAUGGGACGAGUGCAGGAAUGCGUUUCUGGACCACUUAUACACUAAGUCCAAAACCGCAGCUCUACGGAACAAGAUCUCGACAUUCCAACAGCAAACCGGAGAAGCCUUCUGCAAGGCUUGGGAGAGAUACAAAGAGUACCGCAGAGAGUGCCCUCACCAUGGUUUCACUGACGAACAGAUUCUGAGCAUCUUCUACGACGGUGUCAACUGGGACUACAUGAAUGCUCUCAACUCAGCCAAUAAUGGAGAUUUCAUGACCAAAUCCAAAGAAGGUGCGUACCAACUGAUUGAGAACCUAACUGCAAGCUCCAGCAACAAGGCACCCGAGUAUGAUAGAUCCGCCAAGGUCAACAUUGUGGAAGCGCAAAAGAUUGACGAGUUGACAGCCAAGGUAAACCUUUUUUUGAAGGGGAGCCAGAAAGCAGUACACUUCGUUGAUGAGACUGACGAGAUGCCUCUAGCUCAGGAGAUUUGUGAUGGAGAGGAUGAUCAGAUGGAGGUCAACUACGUUAAUGGGCAAGGGUUCGUGCAGAACCGCGGAUUCAACCAGAACUACCGCAACCAUCCGAACCUGUCCUACAGGAGCACUAACGUGGAGAAUCCGCAGGAUCAGGUCUACCCGCAGCAAGGAGCUCAGAAUCAGAUGGGAUUUCAGAAGAACUUCUCCAACAAUUUCCAGGCAAAACCGUUCAUUCCUAACCAUAACCGCUUCCAAGGUGGUAACCAGCUGCCUUUCGCCAAUGUUCAGAAGAAACCGUCUUUCACCUACAUGCAACCGGGUCAGUCUUCAGCCAACAGUUCCCAAGACGAGCUGAAGAACAUGAUGCAGCAGCUUUUGGUGAACCAACAGAAAGCUUCUACGGAAAUCAAUUCCAAAGUAGACUCAAUGUACAACAACCUCAAUGGAAAGUUUGAGGCCGUUUGGACACACAUGAAGAAGCUGGAUAUUCAGAUUGCGCAGACUGCUGAAGCCGUGAAGCGACCUCCUAGAACCUUACCAGGAAAGUGAGAGGCGAACCCCAGGAACGAGUAUGUGAACGCCAUUGAGUUAUGGGUGCCCCCAAGAACUGCUCCGCCAACAAGCACGUACAAAAGAAAAGGAAUCGCUACCGAGCAAGUGCUCGGUCCUGAAACCUCUGAUCCAGGCCAAGACAAAGUUGAUCGACGGGAGCACCCUGAGACUUCAACCGAGCACGUGCUCCGACCUUCUGACCAGGCCAGAUCGACUGACACACCUCCAGCACGAGUUUACAUACCUAGAGUGCCAUACCCUGUUCCGCCAAAGAAAUCCCAAAAAGACUUGGAGGAUGCGAAGUGUCGAGAGAUGUUGCGAGACUUGACCCUGAAGAUACCCUUAGUUGAUGCUGUUCAGAUGGUACCUGCUCUGAAACGGUUUAUGAAAGGGUUAGUUUCUGGGAGAGUCUCCGAAGAGGAGAAUGUCAUGAUGGUUUCGAGAGAGUGCAGUGCUGUGCUGCAAAACAAGGUGCUGAAAAAGAGAGAUGAUCCGGGGCGAUUUUUCUUGUCCGUGAAAAUCGGUAACACGGUUUUCGCGAGGUCCCUCUGCAAUCUUGGCUCAAGUGUGAACCUUAUGCUAUACUCGGUGGCGAAAAGACUGGGGUACACGAAGUUCAAGUCCACUAGAAUUUCGUUGGUAUUCGCUGAUAGGUCAACCAAGUUUCCGAUUGGAGUGCUGGAGGAUCUACAUGUUAAGAUCGGCGACACACUUAUCCUAGCAGACUUUGUGGUUCUGGAACUUGACGAGGAACCACGCGACCCACUGAUUUUGGGUCGGUCCUUCCUGAGCACAGCUGGUGUGAUCAUUGGCGUACAUGAGGGGAUAAUCGAUCUCCAACUGGGAGAUAUGAUUGUGAGGUUCGAGAUGGACAAGCUCCUCAAGAAACCGAUGAUUGAUGGUCAGACGUUUGUGAUAGAUGAUGGUUCAGAUGUCGCAGAUGAGGUAGCUGACAAGCUCUUAGCUCUUGACCCUUUGGAGACAGUCCUGACUAAAGCAGAGGGAGAGUUUGGUUUCUUAAGUGAGGAAGCUGAAGUACUAGCAAGGAUGCUGGAUGCGAGUGCAGAGUUUCGGAAACUGGUCGCAUACGCUAGCCUGGACAAUGAGGAAGACUCCGCAGAGAAAUCAGCUGAGGGAGCACCUGCUCCAAAUCCCGGAGCACCUGCUCCGGCCGAGUCUACCGAUGGUCCGUGGAGCGAGCUGCGAGCUCCCAAGAUCGAGCUCAAACCACUUCCUGCCGGGCUAAGGUACGCGUUUCUAGGCCCUAACUCGACUUACCCUGUGAUCAUAAACUCGGAAUUGAAUAAUGUAGAGACUGCCUUGCUCCUUUGUGAACUUAGGAAAUAUAGAAAGGCUCUAGGUUAUUCAUUAAACGAUUUUCCAGGGAUUUCUCCAGAUCUUUGCAUGCAUAGGAUCCAUCUAGAGGAUGAGUCAUCGACUUCUAUAGAACAUCAGAGGAGGUUAAACCCGAAUCUAAAAGAUGUUGUAAAGAAGGAGAUAAUGAAACUUCUAGAUGCAGACAUGAUUUAUGCUAUAUCGGAUAGUUGAUGGGUCAGUCCAGUUCAUGUAGUUCCUAAGAAAGGUGGUAUUACUGUGGUUAAGAAUGAUAGGAACGAAUUUAUACCCACUAGGACAGUCACAGGACAUCGGAUGUGUAUAGAUUUCAGGAAGCUUAAUGCUGCGACCCGGAAAGACCAUUUUCCCUUGCCUUUUAUUGAUCAGAUGCUUGAGAGAUUGGCUAACCAUCCCUACUAUUGUUUCUUAGAUGGUUAUUCAGGGUUCUUCCAGAUCCCGAUCCACCCAGAGGACCAGGAGAAGACAACAUUCACUUGUCCUUACGUCACUUUUGCAUACCGCAGAAUGCCGUUUGGCUUGUGCAAUGCCCCUACGACCUUCCAGCGCUGCAUGAUGUCUAUUUUCACUGACCUGAUUGAGGACAUAAUGGAAGUUUUCAUGGACGAUUUUUCUGUCUAUGGGAGCUCUUUUUCUGUCUGUUUGUCUAACUUGUGCAGGGUGUUGCAGCGGUGCGAGGAAAAACACUUUGUGCUGAACUGGGAGAAGUGCCACUUCAUGGUCCGAGAUGGGAUCGUACUUGGGCACAGAAUCUCGGAGAAAGGGAUCGAGGUUGACAAAGCAAAGGUCGAGGUGAUGAUGAGUCUCCAGCCGCCCGAUUCAGUCAAGGGAAUCCGCAGUUUCCUUGGUCAUGCCGGUUUCUAUAGGCGCUUCAUCAAGGACUUCUCCAAAAUCGCCAGACCUCUUACACGGCUGCUGUGCAAGGAGGUGAAGUUCGAGUUUGACAGUGCAUGCUUGGAAGCUUUCCAUACGAUCAAAGGAGCAUUGGUCAGCGCCCCGAUUGUGUAACCACCGGAUUGGGAUCUCCCCUUUGAGGUCAUGACAGAUGCGAGUGAUUACGCCGUGGGAGCAGUUCUGGGACAAAGAAAAGAUAAGAAGCUGCACGUGAUCUAUUAUGUUAACCGCACUCUGGAUGAAGCUCAGUGCAAAUACGCUACAACCAAAAAGGAGCUCUUGGCGGUUGUGUUUGCUUUUGAGAAGUUCAGAUCCUAUCUUGUUGGUUCCAAGGUUAUUGUUCACACCGAUCAUACAGCCUUGCGGUACCUGCUCACCAAGAAGGAUGCCAAGCCGCGGCUACUCAGGUGGAUUCUCUUGCUUCAGAAGUUCGAUUUGGAGAUCAAAGACAAAAAGGGAAUCGAAAAUGGAGUUGCAGAUCACCUGUCACGGAUGAAGAUCGACGAAGAGGUCCCCUUGGAUGACAGUCUCCCUGAGGAGCAAGUUUACUCCAUUGGCAUCUUUGAGUCCGGCGAGCACCUGCUCCAACCCGGAGCACCUGCUCCGACCACCCAUUGCAGUGUGAUCGAUAGAAGCACACAGCCGAGUUUCACUUGGUUUGGAGAGUUCGCAAACUACCUUGCAGGAGAUAAGGAGCCAGUUGGAUUCGUGGGAAACAAGAAGAAGAAAUUCCUCAAGGACAUCCGACACUACUUCUGGGACGAGCCGUACCUGUAUAGGCAUUGCUCGGAUGGCGUUUACAGGAGAUGUGUAGCUGAUGAGGAGAUUCCUGGAGUCUUGUUUCACUGCCAUAGCUCGCCAUACGCUGGACACUUCGCCACCUUCAAAACCGUGUCCAAAGCUCUUCAAGUCGGGUAUUGGUGGCCAACAAUGUUCCGAGAUGCACAGAGAUUCAUAUCCAGUUGUGACACAUGCCAGAGACAGGGCAACAUCAGUAGGAGGAACGAGAUGCCUCAGAACUUCAUCCUGGAAGUGGAGGUGUUUGAUGUGUGGGGAAUUGACUUCAUGUGACCCUUCCCUAAUUCGUUUAGCAACGAGUACAUUCUGGUAGCAGUUGAUUAUGUGUCUAAGUGGGUCGAAGCUUUCGCCAGUCCUUCUAAUGACGCAAAAACCAUGAUCAAGAUGUUCAAGUCUGUCAUAUUUCCGAGGUUCGGUGUUCCGUGAGUGGUCAUCAGCGAUGGUGGCUCCCACUUCGUCAACAAGAUCUUUGACAGCCUGCUGAGAAAGAACGGCGUAAGGCACAAGGUCACAACUCCGUACCAUCCCCAGACUAGUGGUCAGGUCGAGAUUUCCAACAAGGAGAUCAAGAGCAUCCUGUAGAAAACCGUGAAUGCCACAAGGAAGGAUUGGUCUGAGAAGCUGGAUGAGGCUCUAUGGGCGUAUCGAACUGUAUACAAGACACCUCUCGGGACAACACCAUUCCAUUUGGUGUAUGGUAAAGCAUGCUAUCUCCCUGUCGAACUAGAGUACAAAGCUGCAUGGGCAGUUAAGUUGAUGAACUUUGACACCAAGAGUGCUCAUGAAAGGAGGAAGAUGCAGUUGCAUGAAUUGGAGGAGAUUAGGCAUCUGGCCUAUGACAACUCGAGGAUAUAUAAGGAACGAACCAAGGCCUACCACGACAAGAGGAUUCUCACACGGACCUUCGCUCUAGAUGAUCAGGUCUUAUUGUACAACUCUCGAUUGAAACUGUUUCCCGGGAAGCUAAGAUCGAGAUGGUCCGGACCCUUCACCAUCAAAGAGGUCCAACCAUAUAGAGCUGUAGUGUUGUUGGACACUAAGGGAGGAGAGUUCGUGGUCAAUGGACAGAGGCUCAAGCCGUAUCUCGCCGGUUCUGACAUCGCAGGAGGUGAAACCUUCACCUUAGGCGAUCCUCCUCAAGCCUAAAUGGCUACCAAGUCAAGCUCUUUCCAUUUUCUCUUGCGGAUAGAGCUUCACGCUGGCUAAAGUCAUUGCCACCUGGGUCUUUGACAUCAUGGGACGAGUGCAGGAAUGCGUUUCUGGACCACUUAUACACUAAGUCCAAAACCGCAGCUCUACGGAACAAGAUCUCGACAUUCUAACAGCAAACCGGAGAAGCCUUCUGCGAGGCUUGGGAGAGAUACAAAGAGUACCGCAGAGAGUGCCCUCACCAUGGUUUCACUGACGAACAGAUUCUGAGCAUCUUCUAUGACGGUGUCAACUGGGACUACAGGAAUGCUCUCAACUCAGCCAAUAAUGGAGAUUUCAUGACCAAAUCCAAAGAAGGUGCGUACCAACUGAUUGAGAACCUAACUGCAAGCUCCAGCAACAAGGCACCCGAGUAUGAUAGAUCCGCCAAGGUCAACAUUGUGGAAGCGCAAAAGAUUGACGAGUUGACAGCCAAGGUAAACCUUUUUCUGAAGGGGAGCCAGAAAGCAGUACACUUCGUUGAUGAGACUGACGAGAUGCCUCUAGCUUAGGAGAUUUGUGAUGGAGAGGAUGAUCAGAUGGAGGUCAACUACGUUAAUGGGCAAGGGUUCGUGCAGAACCGCGGAUUCAACCAGAACUACCGCAACCAUCCGAACCUGUCCUACAGGAGCACUAACGUGGAGAAUCCGCAGGAUCAGGUCUACCCGCAGCAAGGAGCUCAGAAUUAGAUGGGAUUUCAGAAGAACUUCUCCAACAAAUUCCAGGCAAAACCGUUCAUUCCUAACCAUAACCGCUUCCAAGGUGGUAACCAGCAGCCUUUCGCCAAUGUUCAGAAGAAACCGUCUUUCACCAACAUGCAACCGGGUCAGUCUUCAGCCAACAGUUCUCAAGACGAGCUGAAGAACAUGAUGCAGCAGCUUUUGGUGAACCAACAGAAAGCUUCUACGGAAAUCAAUUCCAAAGUAGACUCAAUGUACAACAACCUCAAUGGAAAGUUUGAGGCCGUUUGGACACACAUGAAGAAGCUGGAUAUUCAGAUUGCGCAGACUGCUGAAGCCGUGAAGCGACCUCCUAGAACCUUACCAGGAAAGUGAGAGGCGAACCCCAGGAACGAGUAUGUGAACGCCAUUGAGUUAUGGGUGCCCCCAAGAACUGCUCCGCCAACAAGCACGUACAAAAGAAAAGGAAUCGCUACCGAGCAAGUGCUCGGUCCUGAAACCUCUGAUCCAGGCCAAGACAAAGUUGAUCGACGGGAGCACCCUGAGACUUCAACCGAGCACGUGCUCCGACCUUCUGACCAGGCCAGAUCGACUGACACACCUCCAGCACGAGUUUACAUGCCUAGAGUGCCAUACCCUGUUCCGCCAAAGAAAUCCCAAAAAGACUUGGAGGAUGCGAAGUGUCGAGAGAUGUUGCGAGACUUGACCCUGAAGAUACCCUUAGUUGAUGCUGUUCAGAUGGUACCUGCUCUGAAACGGUUUAUGAAAGGGUUAGUUUCUGGGAGAGUCUCCGAAGAGGAGAAUGUCAUGAUGGUUUCGAGAGAGUGCAGUGCUGUGCUGCAAAACAAGGUGCUGAAAAAGAGAGAUGAUCCGGGGCGAUUUUUCUUGUCCGUGAAAAUCGGUAACACGGUUUUCGCGAGGUCCCUCUGCAAUCUUGGCUCAAGUGUGAACCUUAUGCUAUACUCGGUGGCGAAAAGACUGGGGUACACGAAGUUCAAGUCCACUAGAAUUUCGUUGGUAUUCGCUGAUAGGUCAACCAAGUUUCCGAUUGGAGUGCUGGAGGAUCUACAUGUUAAGAUCGGCGACACACUUAUCCUAGCAGACUUUGUGGUUCUGGAACUUGACGAGGAACCACGCGACCCACUGAUUUUGGGUCGGUCCUUCCUGAGCACAGCUGGUGCGAUCAUUGACGUACAUGAGGGGAUAAUCGAUCUCCAACUGGGAGAUAUGAUUGUGAGGUUUGAGAUGGACAAGCUCCUCAAGAAACCGAUGAUUGAUGGUCAGACGUUUGUGAUAGAUGAUGGUUCAGAUGUCGCAGAUGAGGUAGCUGACAAGCUCUUAGCUCUUGACCCUUUGGAGACAGUCCUGACUAAAGCAGAGGGAGAGUUUGGUUUCUUAAGUGAGGAAGCUGAAGUACUAGCAAGGAUGCUGGAUGCGAGUGCAGAGUUUCGGAAACUGGUCGCAUACGCUAGCCUGGACAAUGAGGAAGACUCCGCAGAGAAAUCAGCUGAGGGAGCACCUGCUCCAAAUCCCGGAGCACCUGCUCCGGCCGAGUCUACCGAUGGUCCGUGGAGCGAGCUGCGAGCUCCCAAGAUCGAGCUCAAACCACUUCCUGCCGGGCUAAGGUACGCGUUUCUAGGCCCUAACUCGACUUACCCUGUGAUCAUAAACUCGGAAUUGAAUAAUGUAGAGACUGCCUUGCUCCUUUGUGAACUUAGGAAAUAUAGAAAGGCUCUAGGUUAUUCAUUAGACGAUUUUCCAGGGAUUUCUCCAGAUCUUUGCAUGCAUAGGAUCCAUCUAGAGGAUGAGUCAUCGACUUCUAUAGAACAUCAGAGGAGGUUAAACCCGAAUCUAAAAGAUGUUGUAAAGAAGGAGAUAAUGAAACUUCUAGAUGCAGGCGUGAUUUAUGCUAUAUCGGAUAGUUCAUGGGUCAGUCUAGUUCAUGUAGUUCCUAAGAAAGGUGGUAUUACUGUGGUUAAGAAUGAUAGGAACGAAUUUAUACCCACUAGGACAGUCACAGGACAUCGGAUGUGUAUAGAUUUCAGGAAGCUUAAUGCUGCGACCCGGAAAGACCAUUUUCCCUUGCCUUUUAUUGAUCAGAUGCUUGAGAUAUUGGCUAACCAUCCCUACUAUUGUUUCUUAGAUGGUUAUUCAGGGUUCUUCCAGAUCCCGAUCCACCUAGAGGACCAGGAGAAGACGACAUUCACUUGUCCUUACGGCACUUUUGCAUACCGCAGAAUGCCGUUUGGCUUGUGCAAUGCCCCUGCGACCUUCCAGCGCUGCAUGAUGUCUAUUUUCACUGACCUGAUAGAGGACAUAAUGGAAGUUUUCAUGGACGAUUUUUCUGUCUAUGGGAGCUCCUUUUCUGUCUGUUUGUCUAACUUGUGCAGGGUAUUGCAGCGGUGCGAGGAAAAACACUUUGUGCUGAACUGGGAGAAGUGCCACUUCAUGGUCCGAGAUGGGAUCGUACUUGGGCACAGAAUCUCGGAGAAAGGGAUCGAGGUUGACAAAGCAAAGGUCGAGGUGAUGAUGAGUCUCCAGCCGCCCGAUUCAGUCAAGGGAAUCCGCAGUUUCCUUGGUCAUGCCGGUUUCUAUAGGCGCUUCAUCAAGGACUGCUCCAAAAUCGCCAGACCUCUUACACGGCUGCUGUGCAAGGAGGUGAAGUUCGAGUUUGACAGUGCAUGCUUGGAAGCUUUCCAUACGAUCAAAGGAGCAUUGGUCAGCGCCCCGAUUGUGUAACCACCGGAUUGGGAUCUCCCCUUUGAGGUCAUGACAGAUGCGAGUGAUUACGCCGUGGGAGCAGUUCUGGGACAAAGAAAAGAUAAGAAGCUGCACGUGAUCUAUUAUGUUAACCGCACUCUGGAUGAAGCUCAGUGCAAAUACGCUACAACCAAAAAGGAGCUCUUGGCGGUUGUGUUUGCUUUUGAGAAGUUCAGAUCCUAUCUUGUUGGUUCCAAGGUUAUUGUUCACACCGAUUAUACAGCCUUGCGGUACCUGCUCACCAAGAAGGAUGCCAAGCCGCGGCUACUCAUGUGGAUUCUCUUGCUCAGGAGUUCGAUUUGGAGAUCAAGGACAAAAAGGGAAUCGAAAUUGGAGUUGCAGAUCACCUGUCACGGAUGAAGAUCGACGAAGAGGUCCCCUUGGAUGACAGUCUCCCUGAGGAGCAAGUUUACUCCAUUGGCAUCUUUGAGUCCGGCGAGCACCUAUUCCAACCCAGAGCACCUGCUCCGACCACCCAUUGCAGUGUGAUCGAUAGAAGCACACAGCCGAGUUUCACUUGGUUUGGAGAGUUCGCAAACUACCUUGCAGCAGAUAAGGAGCCAGUUGGAUUCGUGGGAAACAAGAAGAAGAAAUUCCUCAAGGACAUCCGACACUACUUCUGGGACGAGCCAUACCUGUAUAGGCAUUGCUCGGAUGGCGUUUACAGGAGAUGUGUAGCUGAUGAGGAGAUUCCUGGAGUCUUGUUUCACUGCCAUAGCUCGCCAUACGCUGGACACUUCGCCACCUUCAAAACCGUGUCCAAAGCUCUUCAAGUCGGGUAUUGGUGGCCAACAAUGUUCCGAGAUGCACAGAGAUUCAUAUCCAGUUGUGACACAUGCCAGAGACAGGGCAACAUCAGUAGGAGGAAUGAGAUGCCUCAGAACUUCAUCCUGGAAGUGGAGGUGUUUGAUGUGUGGGGAAUUGACUUCAUGUGACCCUUCCCUAAUUCGUUUGGCAACGAGUACAUUCUAGUAGCAGUUGAUUAUGUGUCUAAGUGGGUCGAAGCUUUCGCCAGUCCUUCUAAUGACGCAAAAACCGUGAUCAAGAUGUUCAAGUCUGUCAUAUUUCCGAGGUUCGGUGUUCCGCGAGUGGUCAUCAGCGAUGGUGGCUCCCACUUCGUCAACAAGAUCUUUGACAACCUGCUGAGAAAGAACGGCGUAAGGCACAAGGUCACAACUCCGUACCAUCCCCAGACUAGUGGUCAGGUCGAGAUUUCCAACAGGGAGAUCAAGAGCAUCUUGUAGAAAACCGUGAAUGCCACAAGGAAGGAUUGGUCUGAGAAGCUGGAUGAGGCUCUAUGGGCGUAUCGAACUGUAUACAAGACACCUCUUGGGACAACACCAUUCCAUUUGGUGUAUGGUAAAGCAUGCUAUCUCCCUGUCGAACUAGAGUACAAAGCUGCCUGGGCAGUUAAGUUGAUGAACUUUGACACCAAGAGUGCUCAUGAAAGGAGGAAGAUGCAGUUGCAUGAAUUGGAGGAGAUUAGGCAUCUGGCCUAUGACAACUCGAGGAUAUAUAAGGAACGAACCAAGGCCUACCACGACAAGAGGAUUCUCACACGGACCUUCGCUCCAGAUGAUCAGGUCUUAUUGUACAACUCUCGAUUGAAACUGUUUCCCGGGAAGCUAAGAUCGAGAUGGUCCGGACCCUUCACCAUCAAAGAGGUCCAACCAUAUAGAGCUGUAGUGUUGCUGGACACUAAGGGAGGAGAGUUCGUGGUCAAUGGACAGAGGCUCAAGCCGUAUCUCGCCGGUUCUGACAUCGCAGGAGGUGAAACCUUCACCUUAGGCGAUCCUCCUCAAGCCUAAAUGGCUACCAAGUCAAUCUAGUGACUUUAGCCAAGUGCUGGGUGGGAGGCAACCCACCAAGUACAUAUUCUCGCCUUUUAUCUUAUUUUAGCAACUAAUUUUUGGUUUUGGUUUACUUUGUUAAAAAAAAAAAAAAAAAAAUGGAAGGACAUGUUUCCACCGUGAAAGGAGUCCAAGAGAAAGAUUUUCGGAGAAAGGAAACAGAGCACCUGCUCUGAUUUGGAGCACAUACUCGCUCGGGUGCUCUGUGUGAGUUGUGGGCCCAGGUAAAUCUUCUGAUUUCGAAAAAAAAGGAAAAAAGUGGGUCCGGAUUUUUUAAAACCGAACUACCUUACCCGGCCAACUAGUUUUUAAUAAAAAAGACCCAACUCCUUUUUCCUUCUCUCCCUCACUUCUUCUCUUUCGAUCUUCCUCUUCCCCAUCGUCACCACCAUCGCUUUUUCCCAAAAUCUCAAGGUUUUCAAAACUUCACCAAAUUUCACGCUUUUUGGGUCGAUUCCACUCGAUUUUUCCCCCUCUUUCCGAAUAUCCAAUCGCUUUUUCCAACCAACCACGGUAAGCACUCGAAAUCUCACUUUUUGAUUCCGCCAUGGAUGAGAAAAGUUGAGAUUUCAAGCUCCCUUCUUCGAUUUUCUUGCAUCCGGCUCAUAUUCAUCACUAUUUGUAUGCAUGCAUUCGAUUUUGGUUGGAAUUUAUGCUUGAUUUGCACAUGCAUAUUUUUGAGAAACCUUGGAUUCCACCAUUAAUGGCGGUUUGUGCAUGCUUAAUAGAUUAAGGUAAAUUUCGAGUAUUUUGUGGAUGAUUGAUGUUGGUUGUUGUGGAUUUGUGUUGAUGGAGCUGUGAUUAAGAGUUUUUGGAGUGAUCAUGAGUGCAAUCGAUUUUUGCAUACCAUUGAUCACCUCGAUUUUUCAUGAUUUCUUAUUCUCUUCGGUUUUCGAUUGUGUUUACAGGUACCCAUGGCUCCUAAGCACUCCUCUAGUCGCAAAGGCAAAGCGCAUGCAGCACCUCAACCACCACCACCUCCGCCACCUCCGUUCCCAAACAAGCUCCUCCACCCGUGGCCUCGCAAAGAGAGCGAGCCGUUCGAUCUCUUAGACGACUCUCUCCCCACCGAGUCCGUCGAUCACUGGGACCUCCGAGACGCGCGCGCCUAUAAUAAGCUGCUGGGUCUCAAGUUCGAGCCUACUUGCUUGAUGUGCACUACAUCUCUCAAGCAGCUCGGGCUGUACGAGCAGGUGACUCCGGUGCUGCUGCAUGUUCGCGUGCUUACCUUCACCUUCGCUGAUGAGCCUCUCUACCCCGACUUGGUGCGUCAGCUCCUCGUUUCUGCCCGCAUCACUCACGCGGACCCCGCCAACAAGACUGUGGCUGGCGUGGCUUUUACCUUCAAGGCUAGUGGUCGCCUUUACACCUUCCCAAUGGAGGACUUCUCUGCGACUCUCGGUUUCCUUACCGAGCCUGACGAGCUGACUCCUCUGCCUAAGUUCCACCAGGCUGCCGCUUUCUGGAGCAUGAUCGCCACAGGACCAUACCGGUCCAACUCUGCCAGUCAGGCCCUCCGUCUCGCAUCGCGCAUCCUCAGCAACAUGCUCUUUGACCGAGACUCCGGCAACAAGCUCCACCGCGACGAGUUGCUACUGCUCUACUUGGGUUGCAAUGGUGCCACCGGAGCACCUGCUCUGUUCUCUGGAGCACCUGCUCCCUCCACCAUGCACGGCCACCUGGGUCUGCAUUUUGCUGAGCUGAUCUGUGGUAUCCGGGAUAAGUCCGGGGGAUGUACCGAGCGUAUAGGCAGCCUUCUCACCCCACUUUUUGAGUCGGCUGGCCUUGAGAUGAAGUUUGAUGAGUGUAUUGAGGCCAAGGAGUAUCUCGAUCUCAAGCAUCUCAACAACUCCAAGAUCAUCUUCGCGUCCACAGCAGAGAGUUGUUUCUACCGGUAUCUUAGUGCCGAUGGCAUGGAGCAGUGCCUCACCCUUCUAUCACCGGAGCAGACGCAGCUGGCGUCCAUUGAGGACCUCUGUUUCGUACACACUGCUCUACUCUUAGAGGGUCCUCCUCCUGUCGCUCUCCGCUCUGUUCCUGCUGCGGAUUUCGCCAGCUCCUCUCACCACCACCAGGAGGACAUUCCGAUGCCCGACUCCACCAGUGUCCCACCUUUCACCACUACCGCCACUGAUGGCGAGUUUGCUCUUCCUCCAAUCUCUGACGAGCCUGACACUGUCGAGUACCGGCGUUGGAUGAUUGAGUCCCAGAGGAAGAACAACAGCCUCAUGCAGAGGAUCAUGCAGAUACUAUCCCGAGGGUGCUGUCACACUACCGCAGUGAGGGCGAGCCCAUCCGCGAGACAGCCACGACGCAGACGCCGCAUUGAUCGUUCGGAGAGUGAGAGCUCGGACGACCACACCACUCGCUGAUUCACGGUUAUACCUUCCUUCACCACCAUUGUAUUAUCUGUUUUCUGUUUUGUUAUUUGGGUUCUCUCUUUGGUUUGCUUUCACACCAGGGACGGUGUGAAGUAAGUCCGGGGGAGGGACAUGUUUUGCAUUUGUUUCUUUUGAGUCAGUUUUUUGUGUUUUCUCUUGAGUCAGUUUGUUUAUCGAGUCAGUUUGUCAUGUGAGUCAAAUCAAAACUUGUGGGAAUUAAGACCAGAAUCUAUGAUGAGUUUUUAAUCAUUUGUGUAUUUGAUCAUCUUUUCCUAGUGACCAUUGUUGCAGAACUAAGAGUACAGAGACGAGCUGAUGCUUCUUCACAUUCGGAUCUUUCUCCUGACCAGAAAAUUUUCAUCUCAAUCAGGUUUCACCGGAAAUACAUAGACUCAACUUUAUUGGAACCUAACCGGAUUUAAAUUCUUCUCGUUUUGGGCAUUAGGAUAGGGAACGAGUUACAUUACAUAUUCAGGAAUUCUUAUACCUUUUGCCACUCUUGCUGAUCCUGAAUAGCUAGCUCAUUUUUAGCUAGUACCCCACCUAAGCCUAACCGUCUUUCAAGCCACAUGCACUUGUGUUUUUCAUCUCUUAUAUGUGCAGAUAUGUGCAAAACGGUCGGGGAGAACAGGAUUGACGCAACCUCUAACUCACUCUUGCUGGAGAUUCGUGAGUUACAAAGAAGGACAGACCGAGCACGUGCUCCCAUUAGCCGAGCACCUGCUCCACGGAGACAUUCAUACCGAUUUGAGUCCUUGGGUUGUGUUGAGUAAGGAGAUCAUAAAAUGCGGUCCGCAUGCUCGAGAGGCAUACAUGAAAGACGAUCCUCCAUCAUCCUAUCAUCUUUUUCAAAAAAAAAAAGAAAAAAAAAAUCAAUGUUCAAGGGAUGAUGGAAAAGGAGCUGAGCUAAUAUUUGAUUGCCAAGCAUGCGUUGAAACCCAGAAGAAGAAGAUAAGCCGAAUUUGAGAAGCUGAAGUUUCAAAAAGAGGAGAGUGAUUAGAGGUUGUGGAUCAUCAAUGAGUCCAUUCUCCCUUGCCAUUUUGUGCGAUAUGCUGCAUCUCUUUCGAAAUCAUGGUAACCUCUGAAACACUCUAUAGCUCCACCUUUAAAACAGCCUUUUCUUUACCAAGCCUCGAUUUAUCUAGCCUAGUGCCCUUAAUGAGAAGCUCACGCCAACCUUAAAUGAACUUAGAGAGUCUAUUGUCUGGAAAGUGAACCUCUUUAGGUUUGAAAGCCAAGUACGGUUUAGGGUUGGAGAUGUUUGCUGAGGAGGUUUUUGGUAAGAAUCGGUAUCUCUUGUUCUAACACAUGUGGUUCGCAGGUCAUGGUCCAUACACGGUUUCUGAGAUUUUGCGAGUUCCCACCUUCAUCUUCUUUGCGUCUUGAUUUGAGUUUGUUUGAGGACAAACAAAGAUCCAAGUCCGGGGGAGUUGAUAUGUUGCGAUUUUGACUCAUUUUGACCCUUGUUAUUUGAUAGUUUUCGAGUCUUUUGAGUCCUUUUCGGGUCAUAACAGGAAGCUAGGAGGCUAAAAGCAGGAAUUGGAACAUCAAGAAACCUUCACAGCAAAAAGGAGUGGAAUCGAAGCAGAAACCUGAGUUUUGACACCGAGCACCCGCUCCCGACUUCCGAGCAUGCGCUUCGGACUUUUUCCUUUUCCGUGCAUCCGCCACGUGGCAAAGCAAGGGCGGUUGGCACCGACUUUGCCUUAGCCGUUUUUCCUAUUUUUGGCCGAGUUGUUGUUAUAAAGGAUUAGCCACCCUUUUAUUUUAGGAUAUAUUUAUCUUUCCUUUUUCUAAGAGAGAGACUUUUGACCUAGGGUUUUUCUAAGCAUUGCAAGCUUGAGAGGGAGACGAAUUUCUGCUACAUUCCUGAGAAGAAUUCCGAACCCUUGUGAUUUAUUAUUUUAUUCUAUGAGUUUCUUUUCAUCUAUGUUUUCUGAUUUGUUAUCUAUGUCUGAGUAGUUCUCUUAACUAUAUUAGGGUUUCAAAGGAAUUGAUGAUUUGGCAACUGAAUGCAAAUAGGACUUUUUAUUAUUAGAUUGUCUUCACCAUUGUUAGACUUAAUGCUUAGGUUGAAUUGAUCACUCAAUCUGCGAUUUUAGGUUUAUCUAUUCAUCAAAAGUGUAAUAGGUUGCUAGAAAGAACUUUGGUGAGCAAAUUAACUAGGCCUGCGAAAGUUGAGUGCUAGGUAAUUUGUGAACUUAUCAAACCUGAUCUUUAAUGCUUAUCUGCGAUUGCUAGGACCAAACGACAGUUUAUGAUUCUAGGUUGUUAGAUAAAGUUAUUGAUGCUACGACAGUAGAUCAGUUUAUUAUCAUGUUUGAGUUCUAGACUUGCUUCAAAAUCGUGUCUUGAAUAGUUGUUUGGUUGUUAUCUCUGACAUUCCUGCGAAUUGCCCUGGUCUAGUGCUUCGUUUAAUUGAUUUACAAACCGCAAUUUACUUUACUGCAUGUUACAAAACCAACUCACUUUGUCUUAGCUUGAAGUUAAACCAAUAAAAUCAUAGUGUAAUACUUGGUCUUCGUGGGAUUCGACCCCUAAAUACUACUCCGCUUUGCUGUGCACUUGCAGUAGGAAAUAUGGUUAAAACUCUGUGUAUCACUCUCCCAUUUUCAUCCGAGUGGAGGUUUAUGAUAUGUUUAUUUCAUUUAUAUUCUAUAUAAUACAUAAUUUUAGAAUACCUUUUAUUUUCCACCAUUCAUCCAAUUUCAAUCCGCAAACCUCUGGUUUCUCUUUGGUUCUUACACUUAUGGUGGCUGCUUCUUCUAACUUUGUAAGUAUAACAUCGUGUUUUAAUUCUUUCAGUUAUGUUGAAUUGUUUUGUUUUUGUAUGUUAUUGAUGACAAUGAUUGAAUAAAGUUGUAUUUUUUUCCUCCCAGGGUCUACCGAAUAUUAGUACAUCCUGAAGCUUUUUUUUUUAGUUGAAACAAUGUGUUUGGUAUCUUGCGUUCGAAAUAGAAAUAGACAGUGAGAUCAAGCAUUCUUGCUUCUCUUGCUAGCGUUUCUACAUGUGUUGGUAAGUCUUCAAAUAUAAUUGAAAGUAUAUCGUUUAUGCUUUGCUAGCUUUAGUAAGUCCAGCAUAUAAAUUGCCAACGGGUGUGUAACCAUACUUGAUGUUUAGACAAUCACAUGAUUUGUGUGAAUUGCCGUUAAUCAUGUAUGUAUGUACUCUGUAUUUGACUCUCCAUGCAUUAUUCUAUAUAAAACAUGAUAAACAUAUAUAAUAUACGCAACAAAAUCGAAAUAUUGUGUUGCUAAUUUAUGUAGAUAUAUCUUUAAGAAAACAGUUUGUAGCUAUAAUUACAUUACAUAUACCUUUUGGUCAAGAAAAACAUCACCAUACCACAGAGACACAAACAAAAACUAUUCUGAAAUAAAAUCCGCGCGUACGCGCUGAUAUUCCCCUAUUAACUAAUAACUUGAAACUAUUGAUACUGUAUUUAAUACAGGUAAAUCAGCCUUAGUUUUGGCUUGGUUACAUAUACUUCGGUUCGAUUCGUUUCAUUUGCAUUAUUUCAUAAUUUAUAUUUCAUUCGCAUCAUUACUCUCUCUCCAGUCUCCACCAACAAUAUUCCUCUUCACAUUGCCUUUUACAACUUAGAACAUGAAAAAACAAAAGUUUCAAUAUUGCUAUUAAUAUAUUUUACAUCUUUAUAUAUAAAGUAGAAGUGAAAUUUCUUCUCCUUGAGACACAUCAUCAACUACUUCUCCAAAAUUUGACAACUCAUCAUACUCAACUAUCAUAUAACCCAUUUAUUGAUCUGAUUUAUCCAUCCUAAUUUUUUAAUAUCUAUAUCAUAUAUUAUAGUUUUAACUCAAUAUCCACAUUCUUUUAUUAUUUAAUUUUAAUAAUUUAAAUAUAUGUGAACAAGUUUUUAUUAAAGGAAUAUAAAAGGUUUUCUCUUAUAUUUUUUAUUAUAUGACCAAAAAUAAACAUAAUUUAUUAAAAACUGAUAGAUCUCCUAAAUUUUAAUUAUACUAAUUAUACUAACUAAUAUAUAGAUCAUAUAUUAUAGUUUUAAAGAAUGUUUUCUCUAUUGAAUAUAUAUUCAGUAAAUUUAGAUAUAUGUAAAAACGUUUUUCUAAAAGGAAUAUGAAAAGAAUUUUCUUAUAUAUUAUAUUAUAAUAUUAAAACAAAGAUAAUUAAUUACAAAUAAGUAUCCCUUAAAGAAAUAUUAAAGGUUUUUCCUUAUAUUUUAUAUUAUAAAACUAAAGAACAUAAAUUAUCAAAAAUAUGAUAGAUUUACUAAUUUAAAAUUAUACUAACUAAUAUAUUAUAGUUUUAAUUCAAUGUGUUUCUAUUGAAUAUAUACUCAGUAAAUAGAUGAAAUCAGGUAAAAUACAUAAAAUACUAAAAAUGUCAACAAAAAUAUGAAAAUAGAGAAAAUAAACGAAAAAUUAUGACGAGAUUUAAUGGUAAAAUAAUAAAAACGAGAGUUUUGAGAACUAAAAACAUGUUCCAUUAAUAUUUCAUUAAAUUUUCUGAACAAAACGGAGGAUAGGUAGGGGCAAAAUAGAAUAGAAAGAUAAAAGCCCAUCAAAUAAAAAAAAUGAAGACAAAACGAAUCAAUAUACACCGGAAAUUGGAAGAGAAAAAUGAAGACAAUAGAAAAGGAAAACCUAAAAAAACGGGAAUAAAAACAUUAAAAAUAAUAUCAACUAAAAUCAUAAAAAUUAGAGAAGGUAAAUGAAAAAUCAAGACAGGAUUUAAUAAACAUAGGACAAGAACAAUAUUUUUGAGAAUAAAAAAGAUAUUCCAUUUAUAUCUUAGUAAAAUUUCUGAAUAUAAACGGGAUAGCUCGAGAUGGAAUAAGAUUGGAAUAUGAAAGCUCAUCAAAUCAAAAAAAAAAAAAAAAUUGAAGACGAAAUGAAUCAAUUCAUACCGGAAAUUAGAAAAACAAAACAAAGACAAAGGAAAAUGAAAACCUAACGAUAAUGGGAAUCAAAAUGUUAAAAAUAAUAUAAAAUCAAAUCUUAUUGGAUUAAAGCUAUGCAAACAAAAAGCAAAAACAUAGUUAAAUGAAAAUGAAUUUAUUUAAGGUAAAUUCAUUAUAUUAUUAGGUUAAAUUAAUAACAUUGUUCCAUAUGAAAAUGUUGAAAAUAUAUAAGACAAAAAAUCAGAAACAGAUACAAAAUAAGACGGAAAUAUUGGAACUAAACAAGAAUUAUGAAAACCUCUAUCAAAUGACUAAAACACAAUAAUAACUUACAAAACAUAUUAAAAAUUAUUUAAUUAAUCUCUAGUAUUGCAUAAACUCAAUAGCGGAUCAUUACAAUACAUUAUGUAUAUAUAUUAAAAUUGUGAUCACUACAAUAUGUUGUCACGUGGUGUAUUGGUCUCCGUGGGGUUAAUGGGCUGAAAUGUAACGGGUUCGACUCCACCUUCGUGCUGUUAUGUUGUUUUUUUGGUUUUUUUGUUUAAUGAAUUGGAAAAUUACCAAAUUACCCCCGUCGUCUUCUACUUCAUCUGCAACUUUUGACCUAAUUUCCAGCCGCUUCAUUGAUAAUUGUCGAUUUUCUUUGUUUUUCUUGUGCUUUUUACUUCCCCUUUCUUAUUUUCCCGUUCUUCCCCUUUCUCAUUUUCCCUCUCCGAUGUCCCGCGAGAAGAAGAAGAGGUUCGUACCACUGGGUGAUAUUAGCCUCCUUUCACACCAUAAGGAGCGCCAAAAGAAGAAGGAAGCAAUCACAGCUGAGGAUCGACAGACGAAGGUGCAGCUCAUUUGGGAUUUCAAUACUGCUCCUUUGCGUGACAUUUACAACGGUAACGAGUACGAUGUGUCCCAGUUUAUUCACUCUAUCAACAGAGGUCUGCGUCAUGUCAAUGAUAACCUUCGGGUUGAUGAGGAGACAACUUUUGCGGCUGGAGACACUGACCUUCUAAAACCUUCUGACCUUUUGAGCAUCAAAUCACUCUUCAAAGAAGUGGUUCACUGUAAAGAUAGGGAUUACUUAUGCAAACCUUGUCGCGAUAGCGCUGCUGCUCCUCCUGUCAAAACAACUGACGAAGUGAUGUUUACACUUCAAGAAAAACUUCUCGGAGAUGCGAUUCUUCGUGGUUCUCCAGGUGUAAUUCUGCUAAUCUCAGCGGAUUAUGACUUUCACCCCAGUCUAGAUUACUUAAGAAGAGACAAUUUCAUCAUUCUUUUGGCUCAAGCUGAUGACUCUCAUUUGGAUUAUCGCAAUCAUGGUCACUACACCUUCAUUUGGAAGAAUCUGAGAGUUGGAGAACCUCCAACAUAUGAAUGUACCAAUUUUAAGGCAAUUGAUGGUACGAAGGGUGAUGGUGAUACCGUUUAGAGAUUGUUUGUCGUUUGUUGUAGUUUGUCGUUGAUCUCUGUCUAUGUGGUUUAUUUUGUUUAGAGAUGUGGUGUUAUGUAUCGCCGAGGUCUUGUCUCAACGUUAUGUUUUGGACUAUUAUCUUUAAUCAUUUCGGUUGUUGCAACUCCAAAACGCUUAAUUUGAUUUCAUAAAGUUUUUGGUCCAAGUAGUUUGCUUCUUCUUAUUCCUUUCAACUCCUAUAAAGUUUCUGUACAUUCCAGUCGUCAUGAGAUCUCAUAAUCGAAUCUGCAAAUCAGGCUAUUUCCCUUUUUUGUUAUAAAAAGAACAAAAAAUUCAACUCAAGUGUGAGAAAUCAGAAAUCACAACUCCUUUUGUUGUGGUGGACGACGAGGAGUACGGUAACAAACGUAUGUAUCACUCUCUUCCCCUGCUUCUGUUUUCGUCUUCCUUUUCUCGGAUUCAGAGACUUCCCUUCUUAUUCAGCGUAUUGCUUGAAUUCUGUUUUUAGAUUCUCAAAUUGAGGCGAAUUCAACUAUAAGGUGGAUUUUCUGUUCUUGUCACUACCUACCAAAGCUAACGUUCUAGUAAAUUUCAAUUUGAUUUUUGGCUUUAGUAUCUCAUGAUCAGGCGCAAUUGAUCAGGCGUCAGGUGGUUUCUGAAACUAAGGUUGGAUUGAAUAUUAUAGUAUUCAGAUUGCUGAUUCUGUAAGAGGACUUGCGGAGACAGGAAACUCCAACGCUCAAAGUUUAGAUUUUGGCUAUGGGAAGUUUUCAAAUGGAAAUGUGCAUGCUUCUGAUGACACCAAUACAAGUACAUGUACAUCGGGUAAUAGGGGAAAUGGCUUCUCUGAAGAGCCUAUUGUUGUGCCUCCAAGUGAUAUCUUAAGUCGCACUGUAGUUUCAAAACCUGCUCGAGAGUCUCAGAGAAACAAUAGUACUUCUUCGUCGGGCUGGGGCUAUUGAGGGAAAUAUGUGUGCUUCUGCCACUGGUGUAGUAAGGGUGCAGUCGAGAAAGAAAGCAGAGAUGUUCUUAGUCCCAACUGAUGGAGUCUCUUGUACUAGGGAAAAGGUUACAGAGUCCUCGCUAGCCUUCACACAUACAAGUACUCAACAGUAAAUGCUUCUUUGGAAAACUACCCCAAAAACCGCGUCUUACUGCUGAAGAAGCUAGUGCUAGAACUCAUGGAGGAAGCUAAAGAGGUAAACGCUUUCAAGAAGAUUAUAUAAAUUCUCUCUUGUGUAUUGAAGUUGCCUGUAAUUCAGGAAGCCGGUGAAAAGUUUUUCUUCUUUCGAAUUUGUUUCAGGCUGCAUCUUUCUUGUAUCACCAAGAGAAGAUGAAUGUAUUGGUUGAACCUGAGGUGACAUGACGUAUUUGCCAGGAUUCCAGGGUUUGGCUUUGCCCGGACCUUUUACAUACAGGACACGAGGUACAAGAAUAAGUUAAGUGGACAUCAGCUAGACUACUAAUCCACGGCUCAAUUGUGAUCGACUUUAUUUGCUUUUGUUUUAAUUCAGCGAUCUCCAUGGAAGGGUUGAUUUUGUGGCAUGCUUAGGAGCGGAUGGGUUGAUAUUACAUGCAUCAAACUUGUUCAAAGGAGCUGUCCCUCCCGUUGUUUCCUUUAACUUGGGGUCCCUUGGAUUUCUCACUUUACUAACCCUUUCGACAUGUUCUAUUUCUUAACUAUGUCUUACUAUUCUUUUUCUUUCGACAGCCUUCUUAUUAUUUUUAUUUUGUUUCCAUUUAGUUUGAGGACUUCAGACAAGACUUCAAACGAGUCAUCAUCCUUGGGAAUAACUCGCUUGAUCUCUUCGAAUGUUGUAUAUAACUCUUCGAAUGUUGCGAAAUCUUUGUUAAAGUGUUUGAUGUUCUGAACGAGAGUGUUGUUGAUCAACCCAACUAUACCUUUCUAAGAUUGAAUGUUAUGAACACGAUCGUCUCAUCACCAAGGUCUGUACCCAUUUGGUUUAAUUUCUUACGUGAGACGAAGUCUACUUAAUCUUUAAGCAAGUGAGGAGUCUCAGUGCAUGUUGUAAAAAUGACCCCUACAUUGAUAAAAUUUUACAGCUUUUGUGUGUUUAGGUACGAGUUAUAGUACCGACUCCCACAGGAAGAACUGCUUAUUCUACAGCAGCCGGAGGCUCCAUGGUAAACUUUCCAACUUAACUCUGCAUUACAUACUAAAAAGAAUAAACCUCAUUGGCAUCUCAGAGUAAUAUCAUGCCGUUUAUAAUAAAAUUUCAGUGUUCGCAAAUUAGACAUGUAUAAAAUUCAAAAAAUUGCAGGUGCAUCCAAACGUUCCUUGCAUGCUGUUUACUCCGAUCCGCCCACAUUCCAUGUCGUUCAGGCCAGUUAUACUUCCAGAUUCUGCUAAGCUUGAACUGAAGGUCAGACUUUAGAUCUUUAUAGCAAUACACUUUCCAAACUCUCUGCGCUCAUAUAUUUGGAGACCACGUAAUCAAAACCUUUGGGCUUUUUCAUAUUUGCUGUUUCAAAUGCUCACAAAUCUUCUCUAAACAAAAACCGAUUCCAGAUGAUGCUCGAAGCAAUGCAUGGGUUUCGUUUGAUGGAAAGAGAAGGCAACAACUUUCGAGGGGAGAUUCAGUGAGAAUAUACAUGAGCCAACAUCCACUCCCAACUGUCAACAAAUCUGAUCAAACCGGUGAUUGGUUUAGAAGCUUGAUCCCUUGCUUAAAUUGGAACGCCUUGAUCAAAAGGCUCCUUGUUGACUGAUUCAUUCAUCAACGCAUACAAGUCUGUUUGUUUCAGCCAUCCCUCUUCUACUGUACAGAUUCUUAGUCUUUAUAAUUCGCACUAUAAUUCACAAGGGUUUUGUAAAUUUACAGCAGAAAAAAGGUGGUAUUUUAUUUUUUCCUUUGUCAAUUUUGACCCCUCACAAAUUAAAAUGAUACAGUAGAUUAGUCUAUCUACAAAUAUAUAUAUAUAUAUAUAUUAUUUUAUUUUUUUCUUUUGGGAUAAAAUAAGAUUUGCCCUCAUUCUUCUUUUGCCGAAAAUACAAAUUAACUAAAUGUAUUGUCCCAACUACAGUAGAAGGAUGUCGUCCGUUUCAAAUGUACGGCCGUGUUCGUCUUCGGUUAUUCUUCUUGAAAUACGAGGUCUUGUCUCAGCGUUAUUACUUCCAGGUCUAAAACAGAACAUAUAAUAUGGGAUAAUAAACAAAUUGCAAGGUGCAUAUAUCUCUCGUUGGGCCAGACAAAAUGAGAAUAUCAUGGAUAACGAACGACUGCCAUCGAGAUUCAGCCUAGAGUGAGUGCUGGACCAAUCAGGCAUUGCAGACAAGAGCUACAUGCCAAGAGAGCAGUUUGAGCUUGGUCCAAGCUAAACUUUCGUGAUGGCUGCAGCGGUCAAAUUGACAAAAUCAACGUGAAUUCAUGCCAAGAUCCUAGUGCUUAACUGUGGAAUCCUCAACACCACACCUUAUCUGUCAGCCAUGGUGAUAAAUCGCUAUCAGAGAGCUACAAUCAUAGCCCUUAACUGUGGAAUCCUCUUAAUUUACUCUGUAUAAUAUGAUGAUGUACCUCAGAAAAUGUGGGGGCACGUUGAUAGUAAACUCUUUGUGGCCAUUUUUCCCUAGUAACAAAUGUCGACUAGAAAAUCUUAUCUUUAGAACUGUCAAUACAUCUCUUUCUUGCAAAGCUGCUUUAAAAUCAUAAUCCUUUGUGAAAUUGCUAUUUGGGUUUAGAAAUAUAGUAUGUCAAAGUAGAUUGUUAUUGUAAAUAAUCAUUCCAUUUCCACCUAAAAUUUACCUAUUUUCAUGUCUUAAGUUGUUGAAUACAGAUGGUGCAUCACAUACCAAAUGGCGCUUCCAGAUGCCAUAUAAUACUUGCAACUUUGUGACAACUUAAAUGAUUUUUAAUUAUAUUUCUAUAUUUAGAAAAAAACCAUAAAUCACUGACAUAAACUGGAUCUCUGACUCAAAGAACUCAAAAUCCACAAGUGGAUACGUCUUUAUACUAGCAGGGGCAGCAAUUUCCUGGAGAUCUGGUAAACAAACUCUAUUAGCUCGAUCAACGAUGGAAUCUGAGUUUAUAGCGCUUGACAAAGCCGGAGAGGAAGCAGAAUGGCUUUGAAAUUGGAUGGAAGACAUUCCAAUGAUGGAGAAACCAGUGUCAGCAAUACGUGUACACUGUGAUAACCAAGCGGCUAUCGCUCGGGCACUGAAUAAUCUCUAUAAUGGAAAAUCUCGUCAUAUCAGAAGGCGACAUAAGACCAUUAGACAUUUGAUCUCAACUGGUGUGAUCACCAUUGAUUAUGUAAAGUCAGCCGAUAACCUUUCGGAUCCGUUUACAAAAGGUUUGACUCGAGAUCAAGUGCUAAGAUCAUCAAGAGGAAUGGGUUUAAAGCCUGUGAAUUAAGAUGACGUUUGGUGGAAACCCUACUUAUGUGACUGGAGAUCCCAAGAUCUAAGUUCAAAGGGACAACUAAAUCAGACUGAUUCUGCUAAAAGCAUUGUGAGACUUACGUCUCUACCCAACUCCUACGAUGAUAAAACAGUGCUACCUGUAUGUGAUAAAGAUAAGCAAUGGCUUUUAAUGAUUUCAUAGCUAUGUAAGAUAUGUGGAGUAUGACAGGAUACUUCUUAAAAUACAUGCUAAAAGCAGAUCACCUAGUGAGUGUGAAAUAAGGUCGUUUCUAGGAGAAUGAAAGUUAGGCUAUAUUCUCCAAGUUCACUCAUGAAUAACCAGGCAAGUUCAAGGCCAAAAUGAACACAAUAGAGAACUUAGUUCUACGAGAAAUGAAGCUGGGUUAUAGCUGUUGUCUCGGUUUACAUCAAAAUCUGGGUGGUUCAAGACAUCAUGUUCACCUCCCGGCCAAGUAAACCCGACAGAUAUUAACAAUGAGUGGUUCAAGGCUGAAAAAUGCUACUUACUCAGACACAGUUAAUUUCGUUUAUACUCUCGAAAAGUCAGUCUGUCUAGUCUAGUAUAAGUCUUAGUCAGAAUUUUAUCGAGUCUGCAUAAUCGAGUCUGCAUAAUCGAGUCUGCAUAUGUUUAGAGUCAUUUCUAUUCAUGUGGGGGAUUGUUGGACCAAAUUUCGUAAUGGGCAAUUAGGGCCCAAACGAAAUUAAAAAUUUGUGUGAAAAGAAAUGGGCCUCCGGGCUUUAAAUUGAGAAAGCCUUUUAGUAGGCUAAAUUUAAUGAGGAGAAAUGGGAAAUGUCCCACAUCGCCUAGAGGAGCAAAAAUCUCAGUGUUUAUAAAGGCAUGAACUCUUGUUUGUGUUUAAAAGCUGAGGGAGAAGGGAGGACUCCACGCGCGCGCCGCCGCCGCUGUCCGACCGGCUCGACUCUGGGUCUGGGUCUGGGUCUGGGAAUAGGCCCUUUAGGGCCAAACGCGCGUAUAUAUUUUUUGGGGAAAAUUCGUAUGAAUUUUUGGUUCAAUUAAACGAGUCAAUCGAUCGAUCUAUUUUGAGAUCGAUCGUUCCGGAUGCGACACGAGAUCGAUCGAUCUACUUUUAGAACGAUCGAUCCUGAUGCGAAACGAGAACGAUCCAUAUGUUUUCGAACGAUCGUUCUCGGCUUUCUAGAAACAUGUCUAUUUCGACGUGUACGUAGAAGUCGUCGCCAUCCACCCAAGAAAAUAAGUGCACCCUAAAGUCUUGGUCUUCCACUUACCUGAUUUUUCGGGAUCAGAAAACAACUCCUCUUUUGGCUAUAAACGAGUCAUCUUCUUCCUCAUUUUGGUACCGGUUUUCAUCAGAAAAAAGAGAAACCUUACACACAAAAUUGCAUCCAACGAUCGCUCAUAUGGUAAGUCUCAGGAGUAUAUCUUAGUUAUAAGUUCGUAGAUUCCGUUUUGAGUGUUGCAAAACGGUCUCAAACCAGUUGUAUCCUGGGAUUCGAGAAUCGCAACAGAAACCGUCUCACUUGCGGGCUAUUCAUUUGAGUUAAGGAAAAAGAUAUCAUAUCUCGCCUCUGCGUUCAAAUCAGUUUUACAAUUGGCUCGAUUUUCAUCGUCUCUUUUAAAUCGUUUCAAAACAUUUCUUAUAAAUCGUUUUAUAUCAAAAACGUUUUUGAUCCAAAUAAUUCUGUCUCAAACGGUUUUCUCAAUCGGUUUUGGUGGUAUUACACUUCAUACUCGAGAAGGCAGGUCAAAAAAUCGUAGGGUUCCAUGGAAAAGCUAGUGACCAGCUCUAUCAGUUUGGAGUCAGUGUCGCACCCAUCACAAAGUGACGUCUUUGAUCCAUUUAUCAUAUCAAGUUUAAGGCUCUCUUUAGCCCAAAAAAAAAAAGUUUAAGGCCUCUCUCAUCUCCACCACUUUACAAUAACGUGUUUGUUGUCUUCGAUGUUUUUAAUAUGGUGAAAUAAAAUUUGUCUACCACUGUUUCAGGCUAAAGUUAUGCAAUUUCGUCAUUCUCCAACAAUGCCAAACAGAAAAGUAGAUUUUCAUUUUCACAUAGGCAUAAUACCUAGGUUGCAUGGAAACGGAAACGGAUACGUAGAAACGAAACGUGUAGAAACGUGGAAACGGAUUUUUACAAAAUUUUAGGAAACGGGUACGUUUUGGAAACGUACAAACAUAUGCAUAUACAUAUAUUCAUAUAUAACAAUAAACAUCAAAAUAAUAUUAAAAAUAUUUAAAAAAACACUAAUCCAAUGCAUAUACAUAUUAAAUAGUUUAAUGAUUAAGAUUUAUAUUGAAAAAUGUAUUUACAUAAAUUAUUAAAUUAUAUUUUUGAAUUACAAAACAAUAAAAUAUGUCAUAAACUUUCCUAAAUACUUUUUAUUAUGUUUAUUUAACAUAAAAACAAGUUUUCAUCGCGUUUAUAUUUUUGAAACAUGUUUUCACUAUGAUUUUAAGUUGCGUUUUUAAGAAUUGUAAUUUCAUCGAGUUUCCAAUGAGUUUCCAAGAGUUUCUGAUUCCGAAACGUUUCGGAAACGGGAAACGGAUCUCAAACAGAGUUUCCAUGUAACCUAGCAUAAUACCAGUUGAUAAGACUCCCUUUAAACUUAAAGCGCCAAGAUUUUUACCACUUCUGCUUCCUUUUUCUAGUUCUUUGUAGUGAGAUAGAAAGGCAAACACCUGAAAUACACAAUCAUGCUUAAAUAUACUAAGCCCAAUUCGGAAACACAGAGCCGUGCCUAGGUCAAUAGAGGCCGGAGGCGAUACAAAAAUAUCACAAUUUAUGAAAUUUACAAGUGUUAAUUAACAAUAAUGGACAUCAACUAACGAAACAAAUAUUUACAAAAAUAAAUAGUCAUAUAUAUAUAUAUAUAUAUAUAUUUACAAAAAUAAAUAGCCAUAUAUAAUAAAGGAAAUAAAAAAUAAGUUUUUGCAUAAAUCAUACAUUUUUUCCAGACCAUUGGUUUUUUUGUGUUUUUCGGUAAAUCUAAAAUUUAGAAUACAAUUUUACAAUAUUUGAAGUUGUAAUACAAUGUCAGUGCCAAUGUCGAGAUGUUUCCACAGAGCCGUGUCUGAUGUUAUAAGAAAAGAAACAUCUCGACAUUGGCACUGACUCCAAUUGCAUUGGAGAGCAUAUAUUUCAUCGUAUUUGUCCACACAAGUGAAUCCAUAGCAGCAAAUCAGGAUGGUUGCAUCAACACUGAAACAUAACUACUCUGUUCCAUCAAAACAAAUACUGUCGAUACCAACUUCCAACCGUGGAAAUGAUAGUAGUGGUUUAGAUUUCCAUUUGUGCUUGAAGCGAAAAUUCAAUUUCUCGUGUUAAAGCAGCCACCUCAUCAAACCACAACCUAUCAACCUUCCAUUUGCUUUGCUCUGGCCUGGAUUUGUACUUGAUUCUCCAUCAUUUGAGAGAUUUCCGUUUCUUCAAGAACUGAUGCAUCUUGUAUGAAGCAAUAUAUCAAACGAGUGAUGGACAGAAACAAAGAACCAAAUAAUAAGUCAAGUUUCAACAUGUAAACGAUGAUGCCAUAAUAAAGGCCUUUUGGACAAAUCCAACAAUAUUUAUGUCUACUAGAAAGAGCACCAAUGAAUAAUCUCUCAAUACAUAACUAAUGAAACUACAUUCAUAGAAUUAAGGGUAAUAGUCAUUGAUUGAAAUAAUCAAGAAUCAACUAUGAACUUUCACUACUAACUGUAUUUAGUUAAAGAUUUGCAAAAGAAAACAUGAUAGCCCAAUCUCAGAUAAAAUAGUAAAAAGUACCGUAUUCAUUUCUAAAUUAAGAAGAAAUUGUAUGAACAAAUAAUAUACAAACAAUAAAAUUUAUUAACUAUUUUUUAUUGAGUUAGAAGCAUCUUCGACUCAAGUUCGAAAGAAAGGAAAAAAAUACACAGAGGAAACUAGAUUGGUGUUGUCGUUUUUUAUCAGACUGCAGCGAAUUCAGACUUUUGUUGUAGUUUUUUUCUUAUUAAGGAAAACAUAAUUUUGGUUUUAAUGUCAAUCACUUUCGUAUGAACCUGAACAGCAAAAUCACUUCUUGUACAGUAUCAGAUAGUCACAAGAGACACACAGAAAAAUGACUUUGGUUAUGAUUUUCGUUCAGUGUUCAAAAGCUUUUCACAGUUUCAGCCAACGGUUGAGGUUUUAGCAGCAAGAUGAAUCAGUGCUCGUCGAUGAUAGGUAGUACGCAGCUUCUUGUAUUUCUGCACAAAUGCUGCUACAUCAAUUUCCUUCUCUAGGAACUUCUCUUGUAGGGCUUCAGAUUCUUCAUCCGCCUGAUUCAUAGCCUCUACAAAACCCGCAAAAAGGUGUUGUUUAUAAGUGACACAAGAAACUGUCAGGUGAGGUUGUAGCUGUAUAAGUUUACCUUGAAGCCUAUGAAGAAGAGAAUCAGGUGAGUAGAACUUGAGGAUCUCUUCUUUUUGUCUCUCCAGCUCAUUGAGCUUUUCUUGCGCAGUUGCGAGCUCAGUCGUCCGGAUAAUUUUGCACUGUAGAACGAGUCACACAAGGUAAGAAAAGAUACCCAAAAAGCUUAUUAAAAGAGAGUGAACUGAAUACCCACUUGGUUUCUGAGCUCCAUUAUCUGCGGCUCCUUCUCUAAGUUCCCUCCUAUUUACAUUGGACCAGAACAAUGUCAGAUUUCUAGAUGAAACCGAAGCUACUCCUGAAAUGACAGGAACAACAGAGAACUUACUAGCUAGCUGCAAUGUUUCUCUGCGGAGCUCAUCUUUGAUCUGAUGGACAGAAACAAUGAGCACCAGUGAAUAUUCUCAAUACAUAACUAAUGAAGCUACAUUCUUCGAACUAUAAACAACAAUCGUUAUCCAGAGACCAUUAAAAACUGUUUUUAAGACUUACAUUGUUCUGGAUUUUGACCUGGUCAAGAGAGAGCAGAAAUUGCUGAUACGCAUCUUUGUCAGAGAGAAGUUUCCUAAGCUCGUCCACACUACAGAAAAUACAAGAUUUAAAAAAAAAGAAACCGCAACAGAGGAGAGAAGCGUACAAAAACACACACAAUCGAGACAAACCUUUUGUCUUUCAAAAGCGCAAUAAUGCCAGCUGCUUCACCAGGCGAAACGUGUGCUGGAGUCUGACCAGAUGUUUGAGGCCGUGAUGAACUUGAGGAGCUGACUAGAGAAGGCGAGUACCAUGGCUGCUGAAACAUAAUCUCGGAGGAGGACGAGAUUGCCCUUGUUGCUCUUUUGAUCCCCUUUGAUGUAAACACAAGAGAAACAUAAUCAUUUUAGCACUAAAUCAUUUCAAGAUAUACACCUAAGAGAACACAAAACUUUCUUUCUCGUCAGAUUUACUCCAUUUCAAAUUAGAGGAAGGUGCAGAACAUCAAAACAAGACACCAACAGCAAUAGCAAGACUAUAUAAUACAGUACAACAACAUUCCAAAAACCCUAAAUCAGCAACACAAUCCUCAAUUGUUAAUUACACAAACAACCCAAUUUCCUUAAUCAGCGAACAACAGACCUAAUGUCCGGAACACACGUAUCUGAUUCUCUAGUUAGGAUAUUACCAGAAAUGGAACAUCGUUGUCAGAAAUUAGCUUUUAAAACAAAGCUUUGUGUCGGAAAGACUUGUUCCUUUUCGUUCUUCUCUGCCUAACCGGAUCGACCAUAUUACAGAACUCCAAAAGAAUUAGGAUCGAAGAAGUGUUGAAACUUGGAUUCGUCAACAACGAGACUUUACUUUUUUUGUAUUUAUAAGGUUCUUUAAUUUUAUAAUACGAAUUGGUUUUGGUUUUCCCCUGAUGGGCCUUAUCGUUCCGAAGGCCCAUAUACGAACGAUUUAGUUUGACUAUUAAUACGCCGCCGUUUUAAGUUGUCGUCGUCCUUAUCCACGCCUAACGGCCCGCGUUUAGACUCGUAUGUCAAAUAUUUCUGCAUCGUAGCUUCGAAAAGAGUUCAUCAAUGGGUUGAAACUUUAAAGAGAGAAAGAGAAACAUAUAUAUAAUCAUUUACGAAGAAGAAUGGAGUCUUCUCUGUUUUUACAAUCUCCCUCUUCUUCUCUAUUCACUGCAAAGUUUAAUCGUCUUCCCUCUCCAAACCCCAAACUCUUCUCAACUUCAUUCUCCAUCAAAUCCUCCAUAGAGAAACCCAAACCAAAACCCAAAUCCGAUACCAACCCAUCGAAAUCCCAGUCAUUGGUCAGCCCCGAUUGGCUCACGUCACUCACUCGUACCAUUUCCUCGGGCCAGAACGACGAUUCGGGUAUACCAAUCGCGAGCGCGAAGCUCGACGACGUCUCUUCUUACCACUCUACAAAUGGAUGAUCGUGUACGGUCCCAUUUACCGUCUCGCUGCUGGUCCUCGUAAUUUCGUGGUGGUGAGCGAUCCAGCGAUUGCGAAACACGUUCUGAGAAACUAUCCGAAAUACGCUAAAGGGUUAGUCGCUGAAGUCUCCGAGUUCCUUUUCGGGUCGGGUUUUGCAAUCGCCGAAGGACCUCUUUGGACGGUAAGUAAUUUUCAUCUUCUCCCCAAUGUGUAUUUGUCCUGUAUGAUAAGUAAACCCUUAAUCGUCUAAUUUAGGUUUAAAGAUUCCAGCUUUUUUGCAAAUUUGGUUGAUAUUUCUCUGCAGAAGUAAAUGUGUCACUGUCUUGUAUGAUAAGUAACCCUUUGAUCAUCUAAAUUUAGGUUUAAAAAAUCUAGCUUUUUGCAAAUUUGGUUGAUAAUUCUCUGCAGCAGUAAAUGUGUCAUUGUCUUGUAUGAUAAGUAACCCUUUAAUCGUCUAAUUUGAGGUUUCAAUUCUCUGCUGAUCUUCUCUAUGGGGGCCUAGUUUUGUACCAAUUUGAAACCGUUGACGUUUGAUUAUUGAUGUUAGGCAAGGCGAAGAGCGGUGGUUCCCUCACUUCACAAGAGGUAUUUGUCUGUGAUUGUGGAGAGAGUGUUCUGCAAAUGUGCAGAGAGGCUUGUUGAGAAGCUGCAGCCUUAUGCACAGGACGGAAAAGCUGUGAACAUGGAAGAGAAGUUCUCUCAGUUAACUCUCGAUGUUAUUGGCUUAUCACUUUUUAACUACAACUUCGAUUCACUCACUACCGAUAGUCCUGUGAUCGAAGCUGUUUACACUGCUCUUAAAGAAGCUGAGCUUCGUUCUACUGAUAUUCUACCAUAUUGGAAGGCAAGUUUUGUGUUUUUCCUCGUUUGUUCAAUUCAGCACACUUGGAUUCUUGUUGAUUCAGAGGCUUUGAUGUAUUCAGAUCGAUGCAUUGUGUAAGAUAGUUCCGAGACAAGUGAAGGCUGAAAAGGCUGUAACUUUGAUAAGGGAAACCGUUGAAGACCUCAUUGCUAAGUGCAAAGAAAUUGUCGAAAGAGAAGGCGAAAGAAUCAAUGAUGAAGAGUAUGUAAAUGAUGCUGACCCAAGUAUCUUGCGGUUCUUGCUCGCAAGCAGAGAAGAGGUUUAACCUUAGUUUCCUUCCGGUUAUAAGUACAUUUGGCCUUUCAUUAUAGCAAAUCGAAGCUAAUUGUCGUGGGAUUGUGCGGCUUUUCAGGUGUCAAGUGUGCAGUUACGAGAUGAUCUUCUCUCAAUGCUUGUUGCAGGUCAUGAAACCACUGGAUCUGUCCUCACUUGGACCAUUUAUCUCCUAAGUAAGGUAUCUUUUUUUAUCUUCGACUUUCCUAUGCCACUUGCAAAGAACUUCUCUGUUUUCAUUGAUGAGUAAUCCUUUUGCCUCUUCAAACUCUUAACUUGAAUAGAAUCCAUCUGCAUUGGCGAAAGCACAAGAGGAAGUAGACAGAGUUUUAGCGGGGAGAAACCCGGCUUAUGAGGAUAUAAAGGAGUUGAAGUACAUCACUCGUUGUAUACUCCUGUAAGCAAUCAAGCUCAGGGAUAUAUAUAGGGAUAUAAUAAGGGAAAGCUAGCUUUGGGAAAAAAGCUAAGCUUCUCUAAUCUUCAUGAGCUUGGUUUCAUGAUAGGUCUUUUUUCUGGUAGGUCUUGAUAAGAAGAGCUCAAGUUCCCGACAUUCUUCCCGGGAACUACAAGGUUAAUUCCGGACAAGACAUUAUGAUUUCGGUCUAUAACGUCCAUCGUUCAUCCGCGGUAAAGUUCUCUUGCUUCCUUCUCCCAUAUUAACAUUUAGGGGAACCCAUCCGGUCCCUGGUUUGAUCUUGGUUCGGAUUUAUCUGUAUGGUUUCGAGUUUCAUUUAGAUGUGUUUGUUGUUCCAAGGUAUGGGAAAAAGCUGAAGAAUUUCUGCCUGAACGAUUCGAGUUAGAAGGCGCAAUCCCCAACGAAACAAACACCGAUUUCAAGUAAACUCAGUACCAUACAUGUUUUGACGCAAACUAUUGAAUCAAGUUUUAUAUUUGCUUAGAUAGGUUAACGAUGAUUGAUGAUUUGUUUUCACCAGAUUCAUACCGUUUAGUGGAGGGCCUAGAAAAUGUGUAGGCGAUCAGUUUGCAUUGAUGGAGGCAAUUGUGGCACUCGCGGUCUUUCUCCAGCGCCUAAACGUUGAGCUGGUUCCUGAUCAGACCAUUAGCAUGACCACUGGAGCAACCAUACACACCACCAAUGUAUGAAUGAAACUGUUCUCAAACUCUAGAUUAUUCAGAGUGUCUGUUUUGUAAAGAAUGAUUUCAAUUUCUCUGAUGCUGUUUUUUUUUUUUUUUUUUUUUUUUUUUUUGAACAAAUUCUCUGAUGCUGUUUUAUUUAUUUAUUUAUUACAGGGAUUGUAUAUGAAGGUGAGCCGAAGGUGAGCCGAAGGUAAACCAGAAUGUCGCAGAUGAAGUUCGACUCUAUUUUCAUCUGUCUGUCCCUUUUUUUUUCUUUUUAGUCGAAUAUCUGUCUGUCUUUAUGAUUAUGAUUUUUUUUCGUUAUACCAUCAUGAUUCAUUGUUGUUUAAGGACUUGUUACAAUCUUUUUGUACUCUAGUAUUACUAGUGAUCUAGAUUUUGACCCGGGCUUCCGAAGACCGGAAAUAUAUUUUUGCUAAAUAUAUUUUAAUUUAAUAUAAAAUAACAUCUAUAUUUUAAUUUUUAAUUUGCUGAAUUCUUUAAUUUUUAGUGAUAUUUAUUUAUUUCAGAUAAUAUAUUUAUAAAUUUAAUUUUUUAUUUGUUAAAUGUUUAUUUUUAAUGUAGGUGUUUUAUUUCAGAUAAUCUAUUUAUUAAAUUAUUAUAUUUUAACCCGUUAGCGAACAAUAUAUUUUAGUUUUUUCAUUCUUUUAACUCGUUUCACAGUGAUCUAAAUAUUUUGCAUGUUUGAUAGUUAACCCUGUAAUGGGUAUCAUUUCAUACAAAAAAAUAUUAAUCUCAACCCAUUUAUCAUAUUAUCAAAUAACACAAAUAUUAAGUAAUUUAUUAUAUUUAAAUUUUAUUAAAUUAAAAAUACUUCUAUUUACUUCUAAAUAAGAAUAAUUUGCGUAUUAAGUUAUUUUAUUUACAUUACCAUUUAAUUUAAUUAUUAAACUAUGCUUAUGGAAUAUAUAUAUAUAUAUAUAUAUAUUAUAGGAUUUUUGUUUUUCGUUUUAUAGAUAAAAUUUUAAUUUAAUAACUAGGCUGCCCUAGGUUUUCUUCACUUCUUUUUUUUUUACGGUCGUUUAUGUUUAGUUUAGUUCAUGGUAGUUAUUAUUUCUAGGUUUUAGAUUGAAAUUUUUUUUGGGGGUUGUUUGUUGUUGUUGUUCCUUUGUUCUCUGAAUUUGCUAUGAAACUGAUCUUUUGGUUCAAUUUUUUAGGUUAUCGAGCAAAAGACAGAUCUUUAGGGAGUUUGACGGCACAUCUACAUAUGAGGUAAUUGGUGUUAUUUGGUUAUAUUUUUUUUCUGCUUAUUUGGUUAUUUUGAUUUGCUUAUUACGUAUGAAUAAGAUGUAUAAAUGCUCUCUCUUUCUUAAUAGUUUCAUCGUGGAUAUGUCAAUUUGAGGGGAUAAAUUAUUCAUAUGUCAAUGUUUAUGGGUUUAUGUAAUUAUAUUUACCUAUCUUCCGGUGGGGAAAAUUAGGGUUUUAAUUUUACUGUCAUAUAUAAACAAGAUGUACAAAAGAAGUUUGUUUGUGUUCUGGAGGAUUCAACUAUCGACUACCACGGCGUGGCUCCCUCCUCUCAAGACGAUGGGUGUUUACACGGUAAAAUAAAUAUAUCAAAAUCUGACUUAGAGUUCUUGCAUAUAUCUACUUCCAAUUAUCAUACAGAUGUUAGCAAUUAACCGAGACAAAUCUGAUUGGAAAAGUUUCUUCCCUAUCAGGUUGUCGGAAGAGCUUUCCCGACGAGAAGGAGCUUCAACGUACAGGAUGAAGCUUUGGGCCCCGAAUGAGGUUUGAGCUCAGUCCAAGUGCAGGUUAGUAUAAUUAUUUUAUUUCGCACUUAGUUUUGCAAUUAAGGUGACAAACAUUAGGUGAAGAAUCUUUAAGUGAAGCUCAAGAUUUACCUCCACCACGCAGGAAUGCGAAUGUGAAGAGUUCACGAGACUCAGGUCUUUCUUCUCAAAGAAAAAUUGUGUUUCUAAUUUUGAAAACUCCCCGCCAAGGAGACCAAACAGAGAAUCACCGCCUCCUCAAUCAAGAAAGUGGCAACGGAAGUCGGGAUUAAUUAGUGGCGAAGGCAUUGGAAUUGAAUAUCAAAAGAAAAAGGAGGACGAACAACGGAGGUAAUAAUUCAAAAGCAGACUAAUAAGACUGUAUUUGCUGUAUUUUAUUUAUAGGCAUCAGGUUUGUUUCAGUAGUGUCUUAUAAAACCUGAGUUUCAUAUUUACUAUCUGUUUCUAUGUUUCUAGGAUAGCAGGAUUGCAUCAUUACCUUUCCUGGUUUUUUUAGGUUCUCCAUUCCUUUUUUUUUAAAAGGAUUUUGUCUUUUCUAUCCCUUCAAGUAGGGAUUCAAAGAGAGAUCAGUCUCCACUUUACGACUUAGGCUGCUAUAUUUUUUUAAACAAGGUAUAUACUCUACCUUCUACAGGUUUAAAGAUAUGGAUUCCGAGCUAACUGGUCAGAAUUCAAAAGCAGUGUUCCGUGACAAAAGAUCACAGGUAAUGACUAUAGUGCCUUAGUCAUUAUAGGUUGCAGUGACUGUAUAACCACAUGAUUCACUCCCAUAUAUAUGGUUAUUUAUUGAUACUGUAGGGAAGCGUAUAUCAAAAGAAGAAUAAGUCAUUUGCUCGGACCAGGUAUUGUAUCGGUUUCUUUCUCAUGAGCCUGAGGUUGAGCCAUAGUUGUUAUUCAAAUGGUUUGUAUUUCAUUCGAUUGAAAGAGUAGAGGUUCGAGUGUUCUUUGUUUAAUCGCUGCGGUUUUCUGAAAAACGGAUGACUGUUUGAUGAAAUUUAAGAGAAUGCUAAUUAUUUUAUUGCUUUGUCUGGACACGCGUUGUGGAAAAAGAAUUGGCAAAUAGCAAAUGGAUCUCACUGAUAGUUUUGUUGCUUUGUCUGGACAUGCGUUGUUAAUAAAGAACUGGUAAAUAGCAGAUGAAUCUAAUUUGUCUAUGUUACUGUGUAUAUUAUUUUCAAGAAUAUCAGGAUGUCGGUGAUCACCUUCAUCGUCUGAAAUUAUAUAUUCGGUUGCUGAAUAUACUAGCGGGUAAAUGACUUUUAUUUGUAGUAUAUAUAAUGUACGUUCCUUGAUUACCAAAAAUCCAAAUAUAUAUAAUGUUCCUGUGUAUAUCCCCGUUGAGAUUUGUUAUUUACUGCAUAUAUAUAUAUAUAUAUAUAUAUGUGUGUGUGUUAUGUAUAUCUGUAAACAUGGUUACUUGGCUUUAGCGUUUAUUCUAGAAUGUCCGGGUUUUUUCGUUUUAUAUAUCGUAAAAUUUCCUAAACAUAUGACGUUUCGGUAAAAUCCGUAUCCAAUUUGUUGAUACGUCUCUAUGGUUCGUGUAUAUCUUCUAAUUGGUGAGGUCUAUAUAUACCUAAGGUGUGGACGAGUUUGGUUUCAUAGCCGAUUGGACGUGCGUUCUCUCAACCCUAGCGCUUGGUUAGUUUGUGGUUUGUCUAUCUUUGAUUAAUGCAUUUUUCUAUGUUGUUGCGUUUCUCUCAAGUUUAUUUUUGCUGUUACGUAGAGUCCUCUGCUUUCUGGCGAGCUAUGAACAUGGACAUGCUACCUUUCUUUCUUCCGCGUCAGCAGUCUUGCAUCUUUAGAGAGGAAAACGAUCCUUCGAGUUAUCCUGGAAAACAAUUUACUGCUUGGAUGGAGACUAAUAGAAAUGGUGCUGAGACUAGAAAUUUGAUGUAUAUGGAAUUUCAUUCUAAAUGGAUUUGGGAUGGAAAGACGAGGAAGUGGUGUCCACUUCUAAAAGGAACUAGGGUUGGGGCUCAGCGCGAUUUAUUUUGAUCCAGAAUAUUAUUGUUACCUAUUCUAACAGUCUUCCAUAAAUUUAUUGAUUACCUUAUAGAUUUAAGUUUCUUUUUUUUUAAUGUCAACCGAUAAAGUUUAGUCAUUAGAAUGCAUGCAUGGUUUUGGAAACGUAUGAGCCUACACGAGAGCGGUAAAAUACGAGCGUUUUUCUCGGCAUUAUCGUUAAAUUGGCUCCUUGGAUCAUUGGGCCCAUUAGAAAGUUAUUUGGUAGAUGAUCCCGUAGAAAAUAUUUAUAAUGUAUAUGUGUAUAUGCUGCAUAGCGUAAAUAAAAAUAUAUAUAUAUAUAGCAAAACAUAAUUAAAAAUACGCGGGAAUGAUAGAACACAGUAUGCGGAAUUUUGAAAAAAAAAAGAGUAAUUGAAAUCGGAGCUCAGUUUAAAAAGGAUAAUGAUGUUGAUUCAUCAAAAUGGGUGAAGAGCAUUUAUCUUUAUCCCUAACUAUUUAUAAUUACUUGCCUUCUCACUUUUCCUUUUCAAUUUAAUCACCAAGUAAUUUUCCUCUGAUUUUCUGAUGUGUAUAGUUGAUUUGCUGUUUUGAUUUUUUUUUUUCACAUCAUUAGAUCGAUCGGUGAAUGUAGGAUAUCUGCCUUAUAAUUUAGAUUUAUGCAGCUUUUAUCAGAUAAGAGUAAUGGCUAUAUAACUAUUUUGGGGUAAUUUUGUUUGUAGUUGAUCUUAUUAGAAAAUAGAAAGAUAUAAAUAGCAAGGUUUAGUUUAUAAGUAAUGACAGAGGCCACUAUCUACAAUUGGGGUCACUGUCGACUUUCAUCACUGUCGACUGUCAUAUAUGCAUUAAAAAGAGGUCUUCCUCACGCUCACAUAGUCCUUUUCAUGGCGCAUGAUCACAAGCUCCGGACGGCCGAGAAGAUCGACAAUAUAAUAUGUGCAGAGAUGCCUGAAAAAGACUCGGAACCGCAUCUAUAUGAGGUUGUUCGCGACGUGAUGAUUCAUGGGCCAUGUGGUGCAGUAAAGAUUGUAUGGGAUGAGGCAUUGAUGAUGAAUAAAGAUUGUUUCGAGACUCUGGAUAGGACGAUGCGUGCUAUUUUAAAAUGUGAUAAGCCUUUUGGUGGCAAGGUGGUUGUUUUCGGAGGAUAUUUUAGGCAGAUCUUGCCGAUCAUUCCUGAUGGUGGUCGGACAAAGAUAGUUUUGGCUGCAUUGAACUCUUCACUUCUUUGGUCUCAUGUCAAGGUGUUGAAGCUAACAGGGAAUAUGUGCCUUAUCCCUGGAGGCAAUAGCCAUGAGAUGAUUGAACUCAAAUAUUUCUCUAAGUAGAUCAUGGCAAUAGGAGAUGGGAUCAUCGGCAAAAAUGAUAACGGUGAAUCAGAGAUCGAGAUUCUCGAAGAUCUGUUGGUUGUGAAUUGUGGUAAUCUUGUGAAAACGAUUGUGGCCGAGAUUUAUGGGGAGGCAUUUGACAAGGAGGGUGAUCCAGCAUUCUAUCAACGGAGGACCAUACUUAGUUAGUGUCACCUCGACGUGACUAUAAUAAACGAUUACAUACUAACGCGUUUAUCAGGUAGAUGUUUUUAUAUAUGUGUGCUCAGUGUUUUAGUAGGCUUUCGUCUGAGAUCCUUUUAAAUUUUGUAUUUAAUAUGCAAGAACCCGAGAGGAUCUUUCGGAGCUGCGACAGUAUCGAUACUACUGAUCGAGAAGUUGAUGAUAUCAAUGAGCCAUCGGAGAUACCGUCGGAGAGUGUUGAGAUUCCAGAUCAGCCGAAUACCAAUAAUAUGAUCUUUACCGAUGAGUUUCUGAACAGCCUAUUAUGAUGCUGAGGAAUAUCGAUCCUCCGGGAGGACUAUGCAACGGCACCAGACUGCUUAUUACUGCGUUAGGUGGACACGUCAUUGGAGCUAAGAUCAUAACUGGUGAUAAGGCCGGCAAAAGGGUCCUCAUUCCUAGGAUAUUUCUAAUGCCGACUGUAGGAAAGUUCCAAGCAGUUCCCGAUCGCUGUGACAUUUGCAAUGACUAUAAAUAAGAGUCAAGGACAGACGCUAGAUAGAGUGGGUUUAUAUCUUCCAAGACCCGUUUUUACUCAUGGUCAGCUUUACGUCGCCGUUUAUAUGGUAACUUCUAUGUCAGGGUUGAGGAUUCUGAUUACCGAUGAAAAUGGUAGACCACAGCGCAAGGCAGUUAAUGUUGCAUACAACGAGGUGUUUCAAAACAUAUAAGGUUAGAUCGAUGGUUGGUGGACAAAUUUGGUUUGGUGAUUUGGUUGCGACGAGACGUUGGUGAUGAGCAGAGAUUGUCGAGACUCGAGAUCUGUUUCUUCCUAUUGUUUUUAUUUAUGUUUGAGACCUUGGUAUCCAGGUUUUUUUUAUGGAAUUUUUGUUGCAAUUUUAGACUAUAUUUUUGUUUAAGACUUUGGUAGGAAUCAUAUGUUUAUCGUUCUCUCAUAAAAAAUGAUUUAGAACCGUAUAAGCCCCGGUUUAAAGAUUUGCAUGGAUUUGAUUUCGAGGCUCUUGAAAUACAUGGGAAAAAUAAUUGGACUGGAUCCACGUUCCAAUUUAUAAUGGGCUCUUUUCAAAAUUUGUAUAGUUUAAUAAUGAUUUUGGGCUAAGCGGUCCAUAAUUGCAUGGGCCCGCGAAUGACAGCCAAUCUAUACAGUAGCCAUAUCUAGAAAUGUUAAUAUAGGCUUUUUCGCCUUUUAAAUGAGUUUUUAAACUUGAGUUAAAAUCCCAUUUAGUUUAGAAAGCUUAGAUAAAAAAACAUUUAAACCCCAAUCAUUAAAUAGGGGUCCGCGAAGCCCAUGAGGCGAAAAUUUAGAGAGAAUAGUUGCAAAGAAUUGUCGUUCAUUUUAGGCACUCUAACUCAUUUGACUCCAGCUUUCUAUUCACUCAUCCAGAUGUUCGAAUGAUUGUGACUGCAAAUGUCGUCGACUCAUGGGACAAUUUACGUGAGCAUCCUCGAUCAUCUCGAAAUCGAUAGCAGCGUCGUUUAUCCUGCAUUAUAUUGCACGGCGAUCCUGAUUUAGUAAAUGCUAAACAGACACAUGGUACCAUAAUUAAAAGUGUGGCUCAUCGAGAUACAAGUUCUUGGUACGCCCAACGCAAUGCACCUCAUAUCCUGGCCACUGAUCGACGAGGACCGAAAAGACAACAAUAAAUAGCACAUUGUGUAAAAGAAUUAACUAUCAAUGUUAUAAAAGAUUUUUUGCCAGAAAAACAAACUCAGGACGAGAUCAUAUCGAAGAAAAAUGGAUGGCAACAGGUUUCGAACAUGGAUUUAGUUUUGAGAGUCUCGAAAUACGUAGGGAACAAGAUUGGGCUGGAUCCACAUUUUGGUUCGUAUUGGGUCUUUUUCAAAUUUUGGAUCGUUUAAUAAUGUAUGGAGUUUCGACGUCCAUCUAAACGUGAAAUUUGAGCUGAGAGGCCCAUAGUUUCAUAGGCCUACGAUUAACAGCCAAUCUCUGUAGUAACCACCUCUAGAGAUGUUAAUAUGGGCUUUUUCCGUGGGUUUUAAAUGAGAUUUUAACUUGAACAAAUUCUCAUUUGGACCCGUUUAGCUAAAAAGGCUUAAAUAAACAAGCAUCUAAAACACAUCCAUUAAACGGGGGUCGCAAAGCCCAUUUACUUUACACCAUUAAUAAUAUUAAAAAAAUAAAUCCAAAUGUUUGCAAAUCAUUGUAAAACCAAAUGUUUGCAAGACAUUGUCGAUCAUUUUAGGCCCCCUAACUCAUCUGGCUCUGUCUUGCGAUUCACUCAUCCAGACGUUCGAAUGAUUGCGACUAAGAGUAUCGUGGACGCAUUGGACAGUUUAUGUAAGCAUCCUCGAUCAUCUCGAAAUUGACAGCGGCAUUAUUGAUCUUGCAUUGUAUUGCACAGCGAUCCUGUUUUAAAAAAUGCUAAACAGACACAUGGUAUCACAAUUAAAAGUGUGACUCAUCGAGAUACAUGUUCUUGGCGCGCUUGGCUUCUUCUAUAGGUGGAUCGAGAUCAGUGUCUUAUAACUCGGGUCCAGACGUGCUCAACCAAAUAUUGCCUAUGAACAGGGUUUAAACCACGUGAGUUGAAAAAAAUUCCUUAGUGAGUGAUCGGUUUGCAUCGUAUAUUAAGUUGUGGUACCUUCGGAGACCAUGACCCUCCAGAACCGCAUAACACAUAUGCAUUUAUCUGCUAUGUACUGAUUAUACCAUAGAGUCUCGAACUCGAUAGCAUAUCUCCCCAGCGCAAUGCACCUCAUAUCCUGGCCACUAACCAACGAGGAUCGAAAAGACAACAAUAAACAACACAGUAUGUAAGAGAAAAGACUAUCAGGAUUAUAAAAGAUUUGUCACCGGGAAAACAAACACAUGUCAAAAUCGUCGCGAAGAAAAACAAAUAGCAACUGUUCUCGAAUGUAGAUACAAAAUAUUCACCUAAAAUCUCUCAGUGUAAAUUCAAGUUUAUACUUCAAAUCCAUAUCACGGUCCGCUGUAAGUGUCUCAUCAUUAGAAAAUUUACCAACUCUAACGACAACACCGAGUACAUCAACUACAAAAACAGGGAAACAUCUAGAUUGUCAGCUACAUCGAAAAAACUGUAUACACAAGACAGUAUAGAACCAAGAUCAUAGAAUCUGCCUGCAAAUAUACUAUGUGGUGUAGCGGAAGCUACGAUAGAACAAGGAUUCGUUGAUCCGAAAAGGAUAUCCGAAACACUUGUGAUCUUGGGAUCGUUGAUUCCACAAGGAAUAACCGAAAACAAGAAUAAUGGAGAAACUCUCUCUCUUUUAUUAAUUCAAUCAAAAUACUGACUAAUAAGAAACAUAUACGAUCCUAUUUAUAAUAGGAUAGAGAUAAGCUUAAAUCUAACUAACAACUAACUUGAUAAUAUUCUCUUUGCUAUAGAUUAUCAAUAUAGUUAAAUAAAACCAAAAAUAGAAUAAAUCCUAAAUCAAAUCCUAAUACUUGAAACCCACGUAAAAUAUCUCUUCUGACGCUACAUCAGGUCUCCCGGUGUAAGAGAAGAUUCGCCCUCGAAUCUUGAACCUCCAAUGCGUCCACAAACUUAAACUAUAAAAAUUGCCCAUUUACGAUCUCGAGCGUCAAACUUCUUCGAAAGCUUGAAAAUAUUUGUAAAAGCUUUGCGUGUAUUGUCGCACUGUCGAGAUGUCAAGCAAUGAUUUCUUUGAAGGGAAAAACAAUUACCACGAGACUUCAGUGGAACGUUUGCUAAUAUCCACCCUCCACGUGGUGCCUCUGUCAACGCAUUAGAACACGUAAUGUGAAGAAACAAUGUUGAUCCGGUGGAAGUUUCAAAAGCUUCAUCACCAAAGACAUAAUCGAUGGCUUGGACGUCUUCUCCACCGUAUACCUCACUAAGCGGAUCUACCUCAUCAAGGAAGUCAAAGAUUGGAUCCACAGCAUCAAUGAUCGGAUCUGCAUCAUCAUAGACAUCAAAGAUUAGAGGACCAUGUAUCUCGAUAUAGAGAUCUUCACCACCUUCUUCAUCUUCUUUGUCGAAAAGUGGAUCAUCACGUUGGGGCAAAACCAAUGGUUGUUGGUUCAGCUGGAGUACCAUACGUAAGGCAGCUUCCACGGACUGCUGCACCACAACACAUAAAUUUUGUUGAAACUCAGCCAAUACUUCUAGCAAGGCGUUAGCUUGCUUGAUCCUCCGUCGUUGGAGAUUCUUUCUUGGCGGCAUGAUAAAAGAACCGUUUUAGCUCUGAUACCAAAUGGUGUAGCGGAAGCUACGAUAGAACAAGGAUUCGUUGAUCCGAAAAGGAUAUCCGAAACACUUGUGAUCUUGGGAUCGUUGAUUCCACAAGGAAUAACCGAAAACAAGAAUAAUGGAGAAACUCUCUCUCUUUUAUUAAUUCAAUCAAAAUACUGACUAAUAAGAAACACAUACGAUCCUAUUUAUAAUAGGAUAGAGAUAAGCUUAAAUCUAACUAACAACUAACUUGAUAAUAUUCUCUUUGCUAUAGAUUAUCAAUAUAGUUAAAUAAAACCAAAAAUAGAAUAAAUCCUAAAUCAAAUCCUAAUACUUGAAACCCACGUAAAAUAUCUCUUCUGACGCUACAUCACUAUGCAACGUCGAGCUCUUCGAGAUCUCUUCAAAUGUCGAGAAAGAGUAGAUACUAAACCAUUUUUUUUUUCUUUGUGCGCUCGAUCGAAAUUUUACGGUCGAAAUAGAUACAGAGGUUAUGAAGAGUCAGUCUAAACGCACUCUGUUCUUUCAUCACUCUAAAACGACCAAUAUAAAACCAUCGUCCUUGGUUAAUCAUCUCUUUAAAAGAUUCCCACAGUGAAUCUGGUACAGAGGCUACAAUCCUUGAACCCUACACAAGAGCUAGCAUCAAUCGAAAAGCUCCACAUCAACGUGCAGUUAAUUCUUUUACGGAUGGGAAUAACAUUAUACAUUAUCAUCGGAAAGCACAAUUGAAUACUGCUUCUCGCAUUUCACCGAUGAUUCGAUAAAAACUUUGACAACGAGUGCACAUAUACGCCAGUCUAUGUUGUUGAGUUCAAGCUUGGAAACCAUUGAGCACGGCGACAUGGCAUGAUCACCCUCUAGGAGCUCAGCACAAAAGAUAUAUCAGUAAAAUAGCAUGAUUUAGCACUCUAGAACUGGCAGUUCGGAUAUACCUGUAAAAUAAUUCUUGGAAAAUAUGUGCCGCAGUAAAUCGGGUACACGCCAAAAAUGUCUCUACUAAUCAAAUCAUAAAAAGACGUUUAAUAAAGUAACGUUUCAGAUACCUUCAUGCAGCGGUGCGUCGUUUCAAACCGGAGGUUUUCUAUCUUGAUCCGGUUUAAAUCAUCAUUAAUAUAAGCAUAAACUGUUUUAAAUCGUGAUAAUGCAAGAAUAUCUUUUUUUUUAGAAUUGUGUUUGGGUUCUGAUUAAAAGGAUUGCAUUAUAAUUAAAUUUAGGAUAAUAAAGAAUAUGGUGGAUUAGGAUUAAAAACGUGGUUUAGAUUUCUUGGACUAGAGCGAAUCUUUGUUGAUGUUCUAUAUGCUCUCCUCUUGAUCGCUUAAAUUUAUAACUUUACAUAUUGUGGAUAAUUUUGUGAAUGUAUUAUGUAACUUAUAUAUUCUGAAUAUGACAGAUGAACACUAUUGAUAUAAUAUUGACUAUAUGCGUGUCUUUUAAUUGUAUGGAUAAUCAUAAAUUUCCUAUAAAAUAUUGUCGAAGAUGAGUGGUUUUGAUUUUUGUUCCUUUUCUGUAUAUAUCAGAAAGGAAUAUAUACAAAAGAUAUAUUAAUAAUUUGGGUAUAAAUGGUUUUUAGAGAUUGGGAACAUUGGUAUACAUAUUGUUAAUCAUGGCACAUCUUUUAUGUUGUGUUAUUCAUAGGACCUACGAUAGGUAUCUUGGCGGUGUUUCUGACCUUGAUCCUGAUGUUUACGUGUGGAGAAUCAAGGGAAAGGUGAUACACAAAUUCAAACACUGUUCUCACCAACAAAGGUUUGUUUCUGAUUUUCCAUAUUUCAUGAACUGUUUUGUUAGUCGCAGGAUCUAUGGUCUGUGCAGGUCUAUGAGCAGUUUUUUUUUUGACUCCAGGGUGAUAGAAUUCAUGCUUCAAUUUUGAAUGGUGACAUUGAGUUAUUCUCUACGUGUUUCCACGUGGGAGAUUGGGUUUUAUUAGUGAAUUUUGACCUCUUGCCCGUUCAAAGAGAAUUUAGACCAGCAAAACAUAAAUUUAUGAUUCAGUUAAAGAAAGAAACACCGUGCACCAAAAUCUUCUCAAUGGAAUCCAGUAAAUUUCUUAGUUUGGUUGAUUUGGAGGACGUUUUGGAGAAAGAGUUUAAUGCAGACCACUGCAUUGGUUAGUCUUCUUUAGCUAAUUCUCUGCUUUACACGAUGGUUUUAACAUUUGGUAACCUGGAUGACGUUUUUUUGCUCCAUAGAUCUCAUGGGCAGAGUGAUCAAUGUUGGAAAUCCACGUAGUCAAAACGAGUUUCUCGGAAUUUCUAAACAAAGGGUCAUACAAUUCUGCAUAGAGAAUGAGAGGUAUGGUUUGGUUCCAGUUUGGCUUCGAAUCUGGAUUAUAAUUUUGAUCUUUAAGGUGUGUGUAAUAUUGCAGGGGUUGCCGAUUGUUGUUCCACCUGACCGGUUGCUAUGCUGAAUCUUUUCUAGGAGGCAUAGAUUUCCAUGAGGGUUGUAUCGUUGUGUGUGUGCUUAGGUUCGCCAAAAUGAGAGUACAAAAAGGUAGUUGUGUCGAGUUAAGAUACUAGCCGAAUUUCUUUAUGUCUAUGGUUGCGAUGUUGAGGUAUAUGAUUUGUUGUUUGCUUGGGUUAUUAGGGAGUUUAGUGGCUACAACUGCUGGAAAUUUCACGGAGAUUUUGUUGGAUCCACCACUACUUGAAGUCGGUGCUUUCAGAAAUACUCUAAAGAACGUUAUGGAGAAUAGAGAGCAAGAUGAUGAGAACAGUUUAGGCACGUAGUUCUUUAAGCAAUAUUUAUCUUUUGUGGUCGUCCAUAUUCUCGAGUAUUAAUAACUUUUUAGAGAAUUCUCAAGUAUUAAUAACUUUUUAAUGAAAGCACGGCAUUAGUACUAUAGAUUGUUGUCAAAUAAAUUUGUAGUUUGUAGUUUUUAAAGAAAUCACGGCAUUAGUGAUUUGUAGUUUAUAGAGAAAAUUCAAUUUGAGAUGGAUGAUAGUUAUAAUUUGUGAUGGGAUAGAUUCGCCUGUAGCACUUUUAUUUGUUCGGUCAUUUCGGCUGCGGUUUCCAAAAAAGCUCGAGUGCUUAUUGUAUAUUUGAAAAACGUGUGAAUAGACAAAAGGAGACAUUACUUAACCGUGUCCAGACAUAAGAACUGAAUCAACUUUUUGUCCAAAAAUAUAAAUAGGUAAUUGGAUCGUAAAUAUAAUAUUUGCACGAAAAAAUAUAUAUCGCACUUUCAAUUAUACUAUUGGAGUUUUUUUCUCAGCUAUAAAGAGCAGGUUGUUUACUGCCAUAAGAAAUAAUAUUUUCACGAGCCGUGUUACUGGCUCCACCUUCUACAAUCCGGGCUAUAGGACAGUGGAGGACCGAUUGGAAAAUCCAUGUUAAGAUUCACCAAAAAUGGUUUUGUCAGAUCUGUACUGGUGAAGAUGUGCUUCACUUUAUAUUCGUCGAUGAGCAUGAAAGUGUUCUGUUUCAUUUCUUUUCUUUUGAGUAGUUCGGUUUGUUUUCAUCUGAAAUUCAGUCUUUGUAACUCAAGGGAACUAAGAUCCAGACCACUAUAAAGUUUAGAGCAGUAGGUAGCAUACCUAUCUCUUUUUCAAAAACCCAAAACCUUAACAGACAGACCGUGUCAUGUUUUCUUUCAGAGAUCCACUUUUGAUGGAUCCUUCGAGCAAUGGAUCCAUGGUCCCGUGUGAUAGAAAAAUGUAUUUUAGACUCAUGAUGACUUGUGUGUCUCCGGACGGGAUGAGGGUCUCUACGGGAUCAAACUGGCUGCGGAUGGUGGAUUUGUAUACGUACGUUAUGCUUCGUAGGGCAUUGCACGAUGACGGUGUUUGCUUAUCCCAUAUCACUAAAGAAUUUAUCCAGCGUAUGAGCUCUACUAUCUUGGUCCAUCGGAUGGGGCGUAUUCAUUUACUGCAUGAUUUAGCUACAAAGAGGAGCGAGUUUCUAGAAUCUGUACUACUGGAGAUUAUGGGUGCUCCUCACGUAUCUUGGUAUUUUUGGUUCCGUAACGGCAUAGAAAACUGUCAGCUUUGCAACAAUUGUUUUUGGUCGAGUCAUUUAGGGAUUUUUUAUAAUUUAUUUUGUGUCAUGAGGUAUCCAGAGACUAGACUUUGGUGAGUUGGUUAAGCAUAUUUGCUCUAGAGAUGUUCGGUUUUCUUAAGUUUUGGUCUUUUAAGUUUGGUUAUAGCAUUUUCCUAUGUAUGGUCUAAGCAUUGCGUGAUUUUAAAGAGUGUCAAUUUUCGAUAAGAAAUAAUAAUAAAAAAAAAUUUAUUUGGUUGAUUUUGGUGAAGGAGCCUUUCGACCUAUUUUAUUGAUCCUACGUUUGCAUGUUUCGUAACUUGAUAGCUUGCACGUGUUCUUGCAUUUGUAAACAAAAGCUACAUGCACAAAUACGGAAGGACGUCUCUUAGUAUCAUUGCGAUUUGGGCUUACGAAUAGUAUCAUUGGUGAUUUUGGGCUCGGUCCAAGUACAAGUGCUAAGAACUAUUAUGUAACGCAUUAUACUAUGAUGAACUGAACUUCAGGAUUCUAUAGAUUAAAUUUAUAAUAACCAUUAUAAUUUAAAUUUAUAAUUAUCGAGAUGUAACAUUAAUGCUGGUCCGCGUAGGGCGUGGGCUCACCUCUAGUUGUUAUCUAAUUAUUCGCAUCAGACCCUUUGUAGCAUUUUUCUUAAGCAAAAGCUACUCCGAUCAAUAGAUCAUGCUAAAAAAAGAAUGUUGUUUUAACGUUUCUAACCUAAUUCACCAAAAACAUGAAUUCAUCCUAAUAGCAAGUCCUCACUCGUACAAUAACAUUAUCGUGACACCGAAAUUAUAUGAAUCACUUUUAUGGGUCUUGAAAUUAAGAACUUCAUUUAUUUUUUGGUGCCAAAAUAAUGUACCAAGAACGACAAAACACAAAAUCAGCCCACAAAUAAUGACAAACAUAAAGUGGAGGAGUUAGAUAAAAACAAAAACAGCUCAAUUAUUUCAUAUCUUAUGUUUGUACCCUGAGAGAUUCUUUGUCUCGAAGUCGAAGAUAAUGAACAGUGGUAUUGUGGUUGUUAUCUCACUAUUUUCAUGUGUAACAUUUUCUUUAAAAACUAAUUUUACAUUUUAGGUGAUUUUUUGAAUUUGCUUUACCAUUUUUACAAUUUAAGGAACUUUGUUAUUUCCGAGAAAAUGAUGAUAUUGACAUAGAUAUGAGGAUUUUAUUUUGUGUGUCAAAGGAUUUAUGUUCACUAUAUGUUAUAGACGUCGUAUGUCGAAUUUAAUGUAACAUUCUUUCGUAUGCAUGGAUGCAUGUCCACAUCUAUGUGUUUUUAUAGUUCGUAACUAGAUGGUUAUUCACGAUUAUGUAUCUACGAAAUUGCUAAAUAUCAUUGAAAAUGAUUAUUAAUCUGGAAUGUGCAAAUUCAUGAUUGUGUUGAUAUCCACACGGAAUCAUCUAUAUAUAUUAUCUUUACAAAAUAAAGUUAUCAUAUCAUAGACAUGUUUUAAUGGAUAAAAUAUGGUAUUUUCAAUUGAUAAAUUUUGAAUAAAAGUAUAGACAAAUAUGAGUGGACAAAAUAUAAUAUACUGAUAUUAUAUUCUUAUGCAUAAGUUUUUAUUUAUAAAUACUUAAAAUAUAUCAAAGUAGAUAUAUCAAAAUACAGAGAGAAAAAGAAACUAUAGUUCGUAGUAUUAAAAACAUUUUAGGGAUACAGUCAUAGAGCAUUAUUCCAUUUCAAUAACCAUAUAUACAUGUACCUUUACUAAUUCCUUAGUUAGUGGAGUCUCUCUCAUUCACGUACCAGAGAGUCGAAGAAAUGGAAGAUGAAAGCUCCGAGAGUAGAAACAAAGCUCGCCUUGCCAUCAUGGAGCUCGCUAACAUGAUCAGCGUUCCGAUGUCACUCAACGCCGCCGUGAGAUUAGGCAUCGCCGACGCUAUCUGGAACUCCGGAGCCAACUCUCCUCUCUCCGCCUCUGAGAUCCUCCCUCGCCUCCUUCUCCCAUCCCGAGACAGUACCAUCGGUGGCGAUCCCGAGAAUCUCCAGCGUAUACUUCGUAUGCUCACAAGCUACGGCGUCUUCUCUGAACACCUCAACGGCGACGCCGGAUCCGUGGAGAGGAAAUACUCUCUCACGAACGUUGGAAAAACGCUCGUAACCGACUCCGGGGGACUCUCCUACGCCGCUUACGUCCUCCAACACCAUCAGGAGUCGUUGAUGCGAGCAUGGCCACUGGUUCACACGGCGGUGGUGGAACCGGAGACGGAGCCGUACGUGAAAGCAAACGGGGAGGCGGCGUACGUUCAGUACGGAAAAUGUGAAGAGAUGAACGGUCUUAUGCAGAAGGCAAUGUCCGGAGUAUCAGUGCCGUUCAUGAAGGCGAUAUUGGACGGCUACGAUGGUUUUAAAUCCGUGGAGCAUUUAGUUGACGUGGGAGGGAGCGCAGGAGAUUGUCUCCGUAUGAUCCUUAAGCAGUUUCCUAACGUCCGUGAAGGGAUUAACUUUGAUUUGCCUGAAGUUGUUGCGAAAGCCCCCAAGAUUCCUGGUGAAAAUAAUAUUGCUUUUAUUUUUAUCAUUUAAAAAAAAAAAUUGGAAGACGUUAUUUUUGGAAAGCGUUAUGAUAUUUUCAGUUCUUUAAUUAAUGUGUUGAAAUUGUUGAUAUUGUUGAUAUUGUCUGAGUUAGGAGUGACUCACGUGGGUGGAGAUAUGUUCCUGUCAGUUCCUAGUGGUGACGCAAUCUUCAUGAAGGUUCGUGGUACCAUUGUGGUCACGUGAAUACUGACUUCUUUUGUUAAUAGGACGGAUUUUAAUUUAUAUAAAUAGUUUCGGAGUUUAUUGAUAGGUUGAUCACGAAAAUUCUUAGUUUAGGUCCGGUACAUAAGUCGCUACAGACAAAUUAGAGACUUAGAGUUAUGUGUGGACCUGGUAAUAUAGGCUAAUGAUCAUGUGACUGGUCACUUUUCUUUUGUGAUAUUUUCAUUGUUGUAGACUGAUUACAUAAAUUCGACAUUUGCAUAUGCACUAUGCAUAUCUCAUAUUGGAAUCUAAUAUACAGCUCUAAUUUUUGAAAGCAAUGCAUUUGCUAGAAAUAGAACCAUAUGGUUAAAAAAAAUCUGAUGUUUAUAGAUUGAACAAUACAAACGGUUACAUAUUUUUUGCAUCUGUCCCAAUUAAUAUCUUGUAUACCGUUAUACGAUACAACUGUAAUUGUUGAAGCUAUGCAUUUGCUAGAACCAUAUGGAUAAUAAAAAAAAAUCUGAUGUUUAUAGAUAGAACAAUAGAAAUGGUUACAUAUUCUUUGCAUAUCUGUCCCAAUUAAUAUCUUGUAAUGUUGUGUUGUCUGAAUGCACAGUGGGUGUUAACGACAUGGACGGAUGAAGAAUGCAAGCAAAUAAUGAAAAAUUGCUACAAUGCUUUACCAGUUGGAGGAAAGCUAAUCGCUUGUGAGCCAGUCUUGCCUAAGGAAACCGAUGAUAGCCACCGAACCCGUGCCUUGCUAGAAGGCAACAUCUUUGUCAUGACAAUCUAUAGGACCAAAGGUAAGCAUAGGACCGAAGAAGAGUUUAAAGAGCUUGGUCUCUCUGCUGGAUUCCCUUCUUUUCGACCUUUCUACAUUGAUUACUUCUACACCAUCUUAGAGUUUCAGAAGUAAUGUUAAAGCAUUUAUCCUCUUACAGUUCUAAAAGCUUUGAACUUUUGAAGUUAUCAUAGACCAUUUUAUCUCUAAUGAAUACAUUUUCAUCAAUAUGUAUGCAACUUAGAUUUUUGAAAGCUUCAGUAUUAUCAUAGACCUCUUUGAUGAUCUGAUCUCUAAAUCUCAAAUGAAUACGUUUGUUUGAUACAUUUGUUUUGCUAGCAGAAGUGCAGAACAAGAAUACGCUAAAAAGCAUUUUCAUGAUGGCAAACUUGCAGUUUUCCUUGUUUUAAACGAGUUUAAGAUUGUCUUUUACAUUAGCUUAUAGUACAUUAGACUUUUCUAUCGACACUCAAUUUCUCUAAAACAUCUUGGAUUAAGAAUGAAACGUUAGUACUUGAAGAUCCUUUCAAUUCGACAGCCUUUCUCGCCACUACUGCAAGUUCUUGAAUGUGUAUUCUUCGUCUCAAGAAUUCACCAUCUUUACCAUCAUCUUCAUUUCCGCGUUGGCAAUCUUCGUCCAUCAAAACCUUUAUAGCUUUCACAACACUAUGUUUCUUGACCAAUACUCCAAGUCUUUCCUCGUCUCCCCAUCUCACCGGAAUCUCCACCCCAAUCCUAACCCCAACCUUCAAUACCUCCACGACGAGUUUCUCAUUGAGAAACUGUUCAGCGAAUUACGGCCAUGUGAUCAUUGGUACACCAAAACAUAUCCCUUCGAUCGCCGAGUUCCAACCGCAAUGAGUCAAGAACCCUCCGGUCGAGCCAUGUGAGAGUAUCAUAGCCUGAGGACUCCAACCCCUUAUUACUAUCCCUCUACCUCUAAUUCUCUCUUCGAACAUUUCACGUUUUAGCCAUUCAUUUAGCACAUUCAUGUGUUUUUCCUCGGUCUUGAUCAUCCAAAUAAAGGGAUUUCCAGAUUCUUCUAACCCUAACCCUAGUUCUAUCAAUUGAUUAGGUAUUAGUCGACAGAGGCUACCUAGACAAACAUAUAAGAUAGACCUUGGUCUCAUCGAAUCCAGAAACUUCAAGCAUUCGGUCUCGCUAAUCGCAAUGUUACAGUUGUUUCCUCUGUCAAAUAAGUCUACCAUACGAUCAUUGCAUAAAGAAACGGGUCCAACGAACCAUACCUUCUUCUUGAUGGCCUCAGCGUAGGCCUCUGCAUAGCCAGGUUCCAAUUCUUGGAAGCUAUUAACAAUAACCCCAAAGGCUUCUGAUUCAGCUUCACGCAUCUUCUCACGAACGUCAUCCAUAUUUUCUAACUUCUGAAACGCACCCGGUAACUGAGAUCUAGCUAUCUCGAUCCUAUGUGGCAUUGCUGGUAUAGAAAAAGGCUCUGUGUCUGAAGAAACCGAGAGGUGCGGGCUAUGAAGAUGGACGUUGUGAGAACUUAAAAGAGAGAAACAGCACAUUCCGUGGAACACAAUCCUUGGGAUCUUGAAACUUUUCGCGGUUUUUGACGUCCAAAAAGGCAUUUAUCGGAGUUUAUGCAACUUGGAGAGAUUUCUUGCUGGUCAAGAAACCUUUCCAAGGGCUCCUGGAGCUUAUCCACAGCGUCAUAGAAUUUCCGUAAGAGAUCUUUAGAGGGCAGAGUGUCGAGAGACUCACAAUUUUCGGGAAGAUCAAAUUCUUUGUAGGCAAUUGGAAAUUUCACCACGUUAAUUUGGAGACCCGACUCCGAUUUUGCGCGCUCAACUGUCUUCUCAAACCUAGAAGCAUUUUGAGGAGUUGAAACUAUGGUAACGAUAUUCCCUUCUCGCGCAAGAAUCUUGGAGAUAUCAACCAUGGGGAUUAGAUGCCCUUGAGCCAUGAGAGGGAUCAAAAUAAAGUGAAGCCUUUUGGCUUUUGAAACCAUUUUAGUUUCCAUUAUUUUGGGUUUAUCAAAUGUUUACAGAUAAAGGGCACAUAGUAUAUAGAGGAUACCCACACAACCUGCUAAUAUGUAUUAUUAUAUAUACACAUGUGUGAAGGCAUAUUUGAUAGAUUGCCCUUUAUUUAAUUGGGUAAGUCUUCGAAAGCUGUAUAUUGACUUUGAAUAAGUCACUAAAAACUAUUAUUUAGAGAACCAAACACGCAUAUUUAAAAUCUUGAUCGAUGACGAAAGCGAGCUAGUCAUUAUUCCAUGACAGUGAUAGCGACGUCAUUUUAUUAUGAAAUAUAUGAGGAUAUUGAAAUCCUUAACACAGCGACGUACAUACAGUUUUAAAUGUGAGUUAGUUUUAUUAUUUCUAUCAAACAUAUAUGAAAUUUCACUAACAUGUACGUAAAGGUAACUUAAGAAAAACAAAAACUUAAUUUUAUAAUUGUUGAUUAUGAUAUUGGUGUAAAACAUACGACAAGGUCAAGCAUCUGGCCAAAUAAGAAGUCAAUGAGCGUAUCGAAUAAGAUUGUACAUAAUUGUAAAGGCCAUUGGGGGCUGUUACAGCCAGUUACCCUUUUAUGGUGUUGUCCCUUCCCAAAGGUAGAUAACUGCUCUGGUCAUUACAUCCUUUAAUUUGAUUUUCUUUGUGGUGUAGUUCAAGAGUGUUCAAGAGAGAUUUGCUAACGAAACUAAAGUUUAGACUGAUCCCUUAGGUUACCAACAUGAUUUUUAUUUUGGCGUAGUUAUAUUUAUGAAUUUCAAAACAUUGAUUCCAAAUAAAUAAAUAAAUCACAUGCAACUGUGCAAGACAUAACUAGAUGAAUUACCCGAGGACGAUAAAUAAUCAAAGGCUAUCUCAAACUCAAGAUAGAGUGAACGAGAUUGUCAAGAUCAUUCCUUUUUUUCAGUUCAUGAAAUAAAGUUCUUCGAAAUGUUAAAAAUAAAUUUAAAACUUUAGAUACUGUAUGCAAAAUGCUUUGAGUUUACCUAUAUGUCUAAGAAGUUUCUGCCUAACAUAAUAUAGGGACAAAUUAUAUAUAUAUUAUUUUUUUUUUCUUUUUCUUUUUAAUUUUUGGAUGACUAACAAAGUAUCAAGAAAAUUAUGAAUGACAACUUGUUUAUAUAUAUAUAUAUAUAUAUAUAUAUAUAUGUAUUGAUAUUUAUGGAAUAUUCGACAGCUUGAUCAUUAUCUAAUGAUCAAAAUCAUCACUACCCAUAUUAGUUUCAUUCAAUCAUUUUUGUUGAACUAGCGGAAGUGUCACUAAGUCGAAGUUAAACAAAGCUAACGCUAUUACCAAGACAAUUUAAACUAGCUUUUAAACAAAAUAAACCCCAACAUCACGGCAAAAGUUGUUUCAUAUUUGUUUGUCGUUUGAAAAGGACCUUAAUUGUUUAAAGGAGAAAAGGGAUACUUUGAAACGUUCAAUUGUGCGUCGGUGGUGAACAAAUUAACCAACGUAGACUAGUUCAACCCUUUGGAAUAUUGGAUCAUUGACGUAUACUUGCCUUUUGGUUAACCUUCUCUAGAAUAAUAUUCGAGAUUUUGGCCGGGUUAAUCUCAGGGCCAAUAGUUAAUGCUUUUCACAUGGCGUAUCUAUAAUUAAGCGAACGUUUUAGCGUAUUGCUAUUAUGUUUUGCUUUUAGGUACAUACGUGUAAGUUUGCCUUUUCUUGAAUUGAUUGUUUACAGGAUCUUCAUAUUUGACUAACUACGACGACUUUAAAUUAGUAAACUGACUUUUAAUCAUAAAAACUAAAAUGCUAUUUUUAAUCUCAUGAGAAAUGCAAAGCCAUAUGUCCAAAUGUCAAAACUGAACUACAUCAAAACAACAUCAGAAGUUUCGGAAAACACUUAUGCAACAUUUCUGAAAAAGAAUAUGUUUGGAAAAUUCUCUUUCCCUAAGGACUACGCAUUAUAUUACCAUAGCGCCAAGACUUGAUUUUUCUAUAUUUUUAUAAAUACUAGAAUUUUUAAUUACGACCAACAAUUCUAAUAAUGGUAAUUAAGAUUACUGACCAUAAUAAUAGUCAACAUAAUACUAACUAACAUCAAUAUAAUAAAAUCCAUUAUAUUAUUACAUCAAUUAUCAUUAAAAUAAAUAUAAACAUAUCUUAUUGUUAUAUAAUCACUAAUUAAAAUAAAUACAUACAUAAAUAUUAUUAUUUUUUAGAUAUUUAUAUAGAGAUGACUUUAGUGAUGUGAAAUCGAGAAAGAAAAAAUUGUAUAAUUUUCUUAUAAAAUUAACUCUUAAAAUAUUUAUUAGAAUAAUCUAUUUUAAAUUAAAAAUUAUUGUAUAAUUUUUAUACCUAAGUUUUAUUUUCAUGUGUGUCAAAAUUAUAUAUUUUUGUUCUUUUAAAGUAUUAGUAAUUAUUGUAUAAUUUUCUUUUUUAUUUUUAAAAUACUUUGGUAUAUAAAUAUAUAAAACUAAAAGUGAUAUAUAUACUCUAUACAUAUAUCAUUUCCCCUUAAUUUGUUUUGGUAUAUAUCAUAUAUAAUGUCGGAUCUGAAUUUUUUUGAGUUAUAAACAAAAAGAAAUUUCUAUGGGCUUAGAAGUUAAUAAUUGUAAAUAGAAGAGGUAAUAACGAGAUUAGAAGCUCAAAUCUCCAAGAAUUCCAUCCUCGACAAAUCAAUUUCAAAUAAUAAACAUCUGAAUUACUGAAAACUUUGGAGAAAAAUAGACCAGAAAAAUGAACAUUUUGUAUAGGGCGGGAAGUUUUUGCAAAAAAAAAAAAAGGGAAUCAUGUGUUUUGCCUGCUUUGCUCUAGAGGUCGGGCAUGAUCGUAUACGAGCCCACACAAGAAAACUGAUCCAAGUGGCUAAAUGUACAUUAUACUUCUAAAUCAAUGUACUCACUCACUACUCACAUUUCUUUUCCAAUUACCUUAUUUAUUUUUAAUUCUGUUAUUGAGCCAUUACAUAAUUAGAUUGAGUCCUCGUGAGUGACUUAGGCCAGUAUCUGUUCCAACAGAUUUUAGAAAGAACAAGAAAAUUGGACUUUUUUGUCAACAAUAUUGGGCCUUAGUUAGAUUAUUUUAAGAAGAAUUUAUUUAUUAUAUUUUGGAAUUUCUUUAGUUUUCUUACAAAAGUCUAAACCUAGUUUCUAUUUCUCUGGUUGGCAAAAAAAAAAAAAAAAAAUUUCUAUUUCUCUGUAAAUUUGGUCUACAUUUUCGAACGCAUGGGCUUUAAUUAACCGGACUAGAGACCUUCUCAAUUCCCCAUCAAAUUUGCCGUGGCUGGUAAUACACUUUCCAUUUUUGUUCAUCACUCAUAAUUUUUUAGAUUUGUCAUUGCUGAACAUAAAGUACAAACAUUUAUGUAUUUAUAGCUCUGAACUGAACCCUUAACAAGCUAAAGUCCAAAGCCCAGGUCAUGGCGGUUUUGUAGCUCAAAUUCGUUAUUUUGUUAAUGAUCAUGAAAAUUGAUUAAUUAUGAAGGUGACCUUGGUACGACUGAAUGGACUAAAUCAACAUUUGGACCAUGUCUCGAAAUGGGAAUACGAUGUUUUCAUCUUGCCUGGAGAUCUGUUGUACGCUGAUACGUUGCAACCCGUGUGGGACACUUUUGGUCGUUUGGUGCAGCCACUUGCGAGCAAAAGACCAUGGAUGGUCACUCAAGGCAACCACGAACUCGAACAUAUUCCUAUUUUAUAGUGACAUAAAAUGAUUUUGACGAUGUUUAUAACUCAUAUAUACAGCUACCAAGAUCCAACUCCAGCAAUAUCAUUGUUUAGAGAAGCAAGUUUCGGGCAUGGUCAAUUGGUGGUGGUGAAUGCGACUCAUGCACAAUGGAAAUGGAAGAGGAACGAUGAUGAUGUGUCGGUACAAAAGGAUUCGGUUUGGUUAACCAGUCUUUCAGCCGAUUCAUCUUGUCGAUCGGGUUUAGACCGUCUCGGUUCGUCUUUCAAAUGAUAUGCGCCUCCUCAUUGAUUACAUGUUAAUUAUCAGUGAUGAUUAUAUGUUAAUUAUCAGUGAUGAAUCGAAGAAAUCGAAAUAUUUAGUGUUUUGAGUAUUGACAACAGUAUCAAAAUAGGAGACAACAAUGUUCUGUUUAAUAGAUUAAUAAAGACAUUAUGAUUUUUCUUGGUUGUUUUCUUUCAGAUCCUUAUCAUUUUUCGACAAAAUGAAAAUUUCAUAUGAAUUGAAAACUUAUAUCAUUGAAAAUGAAAAUGGGAACGGGUAUGAGACGGGACAGGAAUAACUUAUGCCCGUCACAAACGUAAUUAUAGCUCAACUCAAGCCCAACUCAAAAUUCCUUUAAGGUAUGGGCUUAACAGAUAAAUUAGGUUAUAUCUCAUCGCAUCGGCAGCCGGCAGCCACAGAUGUGUGUAGCCCUAAUUUAUUUGUUUGUUGCUCUUUUAUUCGGUGUUUCCUCUCCUCUCGCCUCUCGAUUUUCCACUACGUCGGAACCAUGGGCACGCGCGAUAGAUCCUUGAGCGGUAAGAAAUCGAGAAAUCGAUCUCUUUCUCUCUCUCUCUCUCUCUAUCCUUCAGUUGAUAUCGUCGAUGUAGAUGAUUUGUUUAAUUGAUUUUUUUUUUUUGGCAGAGUAUAGGACAAACAUCUUGUGGAACGCCCACCGUUGGCUCCCCAGUAACUAUAAGAACCCUAUAUCGUUGUUUGGGUCUGUCUCUGAUUCUCUUUCAAAGCGUCGUUUUUGCAAUCCCCGUUUUGUGGGUUUUGGUCAUCAGGAUGUCUUCACGAGUGAGGUGUUGAUUCGAUAUCAGAUCUAUGACGGAUACUACGGAAUUCGCAGAUCAAGAAGUGCAGAGGAGAUACUUUAUUUGAUGUUGGUGGAACUCGUUUUGAAGGCUUCAAGUGAUACUCUUCGCGAGUGCAGAUUCUUGAUCUUCACAAGAUUGGAAGAAGAAGACUGGGAGAUGAUCUCUUCGGUUGCAUCUUCUUUGAGAAGCAGAGGCCGCCGAGUUAUGUUUGCAGUGCCUGACAUUCCUUCAUUCAUUGGCUCCUCCAAUGUAUUCCGGGAGCAAAACGAUGUGGAGGGGAGAAUCCCUGUAUGGAUUUGUCCACAUCUGCUUGAGCAAGGGUCUGGGGAACAAGUUGAUGAUAUUGCUUUUAUAGAGCCUCCUCCUUCAUAUACCAUGGAGAAAUUCCCCAGGUUCCAGAAUGUUGAUACAUGCGUCUUCUGGGACGUCCAUGAUUACCCACUUCCUCAGGGUCUCCAACUCUCUACGUUUUCUGAUAAUAUCAGAUCAGCUCUUGGUUCUCAUCUUCCUUGUGGUAACCACUCAAUCUACGCCUAUGUUGUCAAGGGGGAGGAAUUUGAGUAUGACGAGGAUGCAAUCACGGUACGCAAAGCUCCAUCAGACAACUUUGCAAGAUUGGCUCAGUUGAAAAUGGACAUUCUUCUGUGGACAAUUGACAAUCCUGGCGACAAUUCCAAUCUCAAUCCAGGCGGUCCUAAUUUGCUUAUAAUUUCCAAACAGAGUUUUGGACGUUCUAUCCUUGAUAGCUUGACAUAUCGGGGUCACAAUGUUUUCAUGAUUGAUUUCGAGAAAACCGUAUUUGGCCCAAAUGUUAUCUCACUGCCUUGGGAAGACGUAUCAGCAGAAGAAGAACAGCGGGGCCCAGACUGGCAGAAGAGACUCCGAUUCUCUAGUCGUUAACUUUCUGUCUGUCUUGCUCCUGUGUAGCGUUUGGACCUUUUAUCAUUCUCUGUUGCUGUCUGCUUCUGUGUUACGCGUUUGGACUUCUAUCAUUCUCGGUUGCUUUUGGACUUUUAUCAUCCUCUGUUGCAUUUGGACUAUUAUCUUUAAUCAUCCUCGGUUCCUUUUUGGUAUUUGCUGUUUGUUUUUCGGUUGUUGCAACUCCAAAACGCUUAAUUUGAUUUCAUAAAGUUUUUGGUCCAAGUAGUUUGCUUCUUCUUAUCCCUUUCAACUCCUAUAAAGUUUCUGUACAUUCCAGUCGUCAUGAGAUCUCAUAAUCGAAUCUGCAAAUCAGGCUAUUUCCCUUUUUUGUUAUAAAAAGAACAAAAAAUUCAACUCAAGUGUGAGAAAUCAGAAAUCACAACUCCUUUUGUUGUGGUGGACGACGAGGAGUACGGUAACAAACGUAUGUAUCACUCUCUUCCCCUGCUUCUGUUUUCGUCUUCCUUUUCUCGGAUUCAGAGACUUCCCUUCUUAUUCAGCGUAUUGCUUGAAUUCUGUUUUUAGAUUCUCAAAUUGAGGCGAAUUCAACUAUAAGGUGGAUUUUCUGUUCUUGUCACUACCUACCAAAGCUAACGUUCUAGUAAAUUUCAAUUUGAUUUUUGGCUUUAGUAUCUCAUGAUCAGGCGCAAUUGAUCAGGCGUCAGGUGGUUUCUGAAACUAAGGUUGGAUUGAAUAUUAUAGUAUUCAGAUUGCUGAUUCUGUAAGAGGACUUGCGGAGACAGGAAACUCCAACGCUCAAAGUUUAGAUUUUGGCUAUGGGAAGUUUUCAAAUGGAAAUGUGCAUGCUUCUGAUGACACCAAUACAAGUACAUGUACAUCGGGUAAUAGGGGAAAUGGCUUCUCUGAAGAGCCUAUUGUUGUGCCUCCAAGUGAUAUCUUAAGUCGCACUGUAGUUUCAAAACCUGCUCGAGAGUCUCAGAGAAACAAUAGUACUUCUUCGUCGGGCUGGGGCUAUUGAGGGAAAUAUGUGUGCUUCUGCCACUGGUGUAGUAAGGGUGCAGUCGAGAAAGAAAGCAGAGAUGUUCUUAGUCCCAACUGAUGGAGUCUCUUGUACUAGGGAAAAGGUUACAGAGUCCUCGCUAGCCUUCACACAUACAAGUACUCAACAGUAAAUGCUUCUUUGGAAAACUACCCCAAAAACCGCGUCUUACUGCUGAAGAAGCUAGUGCUAGAACUCAUGGAGGAAGCUAAAGAGGUAAACGCUUUCAAGAAGAUUAUAUAAAUUCUCUCUUGUGUAUUGAAGUUGCCUGUAAUUCAGGAAGCCGGUGAAAAGUUUUUCUUCUUUCGAAUUUGUUUCAGGCUGCAUCUUUCUUGUAUCACCAAGAGAAGAUGAAUGUAUUGGUUGAACCUGAGGUGACAUGACGUAUUUGCCAGGAUUCCAGGGUUUGGCUUUGCCCGGACCUUUUACAUACAGGACACGAGGUACAAGAAUAAGUUAAGUGGACAUCAGCUAGACUACUAAUCCACGGCUCAAUUGUGAUCGACUUUAUUUGCUUUUGUUUUAAUUCAGCGAUCUCCAUGGAAGGGUUGAUUUUGUGGCAUGCUUAGGAGCGGAUGGGUUGAUAUUACAUGCAUCAAACUUGUUCAAAGGAGCUGUCCCUCCCGUUGUUUCCUUUAACUUGGGGUCCCUUGGAUUUCUCACUUUACUAACCCUUUCGACAUGUUCUAUUUCUUAACUAUGUCUUACUAUUCUUUUUCUUUCGACAGCCUUCUUAUUAUUUUUAUUUUGUUUCCAUUUAGUUUGAGGACUUCAGACAAGACUUCAAACGAGUCAUCAUCCUUGGGAAUAACUCGCUUGAUCUCUUCGAAUGUUGUAUAUAACUCUUCGAAUGUUGCGAAAUCUUUGUUAAAGUGUUUGAUGUUCUGAACGAGAGUGUUGUUGAUCAACCCAACUAUACCUUUCUAAGAUUGAAUGUUAUGAACACGAUCGUCUCAUCACCAAGGUCUGUACCCAUUUGGUUUAAUUUCUUACGUGAGACGAAGUCUACUUAAUCUUUAAGCAAGUGAGGAGUCUCAGUGCAUGUUGUAAAAAUGACCCCUACAUUGAUAAAAUUUUACAGCUUUUGUGUGUUUAGGUACGAGUUAUAGUACCGACUCCCACAGGAAGAACUGCUUAUUCUACAGCAGCCGGAGGCUCCAUGGUAAACUUUCCAACUUAACUCUGCAUUACAUACUAAAAAGAAUAAACCUCAUUGGCAUCUCAGAGUAAUAUCAUGCCGUUUAUAAUAAAAUUUCAGUGUUCGCAAAUUAGACAUGUAUAAAAUUCAAAAAAUUGCAGGUGCAUCCAAACGUUCCUUGCAUGCUGUUUACUCCGAUCCGCCCACAUUCCAUGUCGUUCAGGCCAGUUAUACUUCCAGAUUCUGCUAAGCUUGAACUGAAGGUCAGACUUUAGAUCUUUAUAGCAAUACACUUUCCAAACUCUCUGCGCUCAUAUAUUUGGAGACCACGUAAUCAAAACCUUUGGGCUUUUUCAUAUUUGCUGUUUCAAAUGCUCACAAAUCUUCUCUAAACAAAAACCGAUUCCAGAUGAUGCUCGAAGCAAUGCAUGGGUUUCGUUUGAUGGAAAGAGAAGGCAACAACUUUCGAGGGGAGAUUCAGUGAGAAUAUACAUGAGCCAACAUCCACUCCCAACUGUCAACAAAUCUGAUCAAACCGGUGAUUGGUUUAGAAGCUUGAUCCCUUGCUUAAAUUGGAACGCCUUGAUCAAAAGGCUCCUUGUUGACUGAUUCAUUCAUCAACGCAUACAAGUCUGUUUGUUUCAGCCAUCCCUCUUCUACUGUACAGAUUCUUAGUCUUUAUAAUUCGCACUAUAAUUCACAAGGGUUUUGUAAAUUUACAGCAGAAAAAAGGUGGUAUUUUAUUUUUUCCUUUGUCAAUUUUGACCCCUCACAAAUUAAAAUGAUACAGUAGAUUAGUCUAUCUACAAAUAUAUAUAUAUAUAUAUAUUAUUUUAUUUUUUUCUUUUGGGAUAAAAUAAGAUUUGCCCUCAUUCUUCUUUUGCCGAAAAUACAAAUUAACUAAAUGUAUUGUCCCAACUACAGUAGAAGGAUGUCGUCCGUUUCAAAUGUACGGCCGUGUUCGUCUUCGGUUAUUCUUCUUGAAAUACGAGGUCUUGUCUCAGUGUUAUUACUUCCAGUUUCUUCCAGGUCUAAAACAGAACAUAUAAUAUGGGAUAAUAAACAAAUUGCAAGGUGCAUAUAUCUCUCGUUGGGCCAGACAAAAUGAGAAUAUCAUGGAUAACGAACGACUCAGUCAUGCCGACUGUUGUGUACGGCACAACCUCUGGAAAAUACGAAGGCUCGGCUAACUAACUAACAUCAAGUUGAUGUUAGUUAGUUUUUUUUUCGGUUUUAUUUAUUUUUUAAUGAUAAUUAAAAGAAAUACAUACAUAAAUAUUAUUAUUUUUUAGAUAUUUAUAUAGAGAUGACUUUGGAAGGAUUAUUAUCUUAAUAGCAUUUGACGCGUGAGACGGACGCGCCCGUCUUCUUCUCUCCCAACCAUCUUCGACUGGUUUUUUCUUUCACAGAUCUGUUUUUCAGGCGCCGGCGGUUUCUUCAACGCCGGCGUCUGCCUCUGCCUCCUCUUCUUCUCUCUUCUCUGCGUUUGUUUCCUCCUCUGUUCUCUUUUGCCGUCGAGCCGGUUCUGCGGAUCUAGAGUUCUUCGGUGUUUGGUCUGUCGAUGGCGGAGCGAGCUCAGCGGCGUCGCUGGGUCCGCGGUGGCGGAGAGUCGUCUACUCGAGUGGUCGGUGGUCUCUCCUUCGUCGCCUCGUCUCUUCUUCGCCGGCAUCUCUUUCUCCGUUCCCGGCGUGUUUCCCUUUUGGCGGUUCGGCUUCCCGUUAGAGCUCUCGAGCCGAUGGUGUGCUUUCCGGCUUGCUUCGGUGGUGGUGUGGUAGUGCUUUGCUUCUCCUCCUUGCUCGGGCCUCGCCUUGGCCCAGACCAUUCAGAUCUGAGUUGGUGGUUUAGGUCUUGGUAGCUCGGAGCUCUUAACUCCCGAUGGUGGCGACAUAUCCUUGAGGACGGGUUUUUUGUUGUCAGCUUGUGGUGUUGAGGCUCGUCCCGUGGCUAGUUCGGAGUUGGCGCUUGUCUUCUCUCGGCUUGUGUGGCUCGGCCGGUGGUGUCUCUUCGCGGUGGUCUAGGCGUGUGGCUCGUCGGAUGCUCUCCCCAUGGUGCUAGUAUUCUGGCGGCGUCUGUCUAUCGGUGUGGCCGUAGUAUACCUCCGGUUUGUGUUUGUCUUCCCGGCUAGAUCGUCAUUGCUCUCGUAACUUGGUUUGGAUAGGUUAGGCUCCGACAUUGGAUCGGUGAUGUUGUGGGCCUUUGCUAGGCGAUUAUUGUUGAGGCGGCGGUUCUGUUCUCUUGGCUCUCUUGUCGGUGGCAAGUAGAUCUGUUUGACUGAAUCGGAGAUCGCGUCAGUUCUCGGAGAAGCUGUAAGCAUCUCUUUCUGUGAGGUUUUGAGGGCGGACCUCUGGAAGGGAUCUCGCGGCAACUACGAUGAGGAUUUCAGCUCUUCUGAGUUGUGGCAUAAACGGGAUGGUCUGCGCGUUUGCGUUUGAUUGCUGCUUUGUCGUUCGGCUUGGCUCUGUUUUGCUCCUGAUUUCCUUUCCAUUUUCUUGUCGUGUUGAGCUUGGUUGUAUCUAGUUCGGUUUUCGUAUUGUUGUUUGUAGUUUUGGUCGUUCUGUUCUCUUUGUUGUAUCUCUGUAUUCUGUCAAAAACAUAAAAUUGGUAUAAAAUUUAACAUUUUACCGAAAAAAAAAAAACUAACUAACAUCAAUAUAAUAAAAUCCAUUAUAUUAUUACAUCAAUUAUCAUUAAAAUAAAUAUAAACAUAUCUUAUUGUUAUAUAAUCACUAAUUAAAAGAAAUACAUACAUAAAUAUUAUUAUUUUUUAGAUAUUUAUAUAGAGAUGACUUUAGUGAUGCGAAAUCGAGAAAGAAAAAAUUGUAUAAUUUUCUUAUAAAAUUAACUCUUAAAAUAUUUAUUAGAAUAAUCUAUUUUAAACUAAAAAUUAUUGUAUAAUUUUUAUACCUAAGUUUAUUUUCAUAUGUGUCAAAAUUAUAUAUUUUUGUUCUUUUAAAGUAUUAGUAAUUAUUGUAUAAUUUUCUUUUUUAUUUUUAAAAUACUUUGGUAUAUAAAUAUAUAAAACUAAAAGUGAUAUAUAUAUAUAUAUAUAUACUCUAUACAUAUAUCAUUUCCCCUUAAUUUUUUUGGGUAUAUAUCAUAUAUAAUGUCGGAUCUGAAUUUUUUUGAGUUAUAAACAAAAAGAAAUUUCCAUGGGCUUGGAAGUUAAUAAUUGUAAAUAGAAGAGGUAAUAACGAGAUUAGAGGCUCAAAUCUCCAAGAAUUCCAUCAUCGACAAGUCAAUUUCAAAUAAUAAACAUUUACUGAAAACUUUGGAGAAAAAUAGAUCAGAAAAAUAAACAUUUUGUAUAGGGCGGGAAGUUUUUGCCAAAAAAAAAAAAAAAAGGGAAUCAUGUGUUUUGCCUGCUUUGCUCUAGAGGUCGGGCAUGAUCGUAUACGAGCCCACACAAGAAAACUGAUCCAAGUGGCUAAAUGUACAUUAUACUUCUAAAUCAAUGUACUCACUCACUACUCACAUUUCUUUUCCAAUUACCUUAUUUAUUUUUAAUUCUGUUAUUGAGCCAUUACAUAAUUAGAUUGGGUCCUCGUGAGUGACUUAGGCCAGUAUCUGUUCCAACAGAUUUUAGAAAGAACAAGAAAAUUGGACUUUUUUGUCAACAAUAUUGGGCCUUAGUUAGAUUAUUUUAGGAAGAAUUUAUUUAUUAUAUUUUGGAAUUUCUUUAGUUUUCACACAAAAGUCUAAACCUAGUUUCUAUUUCUCUGGUUGGCAAAAAAAAAAAAAAGUUUCUAUUUCUCUGUAAAUUUGGUCUACAUUUUCGAACGUAUGGGCUUUAAUUAACCGGACUAGAGACCUUCUCAAUUUCCCAUCAAAUUUGCCGUGGCUGGUACUACACUUUCCAUUUUUGUUCAUCACUCAUAAUUUCUUAGAUUUGUCAUUGCUGAACAUAAAGUACAAACAUUUAUGUAUUUAUAGCUCUGAACUGAACCCUUAACAGGCUAAAGUCCAAAGCCCAGGUCAUGGCGGUUUUGUAGCUCAAAUUCGUUAUUUUGUUAAUGAUCAUGAAAAUUGAUUAAUUAUGAAGGUGACCUUGGUACGACUGAAUGGACUAAAUCAACAUUGGACCAUGUCUCGAAAUGGGAAUACGAUGUUUUCAUCUUGCCUGGAGAUCUUCGUACGCUGAUACGUUGCAACCCGUGUGGGACACUUUUGGUCGCUUGGUGCAGCCACUUGCGAGCAAAAGACCAUGGAUGGUCACUCAAGGCAACCACGAACUCGAACAUAUUCCUAUUUUAUAGUGACAUAAAAUGAUUUUGACGAUGUUUAUAACUCAUAUAUACAGCUACCAAGAUCCAACUCCAGCAAUAUCAUUGUUUAGAGAAGCAAGUUUCAGGCAUGGUCAAUUGGUGGUGGUGAAUGCGACUCAUGCACAAUGGAAAUGGCAGAGGAACGAUGAUGAUGUGUCGGUACAAAAGGAUUCAGUUUGGUUAACCAGUCUUUCAGCCGAUUCAUCUUGUCGGGUUUAGACCGUCUCGGUUCGUCUUUCAAAUGAUAUGCGUCUCCUCAUUGAUUAUAUGUUAAUUAUCAGUGUUGAAACGAAGAAAUAGAAAUAUUUAGUGUUUUGAGUAUUGACAACAGUAUCAAAAUAGGAGACAACAAUGUUCUGUUUAAUAGAUUUAUAAAGACAUUAUGAUUUUUCUUGGUUGUUUUCUUUCAGAUCCUUAUCAUUUUUCGACAAAAUGAAAAUUUCAUAUGAAUUUUUCGAAUAUGUACAAACUUAAUUUUUUUAUAAUUAACGACACAUUGUACGUGGGAAAAACUAGCUGUGGGUUUAAGGUUGCCACUUGCCAAUUUGUAACAAACUUUAAGAAAAAUCUUAUAGCCAAUUAUAGCAACAUAUCCAGUUACCAAUGGCUAAUCUCAUUCGUACGUGUAGGUGAAAAAAUAUAUUGUUACUCCCUCUGUUUUUAUUAUAAAAACUUCUCACAUUUCUAUGUAAAGUUAAUUAUUAAUAGUUUUGAUAUUAUCAUAAAUCAUUUGUAUUUCUCUUCUUAAACUCAUUUUAAUUGGUAACUAAAUACAGUUAUGGUAGUAUUUAAUAUUUUAAGUAAUAAAAAAGAAUUCUUUAAUUCUUGGUUUUUUAAGAAAAACUCCUUAUAAAAAACAGAGGAAGUAUGAUUUUUGAAGGUGCAUAGUCAUUAGACUCAGUCACUUCAUAAGUAUGAAGAAUGAUUAAUUAAUGUAUACAUGUGUAAAGUAACAUUCGAAAGUAUUUUAAAGCAAAAAAAUAUUAUAAAAGACAAUAUGUUAAUUGGAGAAUGUUGUUGAAAACAAUUUUCUAAAUCUCUUUUUUUUUUCUGAAUUCAUUGAUUUGUUAAAUUGUUUAUUCAAACAUCAUUUAAAAUUUUUUACCAAAGCAUUUUUAUAUUUAAAAUUUUUUGGCAAUAACUAAAUUAUUUUAUAUAAAUUGAUGAAAAUUUAAUUGAAAUUUAACCAUUAUCAGACAAGUUUGAAAAACAUUAUACAUUUAUCAUUUAACAAUAGUAGAAUCGUAUAUCAUAUAUCAUUAGUGUUAAAUAAACUUGAAACUGUAGUUUCUGCGGACGCAUGUUAACUGAAACACAUACCUUAGCCUAGUUUAGCGACGAAGAUGACUCGGUAUGAUCUGAAAACGGCUGCAGAGAUCAGGAUGAGAUCACAGAUAGAAAUCAACCACUAUCCACUGUUCAAGUGCCCUCCGGUUGAUCUCUCAAAGCUUUCUCUCACUGUAACGUUUUUUUUCUUUAUUUAGAUUUCUCUCCUUGUCUCAAUAGUUACUUCAUAUUAUGUUUUGUAUUACCCCAAAAAACAUUACUCUUCUCUUUGCAAUGUUUCAUAUAUAUACACAAUCAAAUGGACACAACACAGAAAUACACAACCGUACGUAGAGACACAACCAUAUGUAAAGACACGAGUUGUUACUUAUGGAAUAACUACCGGUUAACUAAACCGGUUUGAUAUGUUCCUAAAUCAUGGGCUUAAACCGAUCAUUAACCAAUAAACUCGAUCAUUUUCUUCGUCAACAUUCUUCGUUGUUGCUGUGUGGCUGUUUUUUUUUACUUUUAAAGAUUUUUUUUGGGGGGGUGUAAUAGAUUCAUUUGAUAAUUGUUGGAAUUCACAAAAUAAAAAAAUAAUAUAUGAAAAUAAAAAUAUUGUCAAAUAAGAUAUGAAAAUAAAAAAUAAAAAAAUAAUAGUAACAAAUUGUUAUUUUUAGAUGGCUGCUGGGAACAACUUCCUAAUUCUAUUGCUUGUCCUAUAACCUUUUGUUUGAAUGGUCGACCUCUUUUCUCUUUAAAUAUUAUCAGGUUCAUUUAAUUCCAAAACAAAAUUUAAUCGUAAGAAUACUCACUUUUAACUUUUUUUAAGAAUAUACUCACUUUUCAUUUUUUUGGGGUAGAUAUUGCUAUUGUUUGAUUUUUUUUUUUUAAUCACCAUCUAAACACAAUUGAACUGUUAAUAAUAUAUACAUAUAUAAACCAAUAUUCAGAAUUAUCUAUUAAAUUUUUUUUUUAUAAAAAAUGGAUGAAAAACUAUUAGGUGGAGAACAUUGUCAAAAUGUUUUAGUUAAAUAAAUUGAUAUUCAAGAAUUCAUUGAUUUCAUAAAUUUUAUUAAUUAGAUAUCAUUAAAGAACAUUAAUGGAUUUAGCAUCAUAAAUAUUUUUAUUUGAAUUUAAACAUUAUCACAAAUGUUAUUAGCAUCAUAACUAAUGGAACUCUAGAUAUUAUGUCAUUAGUAUUGGAUGGACUUGAUAAUGUAUUAAACAAUUCAACUGAAGUGUGUUCUAUUGAAAAACUGCAUGUUUGAUGACUAGAUCCUUCACCCAUAUAUAAAUUGUUUAAUAAAAAAAAUAAGAAAAAAAUCUCACAACAACAUACUAUAUAUAUAUAUAUGAUUUUUGAAACAUCUAAACACAAUUAAACAAUUAAUUAACAUAAAUAUAUAUAAACUAACAGAAAAAGUAUAUAUACAAAACAAAUUAGUAAAAAUGAAUGAAAAACUAUAAGUUGGAGAACAUUAUCAGAAAUUGUUGGAUCAAUAAAGAAUUCAUCAAUUUCAAUAUUUUUAUUGAUCAAAUAUCAUUAAGAACAUUAAUGGAUUUAGCAUCAUAAUAUUUUAUUUAAUUAAAUUUUAACAUUACACAAAUUAAAAGGUGAACAAUAUCAUACCUUCAUUAUUGAAUACUAAUGAAAUUAUGGUUUUUCUGGAAUUAGAAUAAGAUGAACUUGAUAAUGUAUAAGAAAAAUCUGAAUUUUUUUGUUUGAUUGAUACACUGUAACUUUGAGAAAGGAAAAUUUCUCUUAUAGUCAUUCUUUAACUAAUAAAUUUUUUUAAACAACUUACUUAUGUAAUAUAUAGGGAAUUUAAUAGAAAAUUGUUUCUUUUCAAAAGAGUGCAAUAUAAACAAUCCUAAAGACACAACUCUUAGAUGAAUUAAUUGGUAAUUCUUCGCUUUGUUAUUAUAGAUAGAUUUAGUCACAUGGAUCAUCACUUGUUUCAGUUAGCUCCCUUUAGGAAUAAUUAAAAAUGUAAAAUAUAAAUCAAUUGAAAACAUAAUAUUCUCACAAUCAAAAACAAACAUAUUCGCAUUUAACACACACGGUCCUAUGGGUGCCCAACUCGUGUCCACCAAUUUUGGCCCAAUCUUCACCUCAUCAAAGUCUCCAAAGCGACCAAAACUUGAAACCCUAGUUUUCUUUCAUUCUCGCCUCCUUCCUCUGGAACCUUAAUUUAUCCAUUUUUCCGCCUCCUUCUCUUAAACCCUAAUUUUUUCUCAAACUCUUCUUUCAUGGCACAGCCAUUUACAAAUCUGCUUAAGUUUGACACCGACUUCUGGAACUCGGUGCCAACUAAAGUACCUUUUAAACCAGCCCAUGUAAUUUGGGACUGGGAUAAUGCUCCACUUCCCUUAGGAUAUGAUAUUGAACUUUUGUUGCCCAAGAUUCAAACAGCAUUGACGAUCUAUGAUACGAAUCUUAAGAUCAAGACUUUCGCAGCCUGUGGGAGCUUUUUCGGUUUAGGCGUAAAUGAAUUACCUGAGGAUCAAUCUUUCUUCAGAGAAGAAAGAUUAAGCUAUCUCGACGCAAACAACCCACCUUACCGAUCCUUUAGAACGCCGGUUAGGGUAAGAAAGUGUGCGAAAUGUGGUCACGAGUCUACAAAUCUCACCUGGAUGAAUGACGCUCAACUUGAGGAACACUACAAGAAAAACCAUCAAGACGAUUACUCGAGAGUCAUGGACGUGGGAGAUGCGAUUUUAGCUCGCGAGAUAAAAUAUCUGAAUAUGACAGAUCCACCUCCAGGUUUCUUUUUAGAUUUUUUUUUUAAUUUUAAUUUCUUUACUAGAUUAUGAGCGCCGGUUAAUUGGACUUUUUUUAACUUAAAAUCUCGUGCAUACCGAAUUAAAUAAUUGUAGAAUUUAAUAUCAUGUUCUUAUUUGGAAUUUGAUUAUUUUUGAUGAAGAUUUAAUAAUAUAAAUAGAUACUAUCUUUUUGAGUUUGAGAAAGUUUGAGCAUUUGCUUUGUGGUUUGGCGUUAGGAUACUAACGGUUGGAAAUUUUUUGUGACCUGUACCAGUAGCUGGUAUGUGGUGUGCUAGGUUGUAUCAUGUCGAGCUAGUCUGUGUUUUUGCUCGUGUUGGUGUAUGUGGUUCGUUUGAUCUGUUUUUUGACAGAUCUUCUAUUUAUUUUAUAGGUGUUGUUCUGUUAAUUUCCGAAGAUAAAGACUUCGCGAAGUCUCUGAAGUUCGCGGUUGAGCAAGGUUAUAAAGUAUUGCUAGCAACACCCCACGAAGCAGAAGAUCUUGAACCUUUUGCUAAAGCUGUCUGGACAUCGUCUAAGCUGUUUGAAGGAGGAGUAGAUGGUCCUUUUAAGUCCCGUUAAAUCUGUUUAGGAUUAGGGAGUGACUUAGUUGUGUGAUCAGGGAUUGUGCUCCUUUAUCUCCAUUGUGUAUCCGAAUUCCAAUCUAAUCUAUGUAUGAUUACUUCUUUUUUUUGGACAAAAUCUAUGUAUGAUUCCAUUAUCUCCAUUGUGUAUCCGAAUUCCAAUCUAAUCUAUAUAUGAUUUCACGGAAUAUGAUUGCACAUCACGUACUGGUUUUUCACACUUUACCGCAAAUUCAUACUUGAAUGGUUUACAUUACUUGCGGUAAAGAAAAGCAAACCUUUCCAGAGUAACUUGACUCUCUAUAACCGCAAAUUCACAUUGUUUUCAUCAACGAGCUUAUACUAUCCCAUGAUCUUAUCAUGGUACAUCUUGCUUCCUAUCUCACACAUCUCUUCUGGAAAUCUAUCUUUUUAAAAUUGGUAAGAGAACAGGUCUACUUAAAGUUUCUUCAUUGGUGAACAUUCUCUAUCUUCGGCGGGCCGGGAACAAUGAAAACGUUUCCAGUUUUAAGCAUAUCCAGUUGAGCUUGAAUAAUGUAACAACAAAGGUUUUUACAGUCCAAAGCAAUCACAUGAUGCGGUUUGAGUUCUAACUCGAGAUCUGCUGCCAUUUCCAAUGUGUAGAAUCCUACUUGUUGCUCUCCUCUGUCAUCAACCGUGUACAAUUCAAUUCACUGUAACACGAAAAGGAAGAUAAGAUUUUGAAGGACUUUGGGUUUCUCCGAUGUCAAAUGUUUAGGAAGAAAACAAUGCUCGAAACAGCUUGUGGACCAAACAAUUCCAUCUCUCUCGAGUUUGUUGAGUUUCUUUUCCAUGAACUUCUUGUUCCUCUCUGGCAGCUUUUCCAUUAUAUCAGCUGCGUCUUUGAUUUCGUCUUCUGUAAUCCAUCGGUCCAAGUCUUUUCCCACGUGUCUCAUAACAGCUUUCACUUCUGGAUCAAUCUCUGCAUUGUACAACUCCAAGAACCCGCGUGACCAUUUCUUCGUGUGCUGCCAAUACUCCUUUCCUGACUUUUUCCCGGGUCUAACAGGUCCGUCACUUCCUUCUACAACAAUCUUUGGCUGGCUUGAGGAAAUGUCAGAUGAAGAAGUGAGAAGGUUCUCAGAGGAAGCAGACUGUGAUGAUUCUUGAAGAAGAGAACUCUCUUCUUCCUUUUUCACAGGAGACACAGACGCAGCCUUUCCGGAAAACAUUGCCUCUCGCUGUUCAGAAGGCAGCAAUCAAGUGAAACGGAUCCCUACCAGCCAGCUCAUUAUCUCGAUCAAGGAAGAUAAUGUCUCAUCGUUAUCCUCAUCGCGGUAAAGUUCUGCAAUUUCAGCAAUCGUACCUGGCUCCUGAGUUUUCUUUCUCUCUCAGGAACUGUCUCAGAAGAUAGCCGAAGACAGUGAUGAAAUCUUCCCAAAGCAGAGCUAGGAAGGGAGUAAUGCAGCUAUGUUCGGUAGUCUCAAGAUUAGAUAAUCAAGAACUUAAAUGUAACUAUAAAGUUAAUUGAAUUAGACUCUAUGUUAUGUAGUCUAAAGACUCUAAACACAGCGCGCAUAGUACAGACUACAGAGGCUAUAUUACACACUAUUAGAUACCGGUGAAUCAAAAGAAGACUGCAAAUAAAGAGUGCAAGAAUCUGAUAUGAAAAUAUCAUUCUAUGCUCGUAACUAAGCUCAAUAAAACCCAUAUAUACACAGUCCACCGCCCAAAUCUAGUCUAAGAGUGUCUCUGAGACGUAGUAAGGUUCUAGUUAGUCUCAUUUCUAACCAAGGUAAGAUAGUCAACACAAUCCCACCCGAUCCAUAGGUUUCUUUUCUAUGAUAUAUAUUGAUCCAACUUUAUUGGUAGACAUGUUUCAUCCUUAUGUUCUCUCUCUGUUUCGCAAAGUUAUAUGUUUUGUAAUCUCCACAAGCAUAUAAUAAAGCACUCAAAACAUAAUAUAUAUAUAAAGAAAAACUUUUUUAUUAGGGGGUUUUUGGAACCUAGUCUAAUUCCAAAGGUUUAUAAAAUCUGAGGUCUUGCCCAUUCAAGACGUCUAUAGUGGUCAAGCAGAGCGGUUAUAUAAUUCGUUUACUGACUUUGAUCAACAUGGUGGCUCCUCAAUAAAACUAAACGAAUUUCGCCCACUACCACUUGAUUCAUAUAUAGCUUUUAAUAAAUUUCAUUUGCUAUUUUGGAUAAAUGCGCUAUAAUAGCUAACUAAUUUCAAGUAAAGGUACAUUUGGAAAUAUCAUUUGUUUUUGCAUGCAAAUCUGGAAAACCAUUAAUCUAUAUCAACAAAAAAUUAAAACCUAAAAAGAAACUAUUUAAAAAGUAGUAUUUCAUACCUUGUACCAGGUCAAAGGCUGCUUCUUGGCCACGAAUGAUCCUUCUAUCCAUUCCACACAGGAACUCCCAGUUAUGGUAUGAAGGCUCAUAGCAUCACCUUUAGUACCGAUCUACUCGAAUCACACACACAAAAGAAUACACAUUUAGUUUAUUAUUGUUAUGGUUGGUAUAAAGAUUCAGAGACAGUUCAAACUCUUGUUGAAGAUACCUUAUAGGACCAUUUCCAUUUUGACAUAUCCCAUGUUCCAGAGUUAACUCCAUACAGUGUGGCUGGACCUAGAACUCCAGUAUUGCAAGUCUCAUAAUGCAAACCAGCCUUCUGUGAUGAAUUGGAGAUAACAAAUCUCGUUAACUAAGUUAUAUAAAUUCAUAUUUUGAGGAAAAAGAAAACGCAAUAACCCAUCGAAUGAAACAAGAUCAGAACUAACCGGAGUCGUACUUAGCAGAGCAAGUUUAUUGACGCCUACACGCAAUUUGAUCUUUUGGCUAAAUGUGAGCUUGGGGCUGCUCAAUGCUCCAUAACUAGUUCCUAAAAAAAAAAAAAAUUGAAUGUUUUUAAGAAUUUUUUUCAAGUAUAAGAUGAGUUUGACCUGUGUUCAAAAAAAAAAAAAAAAAAAAAAAGAUGAAUUUGACCUUUGAUAUUUUAAGUUCAUAAGUAUAUCUUAUCUUACCUGCAAGCUGACCAUUGACGAAUACAUGAAGAGCAUGCCCAGGUGAACAAAUGGUAAGUAGUGGACCAUCACCAGUCUUCAAGAAUCUCUCAUUAGAAAUAAUUGCGAUGCUGAAAAUAAACAAGAAACAAACAUAAAACAGAACCAACUGUGGAUCAGCAAUUAAUCAAUCAGCAAGAUAUAGAGAUUUCAUUUGUCAAGAGAAGGUCAAACAUUACUUACUCUGUAAGAUACCAGAAAUAGUCUGUUUUAUCUCUGGUCAUGCUUAUUUGUUCCAACAGACCAUCUUUAGCAAACGUACCAUAGCCAUUUGAAGAAGGGAUUGCUUCAUUGUAUGAUUCCCAUGAAAAUCGCGUUCUAGUAAGAAUCAUCUUCAUAAGUAUGCUCGGUGAACGGAUCUAUGUCACGUUACGUACAUGACAAAAUGAGGAACACAUAUAUAGGUCAAUCUCAAUAACAAUAAUACCAUUCUUACGAGAUUAACAAAAUUAGGACGUCUUAAACUAUUGAAAUCAUAUAGUAUUCUUACAGUAUAAAUAAUUUUCGAAUCGGAAUCAUGUGUCAGAAGUCCUCUUUUUGUAAUUAGGGACUAAAUCUAUACACACAUAUUCGAAAUUUUCUUAAACAUAAUUAUCGAAUUGGUAUCCUAUUUAAAUGCACUAGUUGCACAUGUCAAAAAAGGAUAAUGUUAUCAAUAUAAGAUUUUAGUUUAUUAACCUUUGCAGUGUUGUAAUACUGGGUUUUGCAGUCGGGUAAAAUACUGACAGACCAAGGAGGCAAAUCAUAUGGAAAUCCCCUAAACAUAACUCUUGAUGCAUAGCUCGUGUCGUAGUUCGAAAGAAACGCAGCGCACGAAGUCUUGGACUUGAACACAUGAGCCGCCUGAAAAUAUAACCCAAAAUAACAAAAUGUAUGAAUCUUUGAUACUUCUUUUUUUGGGAACAAAUCUUUAAUACUUUUUCUCUUCAAAGUUACAUUGCAUACUCACUUCUUGCUUAUUUCCGAGCGAUGUAAUGAUGUGAUCAACAGAGACCAACGCAGGUUCACAUAGUUUGAUGACUUUAUGCAACUCUUUCAGGUGACUAUACUUGGGUUCUCUCGGUAAUCCUUUUCACAAACAAACAAAAAGUUUCCAAAAAAUGUUUAUCAAAUCGUCGAUCAAAUCAAAUAGCUAGAGAGGUCAUUAAUAUUUAAUUUUUUUUUUUGACUGAUUAAUUAAUAUUUAAUUUUUCAGAUGAUAAUAGCGUUGAUUACCAUAUUCAUCGAGAGGAGCAUCGUAGUCGUAGCUCGUGGCAAUGAACACACCAGAUGUUCUAUCAAAGUUCUUCCCGCCGUGGUACUGAAACAACAUUCUCUUAAUUAAUAUACUCUUUCACAAGUUGAAACAUUUUCUAUUUUAUUUUUUCUAUUUUUCAAUUUAAUCAAACUGUAAUACCAUGUAAUAAUCCAAAAAAAAAUCUACACUAAAUGAAAAUCUACACUUUGAAUUUGUUUUGCAGGUUAAAAAAAAUGAUCAUGACAAUAGAACCAUAUCGCUUUUUCCUCAAUGCACAUAUGUCUUAACUCAUCGCUCAUAUUUUCUCAAGAGAUGUAUGCCACUACAUUCCACGUAUGAUCCACUUUCCUAACUUUAUCAUCUCUUGAUAUCUCUGGGUUGCUCACAAAGAUGACUGUUUUAUAAUAUUCUCAUUACGAGUCCGAUCCACAUUUAACAGAUUCUUUUGUUGGUCUUGGUUUUAUUGUCUUGGAUUUCAGGCUUGAAGAUUGGAUUUAAAAAUCCCCUUCCUCAGAUGCGGAGUAACUUCAAUUCUCAAAUUGGGACGAAGGUACAUAUUGCACAUCAUGAUCCUGUUUUUCCUAUACAUAUUUUCGUUUCAUUUCAUUUUGACUCUUGGUAGUUUUAAUCUAUUAUUUGUUCGCCUGUAUUUUCCUUUUUUCCCUAUUCCAUUGAGAACUUAAAAAGCAAAACAUUAGUUUGGCUUUGAACCGAACGAAUUCUAAUUUUAUAUUAUAGUGGUUUAUCAAAUAUAGAGAGAUCGUGAGGAAAACAAUUGUACGCUUAUCUAUGACGAAACCAUUAUGAACACAAUACAUAAAUGAAUUAAAUUUGCAUAUACAUUUUAAAUGUUUAAGGCUGUAUAAUUGUAUGGCAUAUGUGUAGAGUAUGUUUUCUUAUGCUCAUUCCCCCAACGUUCCUUCCAUUGACGUAGACGCAUCCGAUGAUACCUCUCCAACUUUCGUUUUUGGCUUUGCUUGGUUGUUAAAGAACUGCGUGUUCCCUUUGUGUGAAACAUUCCGUAGAACAAGCUUUAUCUACUUGUGAUUUAUUGGUUUUAGGAAUAGAUUUUUGAAACAAUGUUGGCUCAUGGAAAAGAUACGAAGGAGAAUAGCUUUGUUUAUGUGAGUUCUUCAAUCGUACCAUGUCUCAUUUUCUUCCAUAUUGUGGUUUUCAAAUCUGGAUGAAAGGACUUAGGUAUGGUAAUGUUUAAGUAGAUUUCAUCUUUGUGUUAUGGAACAAACUUUGGUUUCCAUAUUUGUCAAUCUAACUGGUUGACUCACUACGGUUGAUGAUAUGUCAUGAUAAGCUAAUUUAAUUGUUGAAUCUUUUGUUUAUUAGCACAUUGAAUCAUCGGAGGCAAGCCAGUAGACAGUUCAAUGCUAUGAACCUGUCACAUUGAAGUAUCUGGGAUAUUUCCCUGCUUAUUCUGCUACUGAGGUUAGUAGCUUCUGUCCUUUUCCUGAAGUUAUAUUUAGUAUAUUGUAUAGUUUUAAGAAAAAUGUUGUUAUAUUACUCAAAAGGUUUCUCUCAAAGCGAUCCUCCUUAUCAUGAAUGAGAUAUGAUUUACACAUUGGUAUUUCAAGUUAAGGAGCGAGUAACACUAUCAAGGAACGGUAAAAAGACAUGGGUUCAAAGUAGCUUCAAGGUCAGGUGGCAGUUCUUGCGAAUUCUUCUCAAGUACAUUAUUGAACACCAAGAGCUUCUAUGUGAGUAAGGAUUCAUUUAUGUGCUACUGAGUGAUUUGUUAUACAGGUUUUGAUAUUAAAAACAGACAUGCAGCCCAUAAUGUCUCAGAGAGAGAUAUAGUGUCGGGUUUUGGGUUUUGACAAGGAGGUGAUCUCAAAUGUAUGCGGUUAGGUGAUUUAAUAAAAGGUUUUAAGAUUUACAAUCUUUUCGGGAGGCGAAUGUGGACGGACAAACUAGAAUCAGACCACAAAUUUUGGUUAAAGAUGUAAGUUCCAAACACGUUGAAAUCCGUGCGGGAUUGUAUAUACAGAAUAUUAAUGUAUUCACAAUUCUAACUCUUAAAAGUAAAAUUUAAUAGAAACGUAUGAAUCAAAAUAUAUUUAGAUAAAUUUGUAUGUGAAUUUUUUUGCAUUGUGACUGCUUACCCACAAAAUCAAUUUACAUAUAGAAAACACUUUACUUUUUAAAUGUUGUUUACUUUGAUUAUUUGUAUACAAUGGUAAAAACCAGGCUUCAGUUUUUCAAACGUCAAAACUUCCUAAUAUCGUUGAACAAGCAUGUGUUCUUUCUUAAUUGAUUUUUUAAUAUGUAUGAAAAACCUUAAAACUGACACUUUUUGUAAAACAGGGGAGUAUAAUUUUAAAUCUCCAAUCAAUAUUUUCUCUUAAAAUGGAUCUUUUUAAUUCCAUCGAAAAACAUGGUUGUAUAUUUGGAAAACAUAGACAUUGUAUAAAUGUGUCGUCUAUAUUCAAAUGCAAAUAGAAAAAUUAGAUAGUAAACUAAAAUUAAUGAAAAAAAUUAUUAAAUAACCCGGGCGUAACCCGGGGAUAACCCCUAGUACCAUGUAAUAAUUCAUAAAGGAACCACCGUUCUGUAUGAAACGAGUCACGUUGUCACAAUGUCUUCGACUGGUCUAUUUGGUAUUGGACCUCCAAAUUCCGUGAACCUACAAUCACCACAUACAUUUUACUAUUUUGUGUAUCUUAUAAUAAAUGAUUUAUAUUUAAAGACAAGCUCAAAAAAAUGAAACUGUAAUACUAAAGAGCUUAUUGACUUACAAACCAGUCCAGGUCUCUGUCCACAACUUGGGCUGAUUAACUGAGUUCGGUUUGAAACCGUCACAGUAAAACCCAUUGCAUGUGUUUAUCUAGUAUACAGUGCAAGUAAGAAAAAUACAGUUAACGUUCAGUAUAAAUUUCACUCCAAAGUUGGAUAAAUUUGUUGACAUUUCAAAGUUAAAAAAUGUUAGAGAAAAAUUGUCCCCAUGGAUUGUCUUUGUUUUUGGUCGGUGGUCCCAUGUACGUAAUUUAACUAGAAAAAGACGUCGGAGGCAAACAACGGGGAAGACGAUAUUUUUUUUUUUUUGUGGUAAAAUGUUAAAUUUUAUACCAGUUUUUAAAUUUGUGACAGAAAUACAAAGACAACAAAGAAAGCAGAGAUACAAAAAAUAAACUACAAACAAGGAAUAAGUGACAACAGAAACUAAGAGAUGGACCAAAACCAACAAGUUAGACACACAACAAGCAUACCCAAGAGAUACUUGACGAUAUUUUAUUUUGGUUGUAACUAUCAAUAAGACAACAAUAUCUAACAGGAAAAAGAGAAAUCCAUCAAGGAAAUUUGAAGGCAAAAAAAAAUACAAAAGGUAACCCACCAAAGGGAAGAAGGAAUGAUAAAUUCUAAAAAGAAACAAUAAAGGCCUUGAUUGGUAAUGCAAAGAGUAAAAUGGUAGAAAAAAAGAAGUGGAAAAGAGAUAGAAAAAAAAACAGGUGGAAAUAAGAGAGAGAAAAAUAAAACAGGUGGAAAAGAGUUACUCCAGCAAAACCCAGAGUAAAAGUUAGAGUGUACUUUUCUCUUUAUCUACAGUAGCUAGCGUAAAUAUUAAAAAAUGAUAAUCUACUUGAUUGGUGAAUAUUUGGCUGAACUUGGAGUAAACAUGGAUCUAGAGUAAAAAUAUUUACGCUAAAAUGACUAUCCAGUCACAGCCAAAGAUUCUAUCUCAUAUAAAGUAAUAAUAAAAUAAAAGAAAAUGCACUAGAUGACCAUGAUACUGUACCAUAUUUGCAAGAAUAUACAUCGCACUAUUUCGACACUGUUAGCAUUUUAAUAACCCGACUAUACCCCUAUGCUCCCUACUUACUAGCAAGCAUCGCCGAUCUUGAUAAGAUUUUGGCGUCAGAGAGAAACAGUAAUAUAUUACACAAUAAUUUGAAAUUCAAAAAUCUUAUUAAUAUUACACAAUAAGCCUCAUCGAUCAAAGCAAAUGUCGAACACUGGUAAACAAUAUUUUUAUUAGGUUAUUUUAUUAGUUAGACUGAACCCAGAAGCUUCUUUCUCUUGUUUUCGCCGCCGUUCAUCCCUGGAAUCCAUUUUCAUCCAAUUUUACAGUUUGUAGUCGCCGAUUUCUGUAAGUAAGUUUUCGUUACACCGUUCUCAAUUUUGCACAUGAAUUUUUGCUUUGAUAUAUGACUAAUUGGUUUCGUCUGAAAUAUAUUAAAGGAUGCCUAACAUUCAAUUGCCUGAGAGAAUUUUUGCUGCCGGCCAAGAGCCCGUCGGAGAGAGGGUGAAUUCUUACCAAAAAUCAAAAUCGGUACAGGCUAUUAUGAAUUCUCUCGACGAAGAUGAAGCAAAGAGGCUUCGUGAUUCCCAACUUGGACGGCUCCUAGAGACGAUGGAGAAGCCUUCAUUUUCCGGGAGCUUUGGCUAUUACAUGCUCGCUCGUCUCUUGCGUGUGAAGAAGAAGCAUGAAUUAUGGUUUCUGUUUGCUGGUCGGCCAGUGAGAUUUUCUCUCAGAGAGUUUGCUCUAGUUACAGGGCUCGAGUGUGGGAAAUUUGCUCAGACGAGGAAGCUUAAAAAUCUUGUGGCCCAGAAACCGUACUGGCCUGAGCUCUUUGGGUUGCUUAAGACAUGCACUGUUGAUUCCGUCAUCCACAUGUUACAGAAAAGAAAAAUUUCAGACAAAGAGAAGAGAUUCAAAUGCGCCUGCCUCGCUGUAACUGCCUCUGUUUUGGUUCCUACCUCGCAUGUUACCAAGAUUGUCCCCGAGCAUGUCGAGCUCAUAAGGGACAUUGAUUCAUUUCUUUCAUACCCUUGGGGUAGAGUUGGGUUUGAUUUGCUCGUAUCUAGCAUCAAAUCCAAAGAUGAAUUGGAACUCUCGCAGAAGACAAUCGCCGUAAAAGGAUUUUUUUAUGCCAUCCAGCUUGUAAUGAUGGCUGCAGUGCCGACGCUUACCGAGGUAGUUCAAGCUCCAUCCGGUGAGUCUGAUAGUGACUACGAAGAUGAAUGUGACACCGCCGCCGAUGUAUCCACCGGACAGGAGGCCAAUCUCGGCUGCGAUGCCGCGGAUCUGGCUGAAAGAGCCACAUCUUCCGGCGUUGUGAAAAUGAUGCUUAGUCCCAGCCAUGCACGAGAAAUCGAUGAGGAGGAGAAGGUAAAUUACCUCACUUAUUGAUACUGUUUACAAUCAUAGUUAACGGGUACAUAAUCUGAGCGUUGACAAAUUAAUAAGUAUCCUUGGGAAUAUCUGUCACUUAUUAUAAUAUCAGUUACAUUAUGUUGUUCAAUGAUACAAUUUCCUGUAACCUAUAACUUUCCCAUAUCAGGCAUUGGUUUAUUCCAUCAUCCCUACGGACGGUGUCUGUGCUAUCGAAGGGAUGGACUUACGUUGGGCUGACGAAGUUGGUGAUGAGUCCGUAGAUGUUAUGGUCAAGCUUAUCGGCGAAGGUUAUCGUUUUUCAGGUGAUAUGUUCACGGGUGGUCUUACAACUUCUGACUUGGUCCGUAUGCGAAGUGAUAAGGCUCUGAAAGAGAAAGAAGCUAAAGACAAGAAGAAAAAAGACAAAACCGGCGACACUUCAUCCUCAUUUGCUACGGUUGAUCAGGAGGGGAUCGCUGAACUGGUGCUUGAUAAAUUGAAGCCUGAGUUGCAGUCCUUCAGUAAUAGGUUACGGGAUCUUGAAGCAUCAAUCCUUCUGCAGGAUGGGAAGAUUGGACAAGCUAUUACAGACGCCUUCAAGUCAUUUCAUCACUCCAUUAUCCAAAGUAUAUCCGAAAACGUUAGACACGCAACUAUCUCGGCCGAACUUGGAGAUCCUCCUACACGAGAAAGCGUUCCUGAGUCUGAAAAUGAGCAUCAAGCACAUUCCAUCCAUUCUUCAGGCGGGAAGUCAGGUUUUGACAAUGUCGCCAAUCCGAAAACCUCUUUGAAUUGUGGCCAUCAUCCGCCGCCCAGUCCUCUUUUUCAACCUUCUGCAGUUGCGCCGACACAGAUGCAAAAGGCUCCCUCCCUUGCCAUGAGUAAUGAAGAUUUCAUUCGCAGUCUAACGCAAUCUAUAAAUGCCCAAGUAAGUGGUCAUUGUUUACUCAUCUUCCAUUUCACUUCCGCAGCUCUAUUAAAUUUCCUUUUCCUAAUCCAGGCCAAGGACCCUUCACCCUUUAGUUGUGUUUUCCCUGCCAGUAAUGUGUCACAAUCUCACCUGACUCCUCCGGGAGCAAACACCACAUCCCAAGACUUACCGACCCAGCUUGCUGAGGUUAGCUUUUCAUCACCCAUGUAAAAUUAUAGUUGUCUACAUAUACUUGUAACAUAGUUACAAUAUAUAUUAACGACCACAAUUAGAUAUAGAGAAGUAUUAUUAUUUGUAGAUGUUUACAAAAAAGUAUAUCACCAACUUCGUUAUUGUUUGUAUUUGAUGACGUCCCUCUCUAAUGUCUCUCUACCAGCUCGCGCCCCAACAUCAAUCUUGCUCCAUUGGGGGAAACACGAAAGCGGUAUAAGCCAAUCUUUAGUAUUUGUUCUGUUGUUAGGGACGAAUCACUAAUUUUCAUAUAUUGAAUGUAGAUGGAUUUACUGUUGUCCGUGUCACCAUCCUUUUCUCUCGGUUUAACGCAAGACGAGCAAUUAGUGGCCCAGAAGCCCGAUGUCGUCAAUGAAAAUGUCUCUGACAAAGAUGAAGUUCUACCACGCAAAAGCAAACGAGUCAAGACCUCAUCUGUUGUUUUCAAGGAUUAUCAAUGCGCUUUCAACCGUCCAGCAGCUGCUAAGUGUACUUUUAUAAUGCCAUGCGACCCCUAUGUCAAUUAUAGUGCUCGGUUUGUGGAUCUCAAAGCCAAGCUCACGCACGACAAGUAAUACAUACAGCAAAUUAUCUUUAUAAUAAACGUUUUACCGGAUAUAUAUAUUAUUAUCCGUCAAAUUUCGUGUUAACGUAAUAAACUUUUUUUUAGACGUCCAAUGGAGAUUUACGAGGGUGCAUCUGUUAGUAUCGAAGAUGUUCUUGCUAUCGGCGACCGCAUUCGUGUGCUUGAUUCUAAGGUAACACUCUGGAGAGCUAAUCCCUCAUAUUUAACUUUCUUUUCUUCAGUUUUCAACACUUUGUUAACAUAUAGUCGUUAAUGAUUUUCUAGAUUGUGGACGCCUUAAUGUUCUACGUCCGUCACGUUUCCGGCCCUCAGAUGUAUCCGAUGAAUCACUCAAAGAUAGAGUUUUUUGAUACGCUCUUCCCAAGUCUUAUCAAAUCUCAAUAUGCUAAAUUUUCCAAGACCGCUGUCAAAGAUCGUUCGAAGUUUAAAAUCGACGGAUCGCUGCUAUCGUACUUCGAGUCAGACAACCCGCGGCGUCCUCUUCCGGAGGCAAUGUACUUCCCCUUCAACUUUGACCAAAGACAUUGGGUUGGUGUAUGUGUGAACAUUCCUAGGGCUGCUAUUGUUGUCCUCGAUUGCAACGUUGCUUUUCGUUCUGACACUGCCCUCAAGCGUGACUUCAACCCCAUCUGCAAUAUGUUUCCUUUCAUUGUCAGAGCCGCAAGCACGAAGGCUUUGCGUGACGAGAAACCAUUUUCCCUGGAGAGAGUUACGGGCAUUCCACAAAACGAGAUCAACUCAGAUUCAGCCGUCACCGCUGUUUUGCUUAUGCAGGCCCAUGCAAGUGCUGGAUUGGACGGAUGCCGAACCAUUACCCCUGAGUUGCUGACAUCGGAGGCCUACAAGUUAGCUGUUAUGUUUUACGAUGAGUUUGGGCCGAGUCCUUAGCCUUAGCUAUGAGAACAUUUCAUGUGAGAUGCUAACAUUGCUUUGUAUUUUACAAUUACUCGUUGGAUCCUUCUCUAUAUCGUAAUUCUUGUUGAAUUUAUUUUAGCAUGUUAGCAAUAAUAAGUAGUUGGUAAAAAAAAUUGUUCGAUGUAUAAUUAUUUUUAACAAGUACCAAUGUUCCAUAUAGAUUCCUUCUUAACUUCUUCUUCUUUCUAUUAAAUAACUUUAUUCUAUACAUCCACUAUUUUUUGCGUUAAAUUGAGUUAACUUCUUGGUUGUUAAAUUAUUCUAUACAUCCACUAUUUCUCUUAUAAUACGACAUUACUAUACUUAGCUGUUAACUUUGUUACUACCAAUGUUCUUGUUGUCUCCUUAUAAAUAUAUUUGGUAAAUCAAUAUUGACAUCAUGUUACGCUUACUAUAUUCUCUACAGAAUUUAGUUCACACCCAAUUCAAUUCUUACGGUCUAAACUCAGUCUUACCCUCUAACACAUUUACGUCUAACUCUCUUUUUACUUUCUAGCACGCUUUCUUCUAACAACUCCAAUUCACUCGCAUAUAUAUUUAUAAUAUCUAACUGUCUUUUUAGUCUUUAACAUUUUAAUUCAUAAACAUACUAUUUCACAUUGCUUCAAAGCAGAUACCAUAAGUUUUCAAACAUGCAUAUUACAAACGGGAGAAAGGACAUCUCAAACAUUCCGAGACUGUAUCACACACGAUUCAGUCUUAUCAAGGGACUUACGCUUAAUAUUAUACAAACACACCAGAUGAAAAUUUGGCCGGCCCUGAGUUCGGCGCACUUCCAAAAUAAAACACGAUCGCUUGAUUGAGUCCUCCUCCCACUACCAUCUUCUUAUAUUGGAUUCUUACAAGUGGCUCGGUUGUGGCUCCGACCACCACACCGACCACAUAUCGUAAGACGCCUCACAAAUCGCCCCUGCAAACUUAAGGGAUAAAUACACUUCGUUAUAAACUUACUUUUAAUGCUAACGCUUAUCUACCGUCCACACUUAUAAAUUCUUGUUAAAUGAUAACUUACCCUGAAUUCACCACGUGAGUAUAUACGCUGCUUACGUGGGCGUCCAGGAGGGCGCCUGGUGGCGGGUGGCAGUAGGGCAAAGUUUGAAAUGAGGUCACCUUCUUCGCUGGGCGAUUGAUAAUCUGGCACUGGGUAAAUACUCACCGCGUAAGCCAUUCGCCAAAACUUAGUCGUUAAUUCCUCCCCGACCAGCUGUUCAACAUUAGCAUUUGACCUUACGGCAGCUGUUACCGCAUGCGAACAAGGGAUAGAUAAGAGUUGAAACUCGCAGCAACUGCAACUCUUCUUGCAUAGAUCCACACGGAAAGUGAACCCUGCUUUGUCUAUCACUUCGAACUCACUAUCGUUGAUGCGCUUUAACACAUACCCGGUCCCUUUCUCGAAGUUAGAAGCCACGAUUGCCUGAACUCUUUUCGUUAGGACACCAGAGUCGUUUGUAGCCUUCUCCCGCCGUUCAUUAAACCAACCCAUCAGGGUGGUGCGAAUGUGUUCCAAUAGAGCCAGAAUUGGAAAGCCUCGAGCUUCAGCCAUUAUAGCGUUUAAUGACUCAGCUAUGUUGCUGGUCAUGACGUUGUACCUCACUCCACUAAAAUGUGCACGGGUCCAUUGCUCAAAUCCUAUGGCGGCGAGGUAUUCUGCACAAGAACGAUCGAUUUCCACUAUCUGGUUAAAGUGUGUGUUAAAAUCCGAGAUGUGAUAUGCUCUGGCUGCCUUGGAUAUCAGGUAUGCUAGUUGCCGUUUUUUGAAGAUGGCUUGGACGUUCCUUUGCAAGUGAACAACGCAGAUCCCAUGUUUAGCUUGCGGGUACACCUAUAGGUAAACAAUAUUUAUUACUAUAGAGGUCUAACUUAACAAGUUACACACAACCUAAAAUUUCCCCAUAAUCAUCGAUUGUAGUUCAUACCUUGCUUAAGGCAGCGUAUAUUGAGUUGUGCCGGUCGGAGACAAAGACCACGUCGUUUGCGUCGGGAAUUACAUUCAGCAGAUUUUGAAAAAACCAGGUCCAGGAUUUGUCAUUUUCCCCAUCCACAAUGGCGAAUGCCACUGGAAAGAUAUGAAAAUUUCCAUCCUGCGCGCUCGCAGUUAGCAUACAGCCUGCAUAAUUACCCUUCAGAUGCGUCCCGUCCACUACAACCACCUUUCGCAUAUACUUCCAUCCUUGCACACAUGCGCCAAAUGCGACGAAAAGGUAUUUGAAACGCUGCCCCUGGCCUUCUUGAAUGUCGGUCUCUAGAUUAACAAUCGUUCCAGGAUUUGUUAUCACCAGUUGUUGGAGAUAAGACGGUAACAACUUGUACGACCCGCCGUUACUCCCCUUCGCAUAAUCCAUUGCCACCUGUCGGGAUCGCCAAGCCUAAAUUUAAAUAAUCAAUGUCUAUCUACAUUAAUACCAUCUAAUAACUUAAAUAGACAAUUCAAGAUAUCUUGCCUUCCAGUAUGAGAUAGGUACAUCGUGGUCAGCUCUCAUCAUCUCCCGCACCUCAUUUUGUUUUGGUCCCGCCCCGCGUCCUGCGUACCGUGCUCGCAUCAUGUCUCCUAUUACCGUUGAUGUGGCAUGUCUUUGGAAAUUCCCUCUCUCGUCAACCGUGCAUAAAUGAUCAGGUUUCACCCUCCUCACUUGGUACCACUCCGACCCACUCAUCUUCACCGCAUAAACCCUCCAUGUACAGCUUUUGCCAACACACUCCAACACCAUAACAGUUGGUGUAGACUUCUUGUGGGUGAACCGAAACUUGUGGUGCAAUGCGUACAUAGCCAUGUGGAGCUUGAAAGCUUCCCUGUUUUUAAACAUCAUACCCACAUACACCUCGUCGUUCCUGCUUAAUCCGUCCCCUGCUUGUUAACACCAAAUGUUACCAUGCGAUUUACAUAUUCAACAUUCGAUUACGACGUUAUUAUUAUAAAUACCCGUUAUCAAAUUUCUUACCGACAAAAACAUCGCCUAUCAUAUCUUCCUCGUCGGUGUCUUCAGCUAUGGGGUCAUUGUUCUCCGAUCCUGAUGGACAGGCUAACGUCAAAGCCAGAUGAGACCCACUCUCUGAGGUGUUCUCUUUUGCCUUCCUUUUCCCUUUAUCUUCACUAAACGUCAGAGUGUGUGGCGUCACGGCACCAACUUCUCCUCUUCCAACAACUGCAUUGCAUGAGUCACCGGUAAAUGUUAUAGCUUUAACUAAAUUUCCUAGCCUAUUCUCUUAACCGUACCUUUCACUGGGGUCAUUAAGGCUAGAUUGGCCAGUGCAUUGUCAAAACUCGCUGGACCCAUGUUGGUGUCCUCUUCAUCAGUAAGCCUUACGAUUUCUUCGUGUUGUCCAUCUCCAUUGCCGGGAUUGUUGCUGGAUCCCGCCGAAGACUGGUUGUCACUCAGCUGGACAACUUGGUUCGUUGUGGAUUGCUGAUGGGCAGCCAUGAGCUGUGCUUCCAGUUCCGUCGACUUCUUUAGUAAGAGUUCUAGCUCAUCUGACGUGCAUACCUCUUCCAACACACUCUGGCUGCACCGAAUCACAUCUCGUGAAAAGAACCCUACAUACACAAUUUUAAGUUACCUAUUUUGUUAUACACUAUGAAAAAAUCUUUAUUAGCAUUUACCAGUGAAUCUUACCACGGUAGUCGAAACUCCCAAACUGGAUUGGUAACGGUUGCACAGAUACCGGAUUAGAUGUUCCUCCAACGUCGUACGUAGCACGUUUCUGAAACUUGUAACGGUUAACGGCAUCAUUUCCUACGGUCACACACAUCGGUAGUUCGGGAACCUCCAUGCGCACAGCCAUGAAAACCCCCACGUCUGCGUUGUUCAGCACAUCUAUCGGCGGAGUUGGAGGUCCGGUGGGUACCAACAUCCAGUCAGGGAAUUGGUAGCUCAAAGCAACCUCUGUGGCGGCGUCAACAUUGCAUCGCACCCUAAUACUGUUCAUAAGCCCGUCGAAGCUCGCGUUCUCCGAGACCAUCAUGCAGAAGCUUUCACCUUCGCUGUCGACCUUAAAACUCCAAGCACCGACUUCCGAUCUUUCCCACGACCCACGGACAAGCAUAACCAAACUUCCAACCAUCUAGCAAAUAAACCAAAAAAAAAUAUUACAUCUACUCAUCAAUAUAUAAUUUCUCGGUAACUUUACAGCGAAAUCAACAUUUAUGGAAGUAUUUAAUGUUGUAAAACGACAGAUUUCAGACUUUAUUGCUCCGGAGUGGUAUUUACUAGGUUACAAAAGGAAUAUAUUGAAGACAUCUGAGUUUAUUGUCGGCUUACCUUUAACGGAAGAAACGGUAGUAUCUUUCUUGACUUAUUCAACUAGAAGACAACUUUAACUUGAGGAUAUCUGUGUGUUCUUUUUCGGAGGUGGCUGAUAAAAGGGAAAUUGGGGACGAUACCUAUUUAUAUAGAGGGUAAAAAACCCUAAUAACAUACACAUACAUACAUACAUCCCAUGACAUGCCACAUAAAUAUACGAAAUCUCUUAGAUUUGGCAUUAAAUGCGUAGCUUCGGGAGAGAAGAUUUUCUGUGGACACCAGGAACCUAUUCGCAGACCUAUGAACCGCUAUAGACGUCUAAGUUUGUAGAUAAUAUCUGUACAAUAUCUUAAUUAAAUAAUUUUUUAAUUACUGCCUAAAUUACAGAGAUUGUCGCUAAGGGUUUUUCGGUCAUACACCACCAUUUCGAAAUCCGAAUUCUCCCUCGCUUCACUGUUUUUCCUAUGGACCAAAUUUUGACCAAAAUGACGAAUUUCUAGCAAAUUCAUUUCUAAAAUAAACUAUAUAGUUUAUUUUUGUAAAUUUCUGGGUCAUGUUUUUUAAAAUAUAUUUUUUUUUAUUUCUGUCUGUUUUUCUUUUUCAUUUCCUUUAUUUUUUUCCUUUUUCCCUUGAAAAGGUUUGCUUUUUGUAACAUAGAUGUUUAACAAUCUGUAAAUUUCAAGUUAAAGUCACUGUAUUAUAAAUAAUCACCUUAAUGAAAAAAAUAUGGGUUGGUUGAUCUGAUCGAUAAUAUUCUGGAAUCGUAG